CCAGUUGUCAUGUGGAGGAGUUUUGGUUUGUUACGAAGGGUGGUUUUAUUAUUUCCUUAGUUAUUCGCAUCGUUUUGUAUACGGGUUCCGUGUAAAUUGGAAUUCGAAUUCUAAUCGUGUCUGGUCUUAGCUCUUUGAGCAGGGUAUAAAUAUAAGCCCUAGGACCUUGUAAUAAGACAUCAAUCAAUCAAUCAAACACAUGUUUUUACUCAUAUUCCAGCAUUUACUUUUCGACGACUUCGUCAUACGUUUUCUUUUUGUUACGAGUUCUUAGGAAUUCGUCGACUCAAGCUCGGCGUAUCCUCAAGUUCCGCGUGAGUACCUCUUAGCCGUGACAUCCGGGCGCAUCGCUGUUGUCAGGACUAAAGUAUUCGAGUUAUCACCUUUGCCGAUAGUAAGGUCAAAUCGGCUGGCACGCCUUAACGUUUGGAUCGGGUAUUAGCCCUUUGUGUUUGCAGAUUAGUUUUUGCAUCAACAGAUAUGAUGAAUAGUUGCUCUGCCUAAUUUGCACAUUUUAAGUUCUCUCUCAAGUUUAGAUAUAACUGUUAUAAUUUAAAGCUUCUAGACCUAAACUUGUGGGAUAAAAAUUUGAUAUGAAGUCUAAGUUGUUAAAGGAUACGAUAUGGGAAGGUUGAGCUGCUGUUUAUCUGUUCCUAGAUAUGCUAGAAUUCUGGAGAAUUUAUCUUUAAAAAUCUUUAAGCAUGAUGAGUUCCUGUAUGAUGAGAGUUUAAAUUCCUACCACAGCCAUAUAUACAUGCUUGCUAGACUUUGAGCCACAACAUUUACUAUUUACUGCUUAUGAGCAUUGAGUGUGGUCAAGCUGUGUAGACCCUUAGGAGCUUGUCAUGUGGUUAAAUCAAGAUUCACUUGCACGUUCACUCAUACAUGCUACUUCUACUCCGGAAGUACCAUCCACAUAUAUCCACUCAUUUCCAUCUCCAGAAUCACCCAAAAAUAUUCUACUCCUAAUCCAAGAGAGAAUAACCAAAAAUAUUUCUGUUUUUCCCUGUGAAAUAAAUGCUCAAGUUAUCUUGUUACUACCACUUGCUAUAUUAUCUCAAGAGAUGAGUGCUCUAAAAAAAGAGAAAAAAAGAUACGAGGAAAUAAAAAGGGGCAAGUGCCCGGAACCUCGAAAGAAAAGAAAAAAAAUGAGACGAGAGGUAAAAAUGGACAAAUGUCCGACAGUAGAAUUAGGGGUACAAGAUACCCACCUGAUAGGAAAGAAAAAGAAAAGAAAAUAAGAGCAUCUCAUUCUCCUCAUAAAGUUUCAGAAAGCAAGGAAGGUAUGUAUCCCCUCAAAGAGCAAAAGUAGAAUUAGAUUUUCACCAUUGUUACCACCAUCAUCACCAUACAUCAUUCAUUCGCCACACAUGCACAUCUUGAUUUGGCUUAUUGAUUUGUUUCUUUGGAUCCAUGGUUUGACUAUGCAAUAAAUGUCUUGUAAGUAUUUAUACUUUAUCUCCCACCUAUGAGCUCCAGAUAUUAAAGCCUUAUUAGAGUAGGGUGAGAGAUAAGACAAUGUCACUAUGCUUCAUACCACAAAUACCACAUAUUUUGAGAGAAGGCAUAUACCAUCACUGCUUUGGUAAGGAUCCAGAAAUACAACAAAAGACAGAUCUGAGAGAGUCAUACAAGGAAUCUCUGAGUUUUAUUUGAAAAUCUGCAAAAACUCCAGAGCUUGCUGAUCAAGAAUAAGAGACAUGGCACUUGGCUAGACUGUUCUAUCUUUUAACCACUCAAGAUGAAAGUGACGGUUACAAGUCCCAUGGUGAAAGGAAAAGUAAGUAAGUUUUAAGUCUUGACAGUUUACUCUAACUCAGAGAUAAGAUCUUAUUUAAAAGCAUUUGUACCGUCAAUUUUUUAAAGAUAUUGCAACAACUUAUGAUCCAUUGCUGAGUCUAUCCUUGCUCAGGGACGAGCAAGAGGUAAGCUUGGGGGAGUUUGUUGACGGUCCUUAAGUAUCAAAUUUAAUUAUCAAAUAAAUAAAGAAAAGGAUCCAAAUGAAAUCAACAUCUAGACUUAGGGUUUUAUCUGACAGAAUUCCAUGAGUUUUGGUAUUUGUCUAUUUCUACAGGGGGUUAUCAGGAAAUAUGGAAGAUAGGCCCACAUGUCGGGAUUACAUAGAGAUAUUAACGUGCAGCGCAAUUAUCUGACAUCUAGAAGACUCCAGAAGCCACGGGAAGCAAGCGGAGGCCGAACGGGGCCAGAGGCAGGGCGCCCGCCCUGUUUCCCUGGGUGCCCGCCCUCUGUUGGAGUCCAAUCAGGACUCUGUUUCAUGGGAGAUCUCCACCGACCUAAAGGAUCAAGGAUAACCGUUCAAUCUAAGUCGGUUUGAUCCAACGGCCCAUAUUCACUUGAAGGGACUAUAAAACCAGACCCCCUGGCCCCUGGAGGAGAGAGCCUCUCAACCCUAAUUCAUUGUUCUUCAAGGGAGAAGAAGCCUCUGAUCAAGAUUAGAGCCACCACAUCAAUUAAAUAUCUAGAUUAGCAUAGCUACAGAGGAUUAGAACUAGAAGGAGUGAAUCUUCGAUUGGUUUUCGGAUCUGUCAAGAGGAUUCUUGGUAAUUCUCUAAUUGUGCUUCUAAUUGCUUUCUAAUUAUCUUUGUUCUUCAAUAUUAUGAAUAUGACUUUGUUCUACUUCAAUAUAUUGCUUAUGACUUUGCUCUACUUGUUUAUAUUCAAGAUUAUAUUGUUCUUAGUUUAUCAUAGUUACGUACUUGGCUUAGUUAGAUUGGAUCUAUAUACAUGCUUAGGAUCGUAUAGCGUUUAUCCAUCGGAUCCAUGGGUAAAUGAUAGAUAUUGUGUAGGCGUGGUGCUUAUACCGUAUUUAUCUGCGAUUGUACCCAAUAUGCCAGAUUGUGGGGUAGUUCAUGAUAGUGACAGCUUCAUUGAUGCUUAUAUAGUCCCCCUCUCGUUUAUUGGGCUGGCAGAGCAAUAUUAUUACAGGGGAGUGAUUGCUAUGUUUCUCAUUUACCUUGCUAAUAUCACUAUGCAUGGGCGUAGUCUUGUCUCGCAAUGAUUGCUAAGUAUGCUUGCACUAACUAUGAUAAUGCUAGACUAUAUAGUUGAGAAUAACUUAGGAAAUAUUCUUAUAUUUCGUUCUAAUACCAUGCUAAUGACUUUCUAGAGUAUCUAAUUGAGGUGCUUAUCAUAUUUAUUAUGUGGCUAAGUUAUGAUCAGAUUAAUUAUCUUUGUCACUAUUCAUUAUUUCAUAUAUCCUUUAUGUGACACUUACCCCUGUAUGAAAGAGUUAGAUAAAUGUUCUCAAUUAUACAUGCAAUGAUAGAUGCUCAAUCUCAUAUUCUAUUCUGUAAUCAAUAUUGAUGAUUGCUAAUCCCUUCCUAGUGGUAAAAAUAUAAAUAACGAUACCUAGAAUACUUCCCGGUUAAAAUGCUACAUCGGUAUUAAUCUGUGCGCUUGCAGAUCCCAUUCAUUAUUAAUUUAGAAGAGCAAUUGCAUAUUUCAAUACCGCGUCUGUCAUAUCAUGCUGGGGAUGACAACUUGGCUUAAGUGGUAUGAGGGAUAGGUUUGGCAUUUUUGGCACCGUUACUAGAAUUAGAAAAUUAAGUCUACUUUUGGUAGUGAUGUUAAGAAUACCCAACAGUGCUUAUCAUAUUUAUAUGUGGCUGAUUAGAUCAAUUAUCUUUGUCACUCUUCAUUAUUUCAUAUAUCUUUUAUGUGACAUUUAUCCCUAUAUGAAAGAGUUAGAUAAAUGUUCUCAAUUAUACAUGCAAUGAUAGAUACUCAAUCUCAUAUUCUAUUCUGUAAUCAAUAUUGAUGAUUGUUAAUCCCUUCCCAGUGGUAAAAAUAUAAAUAACAAUACCUCGAAUACUUCCCGGUUAAAAUGCUACAUCGGUAUUAAUCUGUGCGCUUGCAGAUCCCAUUCAUUAUUUAUUUAGAAGAGCAAUUGCAUAUUUCAAUACCGCAUCUCUCAUGUCAUGCUGGGGAUGACAACUUGGCUUAAGUGGUAUGAGAGAUAGGUUUGGCAUUUUUGGCACCGUUACUAGGAUUAGAAAACUAAGUAUACUUUUGCUAAUGAUGUUAAGAAUACCCAACAUCUAUCACCACGAAGUCUGCUGGGGCGUACAAGGUACCAACUCGGACGCAGAGGUUCUUUAAUAUUCCCUUUGGGAAACUUAGUGUCUGAUCUGCAGGCAUGCCGAUGGAGAUCGGGAUGACGGUGCGUCCUGGAUUGCCUCUCUUGACUGGCAGAAGGUUAGUAAUUACUUCCACAACGGGGUUACUCCAGUAGUUACGUCCUCAAGCAUCUCAGGGCAGUGAUUGCCUAACCGUCCAGUAUCUCCAGUGUGUUUGUGCUUGUAGAUCUAGGUUCUUCACUUGGUGGAGUCUGGGAGUUGUAAAACUCCUUCAUAUGCUACUCGAAGUGUACCUGCUCAUAGAGACAAGGGCAGAGAUCAAGUGCAUGGGCUCUGUUGGUGGAAAACACCAACAGAACCAAAAGUGUAUUUGUUCUUCUCUAACCUUAAGCAUAGUGAGCAAGACAGAGUUGAUAGAUAAUAAGAUCAUGACUGUAGCAUUUAAAACAUUUGUCAGAUCAGAUCACUCAACCUAAUGGAAAGAUAAUCUAUCUAUACUUAUGUUUUUUUAUAUAUAUCUUCCAAAGAUUGAGUGUGCAACAUUUUAGCUCAUAAGAUUAGGAGUGUGGGAUCACAAAGGUGGAAGGACUAAACAGGUUGAAUCGAUUGGGUUGGUUAAUCUAGAGUUGUAAAUCAUACAUGUUUGUCUCUUUUAUUCAUGUGAACGCCAGAACCAAGGAGAAGCUUAUAGAAGUGAUAGUCAAGUACCUUAAGAUGUUACCUUACAUGAAGAGUGAUGGUACAAUAUCACCUUAUGGAAGCUUUCCUUUCUUAGCAGUUGUGCAUCAUGUUUGUGGCACCCUCCAUGGAUCAUCUCUUGUGAGCUAUGCCUUCCUUGUGUAAGUUGUUAACCUUCAUGUGUCUCUCUUUGUCUCCAAUGUGAGUUUAUCUCAGGACUUCCCAGGUCGAUAUUGAAUAUUUUCCUGCAAGGGUUAGUCCAACAAAAUAUCCAAUAUCUACUAUAGCAUACUAUCGGCUCAAAAAUCAACCUAGACACCAUGUCUAAUUUGAUUUAGGAGGGCAUCUUAACCUAAGCAUCAUGCUUAAAUUAAAAUCCCUUGGAACUAAGAUCAUCAUUCCUAAACUAAGCACCAUGCUUAAUUAAGAGAUAAAUGAAACUACUCCAAACCUAGUCAUAUACUAAAGCAAAUAAAGGUAGCACGGGAGCAUUUAUAGAAGUCUACUCAUGUGGAGAUGAAGUAGUGUGAUUAGUAUUUAACAAAUUGAGCAUGUCUCAAAGGUAGGGACAACCAAUAUAGAAACAUGGCAAAGGAUGAUUUUAUGUAAAGUUCUCCCUUAAGCUUGAAUUUUGCAAAAUUCAAGUUUGGAUGAAUUUAAUUCAAUGUUGUAUGAUGAUUGGUUGGACAUACCUUGUGCUUGUCAUUCAUCCGAUCUUCUUGCUCCAAUCCUGGAAAGGUUAGUGACAAGAAUACCCGAAGGAAUAUUUUCACAAUUAUCCUUAUAUGCUCAAUACACAAGGUAAUGCUGCAAAUAAUUAAAAGCUCAUGUUACGAUCUGAUAAGUGCUUGUUUUAGGACACUAAGCUUGUCCUUGGGAAACCAUCAAUUUAUGUCGGCAAAGUGGUUUCCCCUCCAACGCUGACCUAUAUCAAGAUCAACUCAACAAGAUCUACAAUAUUUAAUAUAGACAUAUGCAAUGACAACCGCCCUUUUAAAGUUUUUAUAAAAAGAAAGGAUGAGGGGGUUGGAGAUCUUGAAUGUGGUGAUGUUGGAAAAACCAAUGGAUUGGGAAGAUGUUGCAUAUGAGUGUGGAGUAAAUGAAGUGGCUAUGAAAUAAAUUCCAUGCUCAUUAAUGCUUAGAGUGAAAUCCAUGAGCAUACUCAAAUGAUAAGGUGAGUGUGGUAAAAAAGGAAAAGAAAAAGGAUACACGGACGACUUAGUUCAAAACUAGCACAGCUACCGUUCCCUGGCAACGGCGCCAGAAAUCUUGUUGGGUAUUUUAAACGCAAACAGAAAAAUCCGCAAGCGCACGGAUACCGAUGUAGCUUUCACCCGGGAGUAUUCCAGAGUAUUGAUUUUCCACAGGGAACGUGAGUGUACUAAUUAAGAUCCAAGAUCGCCCAAGGAUAACUAUAUAAUUAUUUUUGGUGGGAAGAGAGAAAGUUUCCUGAGAGUUCUCUAGUUGAUCUAAGAAUCAAGAAUUACUUCAAGAUUAUCUAUUUCGGGACAUCAGAACACUAACCACAGAAAUAGAUGAGAAGGGGGCUAGGAAGCUCUGACUACGGUCCUACAAACACCGAUCCGAACGAGGUGGAAUACGUCGACAGUUAGGGCUGUCACUACCCUAGGGCUACCACAACAAUCCGCAGGAUUAGGUGCAAUUCCAGGUAAUUGCAAGACUAAACACCACGUCUAAUCUAUUAAUUACUACUCUAGUGUUUCAAAGACUAGAGCACUUGAUGCAAGCGGGAAUCCAAUAAAUAACUUGAAUGUAAAUAAAGUAAUUAAAGAACUCAGGAAUUAUGAAUUGAAGAACCUAGAGAACGACGAAGAACGAACCAGUUGCUGCAAAAGUACAAUGUUGAGGAAGAUCCGACAGAUCCGGCUCGUCCUCCUCCGCUCUCCUCUUCUCUCUCUCUAUUUUCUAGAUUACAACUAGAACUAACUAGAACUAGAACUAGAGGAACUAGAACUAGAACUAGAUGCACUAGAACUAGAACUAGAUGAACUAGAGGUAGAACUAGAUGAACUAGAGGGAUCCUCUCUACUUGGAUGAAGAAUUGAAACCCUAACUUUGAUUCUGUAGAAGAGGUAUGAUCUCCAGGGGCCAGGGGACCUUGCUUAUAUAGUCUUUUCAGAUGAAUCUGGGCCGUCGGAUAAAACCGACAUUGAUUGCACGGUUUUCCUUGACCUUUAGGUCGGUGGAGGAUGAUCCCCGAGUUGUACCCUGAUUGGGCAGAAUAGGAGGGCGGGCGCCCUAAGGACUAGGUAGGGCGCCCUGUCCCUGAGCCCUCUCGGCUUCCACUUUGUUUUCGUGGCUUCUGGAGCCUUCUAGAUGAUAGAAAAUUGCGCAGCACGUUCAUAUCUCUAUGUAAACCCGACGUGUGGGCCUUUCUUCCGUAUUUCCUGAUAACCCCCUGUAGAAAUAGACAAACACCAAAACUCGUGGAAUUCUGUCAGAUAAAACCCUAAGUCUGGGUGUUAGUUGCAUUUGGAUCCUUUUUCAUGAUUAGUUGAUGGUUCAAUGUGAGCAUUAAGGACCGUCAACAAGCUCCCCCAAGCUUAACCUUUGCUCGUCCCUGAGCAAAGAUGGACUCAAGAGUUUCUGCAGUGGUUUCAUGCCUUAAAGAUACACAUGCGUUCAAACAAGAUCUCAUCUCUGGGUUAGGGUAAACUGUUAAGAUUUAAACUUACUCAUUUCACCUUCCACAGUGGGGCUUGCAACCAUCACUUGUGUCUUGAGCAGUUAAAAGAUAGAACGGUCUAGUCACGCGCCAUGUCUCUUGUUCUUUAAUUAACUAUAGCUCUUGAGUUUUUGUAGAUUUUCAAAUAAAACUCAGAGAUUCCUUGUAUGACUCUCUCUAGUCUCUCUUUGUGGUAUUUCUGGAUCCUUACCAAGGCAGUAAUGGUGUAUGCCUUCUCUCAAAGUAUGUGGUAUUUUUGGUAUGAGGCAUAGUGGCAUUGCCUUCUCUCUCACCCUACUCUAAUAAGGUUUUGAUAUCUGGAGCUCAUAGGUGGGAGACAGCUAAUACAUACUUACAAGACAUUUAUUGCAUAGUCAAACCAUGGAUCCAGAAGAACAAGUCAAUAAGUCAAAUCAAGAUGUGCAUGUGUUGCGAAUGAAUGGUGUAUGGUGAUGAUGGUGAUAACAAUGGUGAAAGUCUAAUUCUACUUGUGCUCUUUUGAGGGAAUACAUACCUUUCUUGCUCUUUUGAAACUUUUUUAGGAGAAUGAGAUGCUCUAUAUUUUCUUUUUCUUUUCUCUCAGGUGGGUAUAUUGUACCCCUAAUUCUACUGUCGGACACUUGUCCAUUUUUACCUCCUGUCUCACUUUUUCUUUUCUUUCGAGGUUCCGGGCACUUGCCCCUUUUUAUUUCCUCGUAUCUUCUUUUUUUUAGAGCACUCACCUCUUUAAAUAAUGUAGCAAGUUGUCACACCCGGAUGUAAAAGAGCAUUCGGGUGCCAAAUCACAUGUGCGCCAGGAUCACAAAUUCACACACAUGGACCGACAUCAUCAAUGGUACAAAACACAGUGUUCAAACGAAUUACAUAAAUGAGAGUAAAAGUACCAUUAUUACAAGCCAAAUGUUUAUCAAAGUGCGGAGGGGAAACAUAAACUAAACUGUUCCAUAAAUAAAGGGAAAACUAAACGCCGACGUAGCAGGACCACCUUGCCACAGGAAGGUCGACGGCAGAACCACACGAGCCUAACAACCAGGAGACUCAGGGUAGUCCUCAGGGAAAUCGCAAUUGUACUCCUGAUCGUCCGAGCAACCUUUAAUGAUUAUAGCAAGGGUGAGCUCAUGUCGAACUCAGCAAGCACAGACGGAAAGUAAUGACAUGCAAGGCUUAAAACAAGGUAAAGCUGACUUGGUUUGACUGCGGUAGCAUUUUAGUUGAUCGCUUUUAAUUAUAACAAUUACUAGAACAACCUAUUACUAAAUAUGAGUAGCAUAAACCCAACCCUUAAUUAGUGUAAGUAGUAAUUAGCAUCUUUUAAAAGACUAUUCUAAUUAUUAUAGUAAUCCAGGGAUUAACCCCAAUUAAUACCACAGGAUAGCAUUCCUGCCAUCACGGAAUAGCCAUUCCGCCAAAACCCGAGGUAGCAACCUCGCCAAGGUCCAUCUCCAAGCAACCAGUGAAUCCAAUUUGCUCAUCAAGUGAGGGUCUGGGCCGCUCGUGACCGUGAGCACGGCUGAUAUAUCAGUUUUACACUCUGCAGAGGUGUGCACGUUCACUCCAAGUCGUGAUUCCCAUUUGCCCGGGGUCGCGACUCCCCAAAACACUUCCAAGGUGAGCAGGCAGGGUCUCACUACGAGACCUUUCACAGGGUCCAACUAAUAGGAUGCCACUCGCAAGUUUUUGCCGGGGCGCUCGGCAGUCGAUACCCAUAGCCAUGGCGUACCGAUCAACCGACAACUUAAUAUUCAUUACCCAAGUUACUUCCUCACGCCUACCCGGAAAGUAACACCCUACUAGUGGAGGUCCUGCUAAUUAGUCAAGCCAGAGCCAUAUAGCUUGGAGCUGCACUGUAUGUCCCAGGGGGCCGCUCCCUGACUAAGUCCUUACGGAGAGCAGAGACGGGAACGCCCGGCAAACCGGACCACCAACGGUACCCGCUCCCCCUGUCACCACCAUCAUCACGAUGCUCGUAAGCAUCCAACAUCGCCAUCACCGCAGUGACCAAAGAUUCAGCACAAUUUAAGCAUCAAGUUGAGUAGAGACUAAUACUUGUUUAGGCAUGUGUAUAAGAUGAGUAGAGCAGCUAAGCAAACCUAGUAUAGCCUAGUCUACCCAAAUACAUAACCCCAGGUGAGCAAGGAAUAAUAAGUGAAGCUAGUCAUGUCCUUAGGGUUUGCAUUCAUUGGACACAUGCAUAUAAAGUAAAUGACAUUAAUGAGUAGGUUCAAAAUGAUCAAACAGUGUCUGCACUUGCCUUGAUCGAAGUCGGGUUGCUCGAACUCAGCGGGAUCCUGUACCUCUUCCUUCACGAACGUCUCGUUGGCUAAACGCGACAAUCAUCAAUCAUAGGAACAAUACAUGCAAGCAAACAAACUUAAUCAGAAACAGUACACCAAGGCAUGCGAAAGCAUAAAGCAACUGCACUACUGUAUUCUACUCGAUGAAACGAAACCAUAGCGACCAGAAUCACCUAAAUCGGAGUUACGACGCAAAAGUUAUGGCUAAAACAAGUUAAAUGGCAUUUCUGUAGAUAAACUGAACUAUUUUUCGUAAUAAAACUAAUUAAAAACUGAAUUAAAAAGCAUUUAGGAUUAAAUAUAUAAAUUCUAACGGGUGCAGGGGCUAAACUGUAAAAGCAGGGGCAUAAAUUAAAUAAAUCUAAAACUAAAUAGAGCGCGGGUUGAUUUCAAAGAAACCCAGGGGGGUUUUUGCAAAAACGCAGGGGCGCGCGGGGACCGUGGCCGUCCUGGCCACGUGGCGGCUUGCGGCUGGCGGGUCCACGGUGGACCGGGUGCGGCGCGGGGUGCACCGGUCCACGGUGGACCGGGGGGGCGCGCGGGGCAGCAUGGACUCGGUCCACUGGACCGGCCGUGCGGGGGCGCUGGGCCGCGGUCCACGGUGGACCGCGCGCCGGAGCGGGCACGCGCAGGCGGCGGGGCGGCCGGCCGCGGCGGCGCUAUGCGCGGCGGCGCCAUUGGAGCGGGCCGGAGCUUGCGGGGAUGACGGCGCAGGGCACGGGAAGGCACGCCAAGGGCACGGGCGUGCGCGGCUUGCCACGACGAGCGCGAUGGCGGGCUUACCUUCGCGAGCGGACGACGACAAGGAGAAGGCUGACGGCGGCGGCGCGGAUUCCGAUGGCGGCGCUGCGGAAAACGGCGAGCUCGGGCUAGGGUUUCGCGUAGGGGCGCGUGCGGGCGAGGCCGAGGCUUUAAAUAGGACGGUGGUCCCGGGGUCCUCGAAACGCGAGCGGGCGCGGAAGCCGGAGUCGGUUGCGGCCGAGUCCGUUCCGGCCGGAGGAGGAAGACGGCGGGNNNNNNNNNNNNNNNNNNNNNNNNNNNNNNNNNNNNNNNNNNNNNNNNNNNNNNNNNNNNNNNNNNNNNNNNNNNNNNNNNNNNNNNNNNNNNNNNNNNNNNNNNNNNNNNNNNNNNNNNNNNNNNNNNNNNNNNNNNNNNNNNNNNNNNNNNNNNNNNNNNNNNNNNNNNNNNNNNNNNNNNNNNNNNNNNNNNNNNNNNNNNNNNNNNNNNNNNNNNNNNNNNNNNNNNNNNNNNNNNNNNNNNNNNNNNNNNNNNNNNNNNNNNNNNNNNNNNNNNNNNNNNNNNNNNNNNNNNNNNNNNNNNNNNNNNNNNNNNNNNNNNNNNNNNNNNNNNNNNNNNNNNNNNNNNNNNNNNNNNNNNNNNNNNNNNNNNNNNNNNNNNNNNNNNNNNNNNNNNNNNNNNNNNNNNNNNNNNNNNNNNNNNNNNNNNNNNNNNNNNNNNNNNNNNNNNNNNAGUCGGCCCAGGCGGGGGCAGGGGCAGGGGGCGCCGCGGGCUCUGCGGCUGGGCCGCUGCUGGUCCUUUCGGGAAGAGGGGGGGGGGGGAAAGCGCUGCCCAUUUUUCUUCUUUUUUUUUGUAAAAUUUCUUGCUCCAAAACAAAACAAAACAAGCACCAGCAACAAUAAAUAAAAUCAAGCAAAAAUUAUGCGGCAGCAUGAAUGCAAUCUCAAACAUGUUUCUACCUUAUAUUUAAUUUUAUUUAAUUUUGUAAAUUAUUUAAUAAUUCCCAAAAAUUCAAACUAAGCCAAAAUUAAAUCAAAUUUAAACUAAAUUUGAAAUUCAAAAAUUUGGAGUGUUAUACAAGUGGUAGUAACCGAAACAACUUGAGCAUUUAUUUCACAGGGGAAAACAGAAAUAGGAGAAUGUUUUUGGCUAUUCUCUCCCAGAUUAGGAGUAGAAUAUUUUUGGGUGGUUUUAGAGAUGGAAAUGAGUGAAUGUAUGUGGAUGCAUACUUCCAGAGUAGAAGCAACAUGUGUGAGUGAAUGUGCAAGUGAAUCUUGAUUUAACCACAUGACAAGCUCCUAAGGGUCUACACAGCUUGACCACACUCAAUGCUCAUAAGCAGUAAAAAGUAAAUGUAUGGUUCAAAGUCUAGCAAGCAUGUAUAUAUGGCUGUGGUAGGAUUUUAAACUCGCAUCAUACAGGAACUCAUCAUGCAACAUUUUAAGGAUCUUCAAAGAUAAAAUUCUCCAGAAUUCUAGCAUCUCUAGGAACAGAUAAACAACAGCUCAAGCUUCCCAUAUCGUAUCCGUUAACGACUUAGACUUUAGAUCAAGUACACUUCCCACAAGCUCAGGUUUAGAGCAAAUCUUAAUUAAUAACAGUCAUGCCUAAACUUGAGAGAGAUUUCAAUUUUGAGAAUUAGUCAUGGCAGAGCAACUAUUCAUCAUUUCCAUGUGAGAGCUUAUCAUGAGGGUUCAUAGCAAACUUUAUUUAUUUAUUUAUUUAGCAAACUAAGCAAAGAUAUAUAUAUAUAUAUAAUAUAUAGCACAAAAUCUUUAUUUGGGUUUAUAUGAUUAUGCAUCUUUUUAUUAUUAGAGUAAAAUAUAAAAGAGAGUAGAACACUUAGCUGGAUAAAUGGGGGUGCUCUCCCCCAAGCUAGAUUUUGACGUAGUUCCUUUUGAUGUAGCAGGUGGCGGAGGUGUAUUUGAAUGUCGGCAGCACCCUAACAGUGAUUAGGAUGUCCUCCGUCUGAUAGUCUUCUUUGAUCCUUGAAUUCUGUGGAGCUCAAAUAGACAACAAAGCUUUGUGGAACUGGUUAAGUGUUAGCAUAAAUUUCUAGCCUUUAUCAUGUUGAGCCUCCUCAAUAAAUGUUACUCUCUUUAGUAGAAUCAUAAAUUUAUUUUUAUAAUUUUGUUUUUAUAGGACAGGAAUAUAUUUAUUUAAUUUUUAUGCCACCAUAGUGAAUGUACUUAUGGGUUUUAUGCCAUGAGCAUACUCACAUGGGGCUUACUAUUUUUAACAUUUUUAUUUUCUUUUCAAGAUAGCAUGAACCUGAUUGACUAAGCAAACCAUUUUAAAUAAUUGAAAGGAAAAGAAUAACUACCAAGUUUAGCUCUUGGCAAGGUGUUCGGUGUUUUUAAGUCCUCCGAACGGGACUCUCCGUUUUCUCAGUCGUCUUAGGAUUCGCUGGAUGGCGUAGUCGGUGGUUUCGGCGGCGCCUGAUCUUCAUGUAUAACUAUCUUCUCUCUACACACCUGACUCAGUGCUACGGUCUCCUCGGGACAGUUCUGUUCAAGUUGUAUGUCUUUAGACCUUACCACCUCUGCUUCAUAGUCCGCCCAUCCGUCCUUGAUAAUUUGCCUCCUCUGGUUGCGGUUGCGUCGUCUUCUUCUUGUCCUGACCUACUUAAAGUCUUCAACGAUAUAGUUAGGGUCAGUAAAAUAGCGGCGUACCUUCUCUGAGGGGAAGUGCAUGUGGACUUCUCCGGUUCCAAUGUAGAUGACUGUUUUAACGGGGUUGAGGAAUGGUCUGACAAGGAUGAUGGGUGGAUAGUACUCGUCUUCUCCCAUGUCAAUAACCUGAAAGUCUUUUGGAAUGUCUGAUCUGCCAUCUGGAGCUGAAUGUAUGUUGGUUUUAGGGGCAUGGUUCCGAACAGGAGCUGAUAGGUGACUGCGGCCAUUAUGUUGAUGCCCGACUGUUGACGGUCCUUAAUGCUCACAUUUAACCAUCAACUAAUUAUGGAAAAGGACUUAUAUGCAACCAACACCUAGACUUAGGGUUUUAUCUGACAGAAUUCCACGAGUUUUGGUGUUUGUCUAUUUCUGUAGGGGGUUAUCAGGAAAUAUGAAAGAAAGGCCCACACAUCGGGUUUACAAAGAGAUAUUAACGUGCCACGCAAUUUUCUACCAUCUAGAAGACUCGAGAAGCCACGGGAACGAACGGGAGGCUGAUCGGGCCCGGGGGCAGGGCGCCCGCCCUAUCCCCUUGGGUGCCCGCCCAGCUACAGUAACCAAUCAGCUUCAACUUCGCGGAUUGUGCUCCACCGACCUAAGGAAUCAAGGAAAACCGUGCGAUUAAUGUCGGUUUGAUCCGAUGGCCCAGAUUCAUCUGAAAAGACUAUAUAAGCAAGGCCCCCUGGCCCCUGGAGAGCAUACCUCUUCUAUAGAAUCAAAGCUAGGGUUUUCAAUUCUUCAUCCAAGUAGAGAGGAUCCCUCUAGUUCAUCUAGUUCUACCUCUAGUUCAUCUAGUUCUAGUUCUAGUUAAUCUAGUUCUAGUUCUAGUUCCUCUAGUUCGAGUUCUAGUUAGUUCGAGUUGUAAUCUAGAAAAUAGGGAGAGAGAAGAGGAGAGCGGAGGAGGAGGAGCCGGAUCUGUCGGAUCUUCCUCAACAUUGUACUUUUGCAGCAACUGGUUCGUUCUUCAUCGUUCUCUAGGUUCUUCAAUUCAUAAUCCUGAGUUCUUUAAUUAUUUUUAUUUACAUUCAAGUUAUUUAUUGGAUUCCCGCUUGCAUCAAGUGCUCUAAUCUUUGCAACAUUAGAGUAGUAAUUAAUAGAUUAGACGUGGUGUUUAGUCUUGCAAUUAUCUGGAAUUGCACCCAAUCCUGCGGAUUGUUGUGGUAGCCCUAGGGUAGUGACAGCCCUAACGGUCGACGUAUUCCACCUCGUUCGGAUCGGUGUUUGUAGGACCGUAGUCAGAGCUUCCUAGCCCCCUUCUCAUCUCUUUCUGUGGUUAGUGUUCUGAUGUCCCGAUAUAGAUAAUCUUGAAGUAAUUCUUGUUUCUUAGAUCAACUAGAGAACUCUCAGGAAACUUCCUCUCUUCCCACAAAAAAUAAUUAUAUAGUUAUCCCUGGGCGAUCUUGAUUCUUAAUUAGUACACUCACGUUCUCUGUGGAAAAUCGAUACUCUGGAAUACUCCCGGGUGAAAGCUACAUCGGUAUCCGUGCGCUUGCGGAUUUUUCUGUUUGCGUUUAAAAUACCCAACAAGCUUUCUGGCGCCGUUGCCGGGGAACGGUAGCUGUGCUAGUUUCGAACCAAGUCGUCCAUGUAUCCUUUUUCUUUUCCUUUUUUAACACACUCACCUUACCAUUUUCACCACACCACAUGGAUUUCACUCCUAUCUAUAAAUUCUUUGCUCCAAAGGGUGAGUUAUUAGAGCCACCACCAUCAUCACAUCCAAUUCUUACAGAUGGCUACGACCUCGGCCCUGAUCUAAUAGCCAUGAUUCAGGAGCAACCCUUCUCUGGGCAAGUAGAUGAAGAUCCAUACACCCACCUUAGAGAAUUCGAGCAGUUGUGCUCUUGCCGAUCUAUUUCCAGCAUGACACAAGAAACCCUUAAAUGAAAAUUAUUUCCGUUCUCCCUUUUGGGAAGAGCAAAAAAGUGGUAUGCUCAUUCUGUAGGAGGCGUUAAUGGAAAUUGGGAUGAACUUCGGGACAACUUUUGUCUCGCUUUCUUCCCACUUUUUCGAAUUGCUGACCUUAGAAUUGAAAUUCUUACAUUCAAACAAAGAGAGAAGGAAACUUUAGGAGCAGCUUGGGCUAGGUUCACAAGCCUUACCAAUUCCGGUCCAAACCUGUCCCUGCCUGACCAUGUACUGUACUACCACUUUUAUCGUGGUCUAAACAAGGAAGCUGCUCUUCACCUCGACAUUGCUUCAGGAGGCUCAUUCACACACAAACUCACAGAUGAGGGGAGAGCUAUCCUAGAAAGAAUUCUUGAAAAUACCCCUUACACAGGCAUUUAUGAUGAGUUUCCUGAAGGAGAAAAAGAAGUCGAGCCUGAUCCUAAACCAAAAGAUGAGGAACUUGCAACCGAGUUAGAAAUUCCACCUGACCCAUCCAUUAAUUUGGUUAUAGAGAAACCUCCUGAUAAAGGAAUGCAAAACCAACUAAGGGAUGAUGAACCACCACCUUUAGAGCAUCCCUUUGAAUUCGAGGAAGAUCUUUUUGAAGAUUAUGGAAACACCUCAAAUUUUCUUAUCCAAACACGACCUCUAGCAAGGACCACUCAAUCCAUUCUAAGAGUAGAAUCUGUUGACAUAGAACACAUCAAAAGCCUUUCGGCUAUUCUGAGUUACGAAUGGCUAACAGAAGCAGAGAUGUCUCUUGAGGUAGCUCGGAUCAUCACUCCUUCAACCAUUCUUCUGUGCCAAAUUAGAGGAUCCACUAGGAAGGUCCACUACAAUCCAUAUGUUGGGAUAAAUGUUAUUUCAAAGGAGUUAGCUGACACUCUUUAUCCCAACGAGUCCAUAACUCCAUCUCAAAAACUUUUACAAAGUCCAUCUGGAUUAAUUCUAGAAAGCCAUGGGGUAUUAAGGGCAGUUCCUAUUAGAAUCAAGGACUCUGGAAUAUGUCUAGAUUUUCACAUUUAUGACAUACCGGAGAUUCCUCUCUUGAUUGGUAGACCAAUCAUGAAACUUCUACAAGAACAACCACAACGAGGUCAUUUAGACUUCAAAGUUGGGAAUUCCAGUAUUGUUGUUCCUCUAGCUAGAUCAAUUAACACGAUAGUGGAACCCAAACUUAAACUAGAUCCUAUUGAGGAGAUCUUAAUGCUGACUCAAGAGGAGAUGGCCCAACCAUUCUUUAAUCAUGAACACUUUGUUCAAGAAGAAGAAGAGUUGGUAGAACCCGUUGAGCUAGACAAAAAUGAACAACUUUCACCUCCUUCAAUAGAGUUAAAACCUCUUCCUUCUGGCCUUAGAUAUGUCUUUCUACACAACAACCCAAAAACUCUAGUGAUUAUCAGUGACAAGUGUUGACGGUCCUUAAUGCUCAUAUUUAACCAUCAACUAAUUAGAGAAAAGGAUCCAAAUGUAACCAACACCUAGACUUAGGGUUUUUAUCUGACAGAAUUCCACGAGUUUUGGUGUUUGUCUAUUUCUGCAGGCGGUUAUUAGGAAAUAUAGAAGAAAGGCCCACACGUCGGGUUUACAUAGAGAUAUUAACGUGCCGCGCAAUUUUCUAUCAUCUAGAAGACUCCAGAAGCCACGGGAACGAACGGGAAGGAAAUCGGGCUCGGAGGCAGGGCGCCCGCCCAACUCUCCUGGGCGCCCGCCCAGCUACAGUGCCCAAUCAGGACACGUUUCGCGGAUCAUGCUCCACCGACCUAAUACUUCAAGGAAAACCACAGGAUCAACGUCGGUUUGAUCCGACGGCCCAGAUUCAUCUGAAAAGACUAUAUAAGCAAGGCCCCCUGGCCCCUGGAGAUCAUACCUCUUCUACAGAAUCAAAGUUAGGGUUUCAAUUCUUCAUCCAAGUAGAGAGGAUCCCUCUAGUUCUUCUAGUUCUACCUCUAGUUCAUCUAGAUCUAGUUCUAGUUCUAGUUCCUCUAGUUCUAGUUCUAGUUAGUUCUAGUUGUAAUCUAGAAAAUAGGGAGAGAGAAGAGGAGAGCGGAGGAGGAGCCGGAUCUGUCAGAUCUUCCUCAACAUUGUACUUUUGCAGCAACUGGUUCAUUCUUCAUCGUUCUCCAGGUUCUUCAAUUCAUAAUCCUGAGUUCUUUAAUUACUUUUAUUUACAUUCAAGUUUUUUAUUGGAUUCCCGCUUGCAUCAAGUGCUCUAAUCUUUGCAACAUUAGAGUAGUAAUUAAUAGAUUAGACAUGGUGUUUAGUCUUGCAAUUACCUGGAAUUGCACCCAAUCCUGCGGAUUGUUGUGGUAGCCUUAGGGUUGUGACAGCCCUAACGGUCGACGUAUUCCACCUCGUUCGGAUCGGUGUUUGUAGGACCGUAGUCAGACCUUCCUAGCCCCCUUCUCAUCUCUUUCUAUGGUUAGUGCUCUGAUGUCCCGAUAUAGAUAAUCUUGAAGUAAUUCUUGAUUCUUAGAUCAACUAGAGAACUCUCAGGAAACUUCCUCUCUUCCCACCAAAAAUAAUUAUAUAGUUAUCCUUGGGCGAUCUUGGAUCUUAAUUAGUACACUCACGUUUCCUGUGGAAAAUCGAUACUCUGGAAUACUCCCGUGAAAGCUACAUCGGUAUCCGUGCGCUUGCGGAUUUUUCUAUUUGCGUUUAAAAUACCCAACAAGCUUUCUGGCGCCGUUGCCGGGGAACGGUAGCUGUGCUAGUUUCGAACCAAGUCGUCCGUGUAUCCUUUUCUUUUCCUUUUUAUACCACACUCACCUUACCAUUUUCACCAUACCACAUGGAUUUCACUCUAAGCAUUAAUGAGCAUGGAAUUUAUUUCAUAGCCACUCCAUUUACUCCAUGCUCAUAUGCAACAUCUUCACAAUCCAUUGGUCUCUCCAACAUCACCACAUUCGAGAUCUCCAACCCCCUCAUCCUUUCUAUUUAUAAAAACUUUAAAAGGGCGGUUGUCGAUGCAUAUGUCUAUAUUAAAUAUUACAGAUCUCGUCGAGUUGAUCUUGAUAUAGGUCAGCGUUGGAGGGGAAACCACUUCACUGACAUAAAUUAAUGGUUUCCCAAGGACAAGCUUAGUGUCCUAAAACAAGCACUUAUCAGAUUGUAACAUGAGCUUUUAAUUAUUUGCAACAUUGCCUUGUGUAUUGAGCAUAUAAAGAUAAUUGUAGAAAAAUUCCUUCGGGUAUUCUUGUCACUAACCUUUCCACGAUUGGAGCAAGAAGAUCGGAUGAAUGACAAGCACAAGGUAUGUCCAACCAAUCUUCAUACAACAUUGAAUUAAAUUCAUCCAAACUUGAAUUUUGCAAAAAUUCAAGCUUGGGGGAGUACUUUAUAUAAAAACAUCAUUUGCCAUGUUGCUAUGUUGGUUGUCCCUACCUUUGAGACAUGCUCAAUUUGUUAAAUAGUAAUCACAGUACUUCAUCUCCACUUGAGUAGAUCUCUAUAAAAGCCAUCACGCUACCUUUGUUUAUCCUAGUAAGUGUUAGUUUGGAAGUACUGUACAUACUUCUAUUGGUUUUUAAAUUAAGCAUGGUGCUUAGGUUAAACAGCCUUCCUUAAUCUAAUUAGACAUGGAGUCUAGUUUGGUUAUUGAACUAAAAACUGCUUGUGUAGACAUUGGUAUAUUUUGUCAGACUAACCCCUGUAGAAAAAAGAAAACUUUCAAUAUCGACCUGGGAAGUCCUAAGAUAAACUCACAUUGGAGACAAAGAGAGACACACUUGAAGUUUAACAAUUUACACAAGGAAGACAUAGCUCACAAGAGAUGAUCCAUGGAGGGUGCCACCAAACACGAUGCACAACCGCAAAGAAAGGAAAGCUUCCAUAAGGUAAUACUGUACCAUCACUCUUCAAGUAAGGUAACAUCUUAAGGUACUUGACUAUCACUUCUAUAAGCUUCUCCUUGGUUCUGGCAUUCACAUGAAUAAAAGAGACAAACAUGUAUGAUUUACAAUUCUAGAUUAACCAACCCAAUCGAUUCAAUAUGUUUAGUUUUUUCACCUUUGUGAUCCCACACUAAAUGUUGCACACAUAAUCUUUGGAAGAUAUAUAUAAAAAAAAGAGAUAAGUAUAAAUAGAUUAUCUUUCCAUUAGGUUGAGUGAUCUGAUCUGACGAAUGUUUUAAAUGCUACACUCAUGAUCUUAUUAUCCAUCAACUUUGUCUUGCUCACUAUGCUUAAGGUUAGAGAAGAACAAAUACACUUUUGGUUCUGUUGGUGUUUUCCACCAACAGGGCCCAUGCACUUGAUCUCUGCCUUGUUUCUAUGAGCAGGUACACUUCGAGCAAAAUAUGAAGGACUUUUAUAACUCCCAGACUCCACCAAGUGAAGUACCAAGAUCUACGAGCACAAACACACUGGAGAUACUGGACACUCAGGCAAUCACUGCCCUGAGAUGCUUAAGGACGUAACUACUGGAGUAACCUCAUUGUGGAAGCAAUUACUGACCUUCUGCCGGUCAAGAGAGGCAAUCCAAGACGCCCCGUCAUCCCGAUCUCCAUCGGCAUGGUGGACUUCCCAGAAGCACUCUGUGACUUUGGCUCCAGCAUCAACAUUAUGCCCAGGAACCUCUGCGUCUGAGUUGGUACCUUGUACGCCCCAGCAGACUUCGUGGUGAUAGAGACUGGUACUGAUGAGAGGGCACCCAUCAUCCUAGGGAGGCCAUUCCUGAACACCUCAAGAGCUGUCAUCUACGCUAGUGCUGCCAAGAUCAGUUUCUACAUCAAAGGGAGGAAGGAGACAUUUUCCUUCAAGAACAAGACUACACAAAUCUCAGAGCAAUCCCGACAUGAACCAUGGAAGAGGGCCAACAGGAGGGACAAGACCAAGCAAAUGUGGACCAAGUCAGCUAAGAUGGUCACUGCAGUUCAAGGAGGUCAAGAUCGUCGACUUAAGUCACCGUUCCAAACCAACAAGGACGACCCAAGUAUGCCAAGCAUCCAGUGCUCCAUUAAUGGAUGCAACUUCCAGAAGAUGCUUUGCAACACUAGGUCAGGCGUCAACAUAAUGGCCGCAGUCACCUAUCAACUCCUGUUCGGAACCAUGCCACAAAAAACCGACAGAGAUUCAGCUCCAGAUGAUUUUAAGGUUAUUGACAUGGGAGAAAAGUAUGAUCCACCCAUCAUCCUUGGAGACCGUUCCUCAGCACCGUUAAAGCAAUCAUCUACAUUAGAACCAGAGAAGUCCACAUGCACAUCCCCUCUGAGAAGGUACGCCGCUAUUUUACUGACCCUAACUAUAUAGUUGAAGACUCUAAGCAGGUCAGGACAAAGAAGACAACGCAACCGCCACCAGAGAAGGCAAAUCAUCAAGGACGGAUGGAUGGACUACGAAGGAGAAGUGGUAAUGUCUGAAGACAUACAGCUUGAACAGAACUGUCCUGAGGAGACCGUAGCACCAAGUCAGGUGUGGAGAGAGAAGAUAGUUAUACACGAAGAGGAGGCGCCGCCGGAACCACCGACUACGCCAUCCAGCGAGUCCCAGGACGACUGAGAAAAUGGAGAGUCCCGUUCGGAGGACUUAAAAACAUCGAACGCCUUGCCAAGAGGUAAACUUGGUAGUUAUCUUUUUCCUUUCAAUUAUUUUAAAAAAAAGUUUGCUUAGUUAAUCAGGUUCAUAUCAUCUUGAAAAGAAAAUAAAAAUGUUAAGUAAGCCCCAUGUGAGUAUGCUCGUGGCAUAAAACCCAUAAGUACAUUCACUGUGGUGGCAUAAAAAUAAAAUUAAUAUAUUCGUGUCCUAUAAAAAUAAAAUUAUAAAAAUAGAUUUAUGAUCCUACCAAAGAGAGUAAAAUUUAUUAGAGGAAGCUCAACAUGAUAACGGCUAAGAGUUUUUAUGCUAACACUUAACUAGUUCCACAAAGCUUUGUUGUCUAUUUGAGCUCCACAGAAUUCAAGGAUCAAAGAAGACUAGCAGACGGAGGACAUCCUAAUCGCUGACAGAGUGCUGCCGACAUUCAAAUACACCUCCGCCACCUGCUAGCUACAUCAGAAGAAAUUGCGUCAAAUCCAGCUUGGGGGAGAGCACCCCCAUUUAUCCACCUAAGUGUUCUACUCAUCUUUAUACUUUACUCAAAUAAUAAAAAGAUGCAUAAUCAUAAAACCCAAAUAAAGAUUUUGUGCUUAUAUAUAUAUCUUUGCUUAGUUUGCUAAAUAAAUAAAUAAAUAAAGUUUGCUAUGAACCCUCAUGAUAAGCUCUCACAUGGAUAUGAUGAAUAGUUGCUCUAUCAUGACUAGUUCUCAAAAUUAAAAUCUCUCUCAAGUUUAGGCAUGACUGGUAUGAAUUAAGAUUUGCUCUAAACCUGAACUUGUGGGAAGAGUACUUGAUCUGAAGUCUAAGUCGUUAACGGAUAUGAUAUGGGAAGGUUGAGCUGCUAUUUAUCUGUUCUUAGAGAUGCUAGAAUUCUGGAGAAUUUUAUCUUUGAAAAUCUUUAAAAUGUUGCAUGAUGAGUUCCUGUAUGAUGAGAGUUUAAAUUCCUACCACAGCCAUAUAUACAUGCUUGCUAGACUUUGAGCCACACAUUUACUUUUUACUGCUUAUGAGCAUUGAGUGUGGUCAAGCUGUGUAGACCCUUAGGAGCUUGUCAUGUGGUUAAGUCAAGAUUCACUUGCACGUUCACUCGCACAUGCUGCUUCUACUUCGGAAGUACGCAUCCACAUAUAUCCACCCAUUUCCAUCUCCAGAACCACCCAAAAAUAUUCUACUCCUAAUCCGGGAGAGAAUAGCCAAAACAUUUCUGUUUUCCCCUUUGAAAUAAAUACUCAAGUUAUCUUGGUUACUACCACUUGCUAUAUUAUUUCAGGAGAUGAGUGCUCUAAAAAAAGAGAAAAAAGGAGAGAAAAAAAAUAAAUACGAGGAAAUAAAAAGGGGCAGGUGCCCGGAACCUCGAAAGAAAAGAAAAAAAAAAGAAAAGUGAGACGAGAGGUAAAAAUGGACAAGUGUCCGAUAGUAGAAUUAGGGGUACAAGAUACCCACCUGAGAGGAAAGAAAAAGAAAAUACAGAGCAUCUCAUUCUCCCCAAAAGUUUCAAAAGGGCAAGGAAGGUAUGUAUCCCCUCAAAAGAGCAAAAUUAGAAUUAGACUUUCACUAUUGUUAUCACCAUCAUUACCAUACACCAUUCAUUCGCCACACAUGCACAUCUUGAUUUGACUUAUUGACUUGUUCUUCUGGAUCCAUGGUUUGACUAUGCAAUAAAUGUCUUGUAAGUAUGUAUUAGCUGUCUCCCACCUAUGAGCUCCAGAUAUCAAAAGCCUUAUUAGAGUAGGGUGAGAGAGAAGGCAAUGUCACUAUGCCUUAUAUAAAAAAUACCACAUACUUUGAGAGAAGGCAUACACCUUUACUGCAUUGGUAAGGAUCUAGAAAUACCACAAAAGAGAGACUAGAGAGAGUCAUACAAGGAAUCUCUGAGUUUUAUUUGAAAAUCUGCAAAAACUCCAGAGCUAUAGUUAAUCGAAGAACAAGAGACAUGGCGCUUGACUAGACCGUUCUAUCUUUUAACUGCUCAAGACAGAAGUGACGGUUACAAGUCCCAUGGUGAAAGGUAAAUGAGUAAGUUUUAAGUCUUAACAGUUUACUCUUACCAGAGAUGAGAUCUUGUUUAAACGCAUGUAUAUCUUUAAGUUAUGAAACCACUGCAGAAACUCUUGAGUUCAUCUUUGCUCAGGGACGAGCAAAGGUUAAGCUUGGGGGAGCUUGUUGACGGUCCUUAAUGCUCAUAUUUAACCAUCAACUAAUCAGAGAAAAGGAUCCAAAUGCAACCAACACCUAGACUUAGGGUUUUUAUCUGACAGAAUUCCACGAGUUUUGGUGUUUGUAUAUUUCUGCAGGGGGUUAUCAGGAAAUAUAGAAGAAAGGCCCACACGUCAGGUUUACAUAGAGAUAUUAACGUGCCGCGCAAUUUUCUAUCAUCUAGAAGACUCCAGAAGGCACAGGAACGAACGGAAAGGAAAUCGGGCUCGGAGGCAGGGGCGCCCGCCCAACUCUCCUGGGCACCCGCCCAGCUACAGUGCCCAAUCAGGACACGUUUCGCGGAUCAUGCUCCACCGACCUAAUACUUCAAGGAAAACCACACGAUCAAUGUUGGUUUGAUCCGACGGCCCAGAUUCAUCGAAAAGACAAUAUAUGCAAGGCCCCCUAGCCCCUGGAGAUCAUACCUCUUCUACAGAAUCAAAGUUAGGGUUUCAAUUCUUCAUCCAAGUAGAGAGGAUCCCUCUAGUUCUUCUAGUUCUACCUCUAGUUCAUCUAGAUCUAGUUCUAGUUCAUCUAGUUCUAGUUCUAGUUCUAGUUCCUCUAGUUCUAGUUCUAGUUGUAAUCUAGAAAAUAGGGAGAGAGAAGAGGAGAGCGGAGGAGGAGCCGGAUCUGUCGGAUCUUCCUCAACAUUGUACUUUUGCAGCAACUGGUUCAUUCUUCAUCGUUCUCCAGGUUCUUCAAUUCAUAAUCCUGAGUUCUUUAAUUACUUUUAUUUACAUUCAAGUUAUUUAUUGGAUUCCCGCUUGCAUCAAGUGCUCUAAUCUUUGCAACAUUAGAGUAGUAAUUAAUAGAUUAGACAUGGUGUUUAGUCUUGCAAUUACCUGGAAUUGCACCCAAUCCUGCGGAUUGUUGUGGUACCCUUAGGGUAGUGACAGCCCUAACGGUCGACGUAUUCCACCUCGUUCGGAUCGGUGUUUGUAGGACCGUAGUCAGACCUUCCUAGCCCCCUUCUCAUCUCUUUCUGUGGUUAGUGCUCUGAUGUCCCGAUAUAGAUAAUCUUGAAGUAAUUCUUGAUUCUUAGAUCAACUAGAGAACUCUCAGGAAACUUCUUCUCUUCCCACCAAAAAUAAUUAUAUAGUUAUCCUUGGGCGAUCUUGGAUCUUAAUUAGUACACUCACGUUCCCUGUGGAAAAUCGAUACUCUGGAAUACUCCCGGGUGAAAGCUACAUCGGUAUCCAUGCGCUUGCGGAUUUUUCUGUUUGCGUUUAAAAUACCCAACAACAAGCUUUCCGAUUAUGAAACACAACAACUUGUCACUAUUCUUGAAAGACAUAGAUCAGCAUUUGGCUACUCUCUCGAGGAUCUCACGGGCAUUAGUCCCAUUCUCUGCACUCAUCGUAUCCCUAUUGAUCCUAAUUUUACACCUACAAGGGAACCACAACGGAGACUUAAGAAUGCUAUGCGAGAGGUUGUUAAGAAAGAGGUCCUCAAACUCUAUCGUGCUGGGAUUAUUUAUCCUGUGCCACAGUGAGUGGGUUAGCCCUGUCCAAGUAGUGCCAAAGAAAGGAGGAAUGACGGUCGUUAGGAAUGAGAAGAAUGAACUCAUCCCUCAACGAAUUGUCACUGGGUGGCGUAUGUGUAUUGACUAUCGAAAACUCAAUAAGGCUACAAAGAAAGAUCAUUUUCCGUUACCCUUCAUUGAUGAAAUGUUGGAACGGCUUGCAAACCACUAUUUCUUUUGUUUCCUUGAUGGUUAUUCUAGAUAUCACCAAAUCCCAAUCCACCCAGAUGACCAAGAAAAGACUACCUUUACAUGCCCGUAUGGAACUUAUGCAUACCGACGAAUGUCGUUCGGAUUGUGCAAUGCUCCAGCUUCUUUCCAAUGGUGCAUGAUGUCUAUUUUCUCGGACAUGAUUGAGAAGAUCAUGGAGGUUUUCAUAGAUGAUUUUACAGUCUAUGGCAAAACCUUCGAUCAUUGUUUGGAUAAUUUAGAUAGAGUCUUGCAGCGAUGUGAAGAAAAACACUUAAUCCUGAAUUGGGAGAAAUGCCAUUUUAUGGUUCGGGAAGGAAUAGUGCUAGGACAUAAAGUGUCCGAAUGUGGUAUAGAGGUGGACAAAGCAAAGAUUGAAGUUAUUGAAAAACUUCCACCUCCCACGAAUGUGAAAGGAAUCCGUAGCUUUUUAGGACAUGCGGGGUUCUAUAGACGCUUUAUCAAGAACUUCUCUCAAAUUGCUAGACCCCUAACUAGUCUCCUAGCUAAGGAUGCACCUUUCAUCUUUAGUGAUGAGUGUCAUGAAUCUUUUCAAACUCUUUAGAAAGCACUCAUCUUAGCCCCAAUCAUCCAACCACCUGAUUGGAAUCUUCCUUUUGAGAUCAUGUGUGAUGCUAGCGAUUUUGCGGUUGGUGCCGUUUUAGGACAAACCAAGGAUAGAAAGCAUUAUGCCAUAUCCUACGCUAGCAAAACCUUGUCUGGACCACAGCUCAAUUACACUACAACUGAAAAAGAGCUUUUGGCUGUUGUCUUUGCUAUAGACAAGUUUAGAUCUUACUUAGUGGGGGCAAAGAUAAUCAUCUAUUCAGAUCAUGCUGCUCUCAAGUACCUCCUCACUAAGAAAGAUGCUAAGCCUCGUCUAAUUCGAUGGAUUCUUCUACUCCAAGACUUUGACAUAGAAAUCCGAGAUAGGAAGGGAGUACAGAAUUCCGUAGCCGACCACUUAUCUAGGCUUCAAUAUAAGGAAACACAUGAUGAGCUUCCCAUAAAUGACUACCUAAGGGAUGACACCCUGCUUAAGAUAACACAUGCAGAUCCAUGGUACGCAGACAUCGUAGACUUUAUAGUAAAAGGCUAUGUCCCACCUGGUGCAAACAAAAGGAAGUUGCUUCACGAUAGUCGUUUCCACCUUUGGGAUGAGCCAUAUCUUUUCCGAGUCUGCGCUGAUGGACUCUUGAGAAGGUGUGUUCCUAUGGCUGAGGCUACUCAAAUGAUGGAAAGAUGCCAUGCCUCGCCAUAUGGAGGACACUAUGGAGCAUUUCGGACACAUGCUAAAAUUUGGCAAAGUGGUUUUUUCUAGCCAACGAUGUAUGAAGAUACAAAGGACUUUGUCAGGAGAUGCCACCGAUGUCAAAAACAUGGGAAUAUCAACUCACGAAAUGAAAUGCCUCUCACAAAUAAUCUUCAAGUAGAACUUUUCGAUGUAUGGGGCAUUGAUUUCAUGGGGCCAUUCCCUAUGUCUGGGAAUUGCGAGUAUAUCUUAGUAGCUGUGGACUACGUGUCCAAAUGGGUAGAAGCCCUACCUUGUCGAUCAGCUGAUUCAAAACAUGCCAAGAGAAUGUUCCAUGAAGUAAUCUUUCCUCGCUUUGGUAUACCCCGGAUAGUUAUAAGCGAUGGAGGUUCCCACUUCAUCGACAAAAUCUUCCUAAAGUACCUAGCCGAUCAUGGAGUUCGACACAACGUCGCAACACCAUACCAUCCCCAGACUAGCGGUCAAGCCGAAACAUAUAACAAACAAAUCAAAAAUAUUUUACAAAAGACCGUAGAUGAGAUGGGUAAGGGGUGGAAGGACAAACUUCCUGAUGCACUUUGGGCAUAUAGAACUGCAUUCAAAACACCCAUAGGCAUGUCACCUUAUCAACUUGUAUAUGAAAAAACUUGUCACUUGCCUGUGGAAGUAGAGUUUAAGGCUCAUUGGGCACUCAAGAAAUGGAACAUGGAUCUCCACCUCGCUAUCGAGAAUCGUCUGAUGCAACUAUCUGAGCUAGAAGAACGGAGAGAGAAAGCCUACCACAAUUCAAGGAUCUAUAAAGAGAGAACAAAACGAUGGCAUGAUAAGAGAAUCAAGCACAAGGAGUUUAAGCCUGGAGAUACGGUUCUACUAUUCAAUUCAAGAGUUAAGCUCUUUGGGCAUGGUAAGCUACGAAGUAAGUGGGAUGGACCAUACAAGGUUAUUGACACUUCAACUCAUGGAGCCAUUACCAUCCAAGACGACAUAGGUAACACUUUUAAGGUGAAUGGUCAACGCUUGAAAAUCUAUCUCGAGCCACAAAACAACCUGGUAGAGGAACUUGAUGUGAUUGAGUUCAUAGAAUUCUCAUAUUAAGCUCUCAUAAGCUCUAGACAAUUACCUAACCCUUAACAUGCUCCACAAGUUUUGUUGUCUAUUUGGGUUGUGCAGAAUUUUGAGGCUUAAGAAGAGUGAGACCGAACAUGCAGGCCAGAAGAGUGAACGACUAUGUCAACAUCCAGCUUGGGGGAGGCACCCCCACGUGUAUCUAGAUAAGUAUUACUUUUCUUUCUUGGGUUUAUUUACUAGUAUUCGGAAAUAAAAAAAAUGCAUAACCAUGAAACCAAACAAAGUUUUUAUUUUGAGUAAUAUACAAUAGUUUGUGUAAUCCUAAGUCUUAAAUAAAAUAAAAAGAAAGUUUGAUUCAAGUCUAGGUAAUUAACAAACAUGAUAUGAGAAGGUUUGAGCUACUAUUUAACUUGUUCCAAGUUUUGCUAGACUUCUGGAGAUUUUAUCUUUUGAAAAUCUAAAAAUAAAUGAGAUCCUGUUUGACAUAAUACCUAGAGUCUUAUAAGAUAUAAAUACUAAAACUGUGGGCACUUGCUUUGUUCAAGCCAUUGUUAAUUCUGGUAGUUUUGGUGGAGAGAAUUAUCAUGCUCUAAAGAUCAAGAUCUUUUUGUUUAAAAAUAUAAAAGAUUCACUCUUUCGAAGUAUUAUUGCGUUAGAGGCAUGGGACUAUGCAAAAAUUUGAUUUGAAAAAAAAGAGUGAGACGAGAGGUAAACAUGGACAAGUGUCCGAAGUAGAAUUAGGGAUACAAAGAUACCCACCUGAGUGGAAAAAAAAGGACAUGUGUCCAACAGUAUAAUUAGGGGUACUUGCUGCCCACUUGAAAAAAAAGAGACUGAAAAAAAAGAGAAAAAAAAGAAGAAAAAAAUGAUAGCCCAUGGUACCUCUAAUAAGCAAUAUGCCAGUAAGAGAUGACAAACUUUUCAAAAAGGUCAAAGGUCUUGAUCUAGGAGUAUGACAUUCCUCUCCCUUGCUCCGAGCAUUGACAUAGCAAAAUGCAAAGUAAGUAUGCUAAAAUUUUUAAAGCUCUACUUAUAUAUCUUUCGAGAAGAAGGCAAAUACCUCAGUUUUAUUUUGGAAACUUACAAACAACUCCAGAACAAAGGUAAGACAGAAGAGCUUGAGACAUAGUGCUUGACUUGAUCGUUCUGUUUUUCAAUCACUAAAGACCUUAAAAACCCUGUAGUAAGAGGCAUAAAAGUAACCCCUAUUUUCUUGCUGAUUUUAGCUUUGCUCAGGGACGAGCAAAGGUUAAGCUUGGGGGAGCUUGUUGACGGUCCUUAAUGCUCACAUUUAACCAUCAACUAAUUAUGGAAAAGGACUUAUAUGCAACCAACACUUAGACUUAGGGUUUUAUCUGACAGAAUUCCACGAGUUUUGGUGUUUGUCUAUUUCUGCAGGGGGUUAUCAGGAAAUAUGAAAAAAAGGCCCAUACGUUGGGUUUACAUAGAGAUAUUAACGUGUCGCCCAAUUUUCUACGAUCUAGAAGACUCGAGAAGCCACAGGAACGAACGGGAGGCUGAUCGGGCCCGGGGGCAGGGCGCCCGCCCUCCCCCCUUGGGUGCCCACCCAGCUACAGUAACCAAUAUGCUUUAACUUCGCGGAUCGUGCUCCACCGACCUAAGGGAUCAAGGAAAACCGUGCGAUUAAUGUCGGUUUGAUCCGAUGGCCCAGAUUCAUCUGAAAAGACUAUAUAAGCAAGGCCCCCUGGCCCCUGGAGAGCAUACCUCUUCUACAGAAUCAAAGCUAGGGUUUCAAUUCUUCAUCUAAGUAGAGAGGAUCCCUCUAGUUCAUCUAGUUCUACCUCUAGUUCAUCUAGUUCUAGUUCUAGUUCCUCUAGUUCUAGUUCUAGUUAGUUCUAGUUGUAAUCUAGAAAAUAGGGAGAGAGAAGAGGAGAGCGGAGGAGGAGGAGCCAGAUCUGUCGGAUCUUCCUCAACAUUGUACUUUUGCAGCAACUGGUUCGUUCUUCAACGUUCUCCAGGUUCUUCAAUUCAUAAUCCUGAGUUCUUUAAUUACUUUUAUUUACAUUCAAGUUAUUUAUUGGAUUCCCGCUUGCAUCAAGUGCUCUAAUCUUUGCAACAUUAGAGUAGUAAUUAAUAGAUUAGACGUGGUAUUUAGUCUUGCAAUGGUAGCCCUAGGGUAGUGACAGCCCUAACGGUCGACGUAUUCCUCCUCGUUCGGAUCGGUGUUUGUAGGACCGCAGUCAGAGCUUCCUAGCCCCCUUCUCAUCUCUUUCUGUGGUANNNNNNNNNNNNNNNNNNNNNNNNNNNNNNNNNNNNNNNNNNNNNNNNNNNNNNNNNNNNNNNNNNNNNNNNNNNNNNNNNNNNNNNNNNNNNNNNNNNNNNNNNNNNNNNNNNNNNNNNNNNNNNNNNNNNNNNNNNNNNNNNNNNNNNNNNNNNNNNNNNNNNNNNNNNNNNNNNNNNNNNNNNNNNNNNNNNNNNNNNNNNNNNNNNNNNNNNNNNNNNNNNNNNNNNNNNNNNNNNNNNNNNNNNNAACACUACCACAGAAAGAGAUGAGAAGGGGGCUAGGAAGCUCUGACUACGGUCCUACAAACACCGAUCCGAACGAGGUGGAAUACGUCGACCGUUAGGGAUGUCACUACCCUAGGGCUACCACAACAAUCCGCAGGAUUGGGUGCAAUUCCAGGUAACUGCAAGACUAAACACCACGUCUAAUCUAUUAAUUACUACUCUAGCAUUUCAAAGACUAGAGCACUUGAUGCAAGCGGGAAUCCAGUAAAUAACUUGAAUGUAAAUAAAGUAAUUAAAGAACUCAGGAAUUAUGAAUUGAAGAACCUAGAGAACGAUGAAGAAUGAAAGAGUUGCUGCCAAAGUAGAAUGUUGAGGAAGAUCCGACAGAUCCGGCUACUCCUCCUCCGCUCUCCUCUUCUCUCUCCCUAUUUUCUGGAUUACAACUAGAACUAACUAGAACUAUAACUAGAGGAACUAGAACUAGAACUAGAUUAACUAGAACUAGAACUAGAUGAACUAGAGGUAGAACUAGAUGAACUAUAGGGAUCCUCUCUACUUGGAUGAAGAAUUGAAACCCUAACUUUGAUUCUGUAGAAGAGGUAUGAUCUCCAAGGGCCAGGGGACCUUGCUUAUAUAGUCUUUUCAGAUGAAUCUGGGCCGUCGGAUCAAACCGACAUUGAUCGCACGGUUUUCCUUGAUCCUUUAGGUCGGUGGAGCAUGAUCCCCGAGUUGUACCCUGAUUGGGCAGAAUAGGAGGCGGGCGCCCUAAGGACUAAGGCGGGCGCCCUGUCCGUGAGCCCUCUCGGCUUCCGCUUUGUUUCCAUGGCUUCUAGAGUCUUCUAGAUGAUAGAAAAUUGCGCAGCACGUUCAUAUCUCUAUGUAAACCCGACGUGUGUGCCUUUCUUCCGUAUUUCCUGAUAACCCCCUGCAAAAAUAGACAAACACCAAAACUCGUGGAAUUCUAUCAGAUAAAACCCUAAGUCUGGGUGUUAGUUGCAUUUGGAUCCUUUUUCAUGAUUAGUUGGUGGUUAAAUGUGAGCAUUAAGGACAGUCAACAAGAUACUAGAGUUCUAGAUAUUUUUAUUUGAAAAUCUUAAAAUUGCUAUAUGAUGAGUUCCUUCAUGACGAGAGUUCCAAAUUCCUACCACAACCAAAUUCAUACCAGUGUCACAUUUUACCUGGAGGUUUUAAAUAUCAUAUCCACAGGAAACAGUUGUGAUGAUCACAAAGUACAUAGACUUAACCCUAUAAUUAGGCUAGAUCAUAUAAAGAAAAAGGAAAUAGCUAAUGCACUCUGGUUCUGACUCCGGUAAACUUUGUAUAAUAUUGUCUUAUCGGGCAAGUAACCCGAAUAGGAGAAGAAUCAGAGUAAUCUCCUACCAGGCACCUAUAAGCCUAUGAGUCCUAUCAAUGGGAAGUGGACUACAGAGGAAUGAACGCAGCUAUAAAGUCACCUACGCGAACUACCACUAUCCGGCUGAUUAGGGGAUAUCCACAAGUAAACCUAGCCUAGGCACCACGCCUACACUACAAAAUACUACUUCAACCAAGUAACGAUCAAGAUCAAAGCAGUCAAUAUGAGUUGUGAACUAAAGAAUGAAUAAGAACAAGUUGCUUACUUAACAGAGAAGGAUAAGUAUAAAAGUACCUCAGAAUGCAGCUCCGUGUGAGGGAACUGAAUCCAAACAAAUACAACCAUGAAGAAGCACCGACAGGCUAGAACUCCUCCAGAAUCUCUACUCCUCUACUUAAUCUCUCUAAUCUCUAAACAAGACUAGAUCUAGAAGAACUAGUCUCUCCUAAUUGCUACAUCUAGUUGAACUAGAACUAUCAACUAGAGGUAUCCUAACCCUAAUUAUGUAGAGAAUAUGAAGCACCGGUGUGUAGAAUGCCUCUUGGGGGAGCCUUGGGCGUCAUUAUAUAGGCUGAGGUGGAGUAGGGGGCAAGGAACCGCCACGUCAGCGAUCCGCGUUUCAUCUUGUGUGCACGGUCGGAUCAAACCGACUUAAAAUUGACGAAGGGAUACUUUGGUUGGCUUCCAAGGAGGUGUGGGAGGAAGACUCCAGAAGGCGGCGGGCAUCGGGCAAAGUAGGGCGCCGACCGGCCCCACGGUGGGGCCGGCCGGCCCCACCUUCUCUCCUCUGCCACUCUCAUUCCUUCGGGUGUCUUCUAGACCCUUCUUGAGUCUUCUCAUGAUGUUUUCCAGCGCGGAUGAGUUUCGUGGUAAAUAUGCACUAGAAUCCCUCUUUUCAGCUCUCUGUGAAAUAAACGUUGGAAAAUACAUAAUAUGCAAAACUCAUGGAAAUUGUCAGAUAAAACCCUAGACUAGUGUGUUUUCGUGUGUUCCCUUGUGUCUAAAGUUCUAAUAAAUAUUGACCUUAUUGACCAUCAAAAAUUCCCCCAAGCUUACCUUUUGCCAGUCCCUUGGCAAACAACCCAAGCCUAAUUAAUAAACUUGGAUCAAGAGUUGCUACGAUACUUUCAUUUCCUUUAAGUACACUUGCUUUUAAACAUAACUUGCCCUCUGUUCUAAUUUUUAAACUUACCCAUUUUACCUUUAACCAUGGAGCUUUAUAGCUUUUGCAUAAGUCUUGAGUAAUCGAAAGAUAGAACAAUCAAGUCAAGCACUAUGUCUCAAAUUCUUCACAGUACCAAUAUUUUGGAGUUUUGCAAAUUUUUGAAAUAAAACUCGGAGCUUAAUUGUAUGAUACCCUCAAGUCUCUUAAUAUAUAGUAUUUAUGGAUCUCACUGAGGCAUUAAUAAUGUCAUGCCUUCCUACAACUAAGCAUCUAUAGUGGAGCUUAUAGGAGUGGGAAUAACAAGGAUGAGCAUACUUGCAAUUCAUAUAUUGUGAAGUCAAACAAUGGAUCCAUAGAGAAUCGAGGCAUACAAUCAAAUAAAAAUGUGCAUAUAUGGAAUAUGGUGGAUAGGUGUAUAUAUAGUAUUUAGUGGCUAAUCCUAAUUCUACUUUUGCUCUUUGAAAAUUACUCCCUCCUUAGAACUUUUCGUGGAAAAGCAUGGGCCAUCUUUAUUCUCUCUUUCUCUCUUUUUUAAUCUGGGAGGCAGGCAUCGAUGUACCCAUUGUUUUAAUUGCUGAGAUACUUGUCCAUCUUUUACUCCUUUUUUUCUUUUUUUAAAUACUUUUUCAUAGCCACAUGCAUCCUUUGAAUACAAAUAAUUGGAGAGAUAAUGAUAAGAACUUAGAGCAAUUAAGUGGGGGCUAUCCUAUAGGGUAUAUUUUUUGGUGUUUACCCCUAGUGUAGGAGAAAACACAUUUUUUUAAGGUGGAUCUAGAUGAAGGUGAAAAUGACUGUGUUUACAUCCUAGAGUAGGAGUAAUGCAUAUGUGGGUGGAGUGCGUAAGUGAUCUUAAUUUAAAAAGCAUGACAAGACUCUCAUAAGGUAUACUAAAGGUUGACCGAACUCAAGUAGCAUGAAUGCGCAAAGGUUUUUCUAACUCUAAAUGUAUCAUAUAUGGCUUUGGUAGGAAUUUAAACUUUAUCAUACAAGAGCUCAUCAUGUAAGAGUUUGGGUUUUUGAAAAUAAAUCUCCAUAACUUAAUAAUGCUAGGAAUAAGAUAAAUAGCAGCUUAGACCUUCAUGUAUAAUAUCAAUUACCCAUACUUAGCUUAAACAUAUGCCUCCACAAAUUUUAAGUUCAGAGUAAACUCUUAAAGUGGCCAUGUCUAAAACUCAGGAGAAUCCAUGGUUGAAAACUAGGCACUUGAAAGGAAUUACUAUAGAGCAACUAUUCAUCAUCUCCAAGACAAAAUUUUAAUAUUCUCUAAUUUUUAUUUGACUCUAAACUAGACUGUAGACACACUCUACGAUGACACCUUAAUAUAUAGAUAUGUAUUUUGUUUGGUUUUUUAUUCAUUUCUGUUGGACUCAGGAGACUCUAAAGACAUGGACCUUCACGUGCCCAUAUAUUUUUGGUAUUUUUUAUAUUUUCUUAUGAUACUAUUGUGAACCUUCAUGUGCUCACAUAUUUUUGGUAAUUUGUGACUAUAUAAAAUAGACUCGAUAAUUGCUUAGGUAUAGUUACCUAAUAAUUAGGGGAUGCUCCUCCCCCAAGCUAGAAGUUUGCAAUAGUUGGUGUUGAUGAUCUAAAGAGUGAGCUAACCGGCAUCGCUCCAGGUGGGUGCCACUAAUAGACUCCCUCUGUCGGUGGUUUCCCCACGGGGUGUCACACCAACGAGUGAAUUUGUAUGCGUGCUCCCUUUCCCAGAUGGUGAUGCAAAAAGACACACAAAGAUUUAUCCUGGUUUGGGCAAGAGAAGGCCCUACGUCCAGCGGGGGGAGAGAGUUUGUAUUAUUUUGCACCUAAGUGCUUGUACAGGGGUGAAUACAAGCAUGAUAUGGAGCGGGAUGGAGUAUGGAAGUUCCACUACGUAUGGGUGUAGUGUUGCGUGAUGUCCUGUCUGUUCGCUCCCGGGCCUCCCCUUUUAUAGUGCCAAGGAGGGGCCUAGGGUACAAGUAUAGGCGUCAGAGUAGGGGUCGAUAGAGGUAUGGCGCGCAUACCUACUCGAGGCCUCCGUACCGGCGUGGUCUCGAGCCGUCCUGUCCCGGUAGCUUGAUGAUGAUUACGCAUGCCCCUAGAUCCCGCUCCGUGCGCCGUCGUGGACUGGUUUAUCAGUCGCACGCCUGUACGUCAUGGCGGCAGAUACGUCGGAGUGGCUGCAGUGUUGUUAGUCGACGCCCAACCCUUCCUCAGGAAGGAAACAUGUCUGGUCAAGGGUCGGACGCCGUGUAGCACCUUGCUAUCCAGAGCAUUGACCUUAGGCGUCUCGAGGGGAUCUUGAUUAGACGUUCCAUCCCUGCUUCCCGCGUCCUGACAUGCUCUGGGUUGUUUGGUGGGGAAGGCUGCAAAAAGAAUGAUGGGACGGGUGCCUGUUCCCUAUCACGCUUCCUGUGACUGGCGUGUUAGGUGGGAACGUGACAGGCGCAUUAAAUGCCCCGGUACCCGUGCGCGCGUCAGGCGGUGGGCAGCGUCCUUGCGCUCGACGCCUCCUGGUUCGCUCGAGCCUGUUUCCGUAUUCGACGGUAGUUGGUGCUCGAGCCCUGACCGAUUCGCUCGACGCCUUUUCCGUCUUCGAGGCUGUGGUCGUUGAUGACUGUAUGCGGACUGAUCAGAUCGUCGAGUUGAGGGCCUCGACCUGCGUACGAACAAUCUUGUUAUGUACAUCAGUUAGGAUACCCCUUACUGAUACCCUCGACAGUAGCCCCUGAGUCUCCAUUUGAGCGCUGGCGCUCGAGUGGAGGCUUUAUUUUGCGGUCGAAUUUCUGUAGGGGUAGCCCCCGAGGCCUUGGAGGAGUUUUUGACUCCUUCGAGGGUUAUAUUGCCUAAUUCGCAGAAACGCUGUCGACACUAGUGGUGGAAGGUUCUGGUUGGCUCGUUUUGUGCAGGGGGUUUCGACGUACUCUCGAUAGAGCGAGCGUCAUCCACCCCGGAUUGAGCUCCUAACGGGUAGUCCAAGUGAGAACCUGUGCCCCUUUCGAGGGGGUCAGCUGUAGCCCGGAGGCGUUCUCAUAAAGCGGGGUCGACGUGGUCGGGGAUGCUGGUCUCGUUCGAUAGAGUCCAGUGGCUUGAUGCCUCCCGUCGGGGGGAUUCCUCUCGACUGUCUCGACCCUACCUUGGACAUCCCUAGCGAGUUCUAGAGGUGGGCCUCGAUUUUCGACCACUCGCUAGGCAUCCCUGACUCUGGUGCUCGAGAUCGGCUGUCGAACUCUUUCGGCAGGUCAGCCUGCGACCUCUCGAGGCUUUCGUGGGUGCGUUCCUUGGCUUACAAGGGAAGGAAGAGGCCGUGGCGGUUCGCCUUUUUGCCCGUUGGGCGCACCUUUUCAGGCGGGAGCCGUUGCGACACUGUAUCGGUGCAGAAUUCGGAGCGCCCCAUCUGUGAGGAGGAAAAUGACCGUUAGGCGGCGCAUUUAUGUGGGGAGUUACCUCAUUUAUCGGAUCCGUCCGUUGGUGGGUUGCUGCCUAUAAAUAUCCCGUGGUAUCGCCGCCGUUCUCCCUUCCGCCUUCUGUCUUCAUCUUUGCCUUAGCUCUCUCGCCGUCUUAGCUCUCUUGCCAUCUCACGCGCGCUCACCCCCUCGGGCAGUAGCGAAUCUGCCCUCCUUCCGUCCAAGAUGCCUAUGAGACUCGUUGCUGCCGACGACUGGCACCCGGCGUCGAUGACGGAACGCCGGUUGCUGGAGCUUGAGAGGGAGGGACUCCUGCGCCACCGCACAUCGCCGUCGUCGCCGGAGUGGAUCGCGCCACCAGUGGACCAAAGGGAGCCCAAGCCGCCCAAGGGCUAUGUGGUUUCGUUCGCUAAGUUCCACCGCCAUGGCCUGGGUGCUCCUCUGAGCCGCUUCAUGCGGACGCUCUGCCACCAUUACGGGGUGGAGCUCCAGCACUUCUCCCCAAAUGCCAUCACCGUCGCGGCGUUCUUUGCCGCGGUGUGUGAGGGUUAUUUGGGGAUGAUGCCCCACUGGGAGCUGUGGCUCCACCUCUACAGGGGCGAGCUCUUCAACGCCCCCACUGGAGCCGCCGAAGUGAGGAAACCCGUGCGGGCUGUGUGCCUGAACCUGGUGCUGAAGACGGGGAAGACGGAGAGGCCACGGGAGUACAUCCCGGUGGGAUUAUCGUCGAACCAUGCCGGAUGGGACUCCCAAUGGUUCUAUCUAUGGAACGACGACGGUCUCCUCCCUGCCUACACCGGCCGCCUGAUUACGGAGCGCCCGGAGAACUGGACAUACGGCGUCGUCCAGGUCCACCAGUCGCGGCUCGACCCCCUCCUUGACGCCUUGAAGAAGCUACGCAUGGAGGGCCUGUCUACUGCUCUCGUCCUCUCGGCCGUCCAUCAUCGGAGAGUUCUCCCGCUGAUGUCUCGGCCGCUGAGGAUGGAUGAGAUGGGGCCCGGCGCUUUGUCCCGGGACCUCGAGGCAUGCCGGAUGUCCAACGAGGCUCCGGCGGACGAUGAGGUCGCGGCCCGGGUCAGGGCAGCCGUUGCCGACGACUUCCAGCCAGAGCACGUUAAUGGCUUCCCCAUGAGGCCCGACGCGGGCUCGAUCGACCUUGUACGUUCUUUUCUUGUAUACGGCUUUGAUUCUAGAUCUCUUUCGAUCCCCUUUCAAGCUUGUCUUUGUUCUGGCAGGGACAGAUCGAUGUCCGAUCCUCGAGGCCUCCAGUAAAGGAGGACGAGGCCGACCAUGUCAAGCGGCGCCAGUCUGCUGAGAAACAAAAGUCCGCCAAGGACUCUAAGAAGAAAGGGAAAAAGAAAAAGAACCUCGACCGCCAAGCGCUAGAGGCGCGUCGAGCUAAGUCCAGGCAGAGGGGGGAGCCUGACGAGGAAUCCCCCAGUGAGGAUGAUGGUGGAGACGGUGAUGAUGACAGCGAUGACUCCGAGGGGAUGGCGUCUCGCCUCGACCGGAUCCUCGAGGGUCCGCCUCGAGGUGACGUCGACGCCCCCCGGACGGGGGCACAAAAGGAGGGGCCAGGCGGAUCUCACCGCCCCCGCGCUGACACCUCUCCCGUGCCUGCGCCAAGUCAGGCCGUCCUGCCCCACCAACCUCCCCCUGCACCAAAAGCGGGUGGCCGGGCUAAGCCCCAAGCGACGGGGCCGUUGACCCAUGGCCGCGCCGCGGCCUCCGACAAGGGAGACACUAGCCGCAGGAGCACUAGCCCCGGCGCCCGCCAGGUGGGAGACGCUGGACCAAGGCCUGCGCCUGCCCGUGAGGGGACUGGAGUCUCAACGCGGGGUGGUUCGAGGUCCACUGGUCGAGGUACCGGCAGGCGAGCCGUUCUCUCUGUGGGGUAAGUUCUUCGACGCUAUGAUUCCCAUCUUCCUGUUUCCUUGCGCUUUCUCGUAUAACGGUCUUCCUUACGCUCAUUUCUUUUUCCUCAGGUUGAAGCGGACGCUUGAGCAGGCCCAGCCUUCAAUGGCAUAAAGGCUCAAGGUGGGAGCGGCCUCCAAGGAUUCAGGUUAGUUACUUAUUCCCGUUGUUAUGGGAUUUGUGUUGUUCUUACGUCGACCACCAUAAUGACUGACCUUUGUUUUUUGCUUUAUAGGCUCCUCCGACCCUCAACCACCGACUGGUACCGAGGGUGCCCCGCCCCAUCCCCUGGCGGGUGAGUCUGCCCCGUCGUCGCCAAAACAAGCCGAGGCGCCUCAGCCCCAAGGGCAGGAGGGAGCCCCUGAGCCUCCCCGAUCAGGGGUCAAGGGGGAUCCCAUUACCAUAAGUGAUGGAUCUGGCGGCGACGGGACCUCGAGGGAUGCCCGUCCUAUGGACGAGGAGGCCCAGACUUCUCUCGUCGCGAGACGGACGCCCUGGCCUGCCGGGCUUCGCUCCAUCGAGGAGCAGAAGAAGAAAGAAAAGGAGGAGCGUGAGCAAGAGACGCCGCGGCAACUGCAGGAGCAGGACCAUCAACAAGAGCCGCGGGAGCUUGAGGAGCAGCAGCAGCGGAGGGGCCUGUUGACGGUCCUUAAGUGUCAAAUUUAAUUAUCAAAUAAAUAAAGAAAAGGAUCUAAAUGAAAUCAACAUCUAGACUUAGGGUUUCAUCUGAUAGAAUUCCACGAGUUUUGGUGUUUGUCUAUUUCUGCAGGGGGUUAUCAGGAAAUACGGAAGAAAGGCCCACACGUCGGGAUUACAUAGAGAUAUUAACGUGCCGCGCAAUUAUCUUACAUCUAGAAGACCCCAGAAGCCACGAGACCGAAGCGGAGGCGAACGAGGCCUGACCCUGGGCGCCCGCCCACCUCCUGAGUCCAAUCAGGACUCUGCUUUGCGAGAGAUCUCCACCGACCUAAAGGAUGAAUCUAAACCAUACAAUCUAUAUCGGUUUGAUCCAACGACCCAUAUUCACUUGAAGGGACUAUAAAACCAGACCCCUUGGCCCCUGGAGGAGAGAGCCUCUCAACCCUAAUUCAUUGUUCCUCAAGGGAGAAGAAGCCUCUGAUCAAGAUUAGAGCCACCACAUCUAUUAGAUAUCUAGAUUAGCAUAGCUACAUAGGAUUAGAACUAGAAGGAGUCAAUCUUCGAUUGGUUUCCGGAUCUGUCAGGAGGAUUCUUGGUAAUUCUCUAAUUGUGCUUCUAAUUACUUUCUAAUUAUCUUUGUUCUUAAUAUUAUGAAUAUGACUUUGUUCUACUUCAAUAUAUUGCUUAUGACUUUGCUCUACUUGUUUAUAUUCAAGAUUAUAUUGUUCUUAGUUUAUCAUAGUUAUGUACUUGGCUUAGUUAGAUUGGAUCUAUAUACAUGCUUAGGAUCGUAUAGCGUUUAUCCAUCGGAUCCAUGGUUAAAUGAUAGAUAUUGUGUAGGCGUGGUGCUUAUACAGUAUUUAUCUGCGAUUGUACCCAAUAUGCCAGAUCGUGGGAUAGUUCGUGGUAGUGAUAGCUUCAUUGAUUCUUAUGUAGUCCCCCUCUCGUGUAUUGGGCUGGCAGAGCAAUAUUAUUACAGGAGAGUGAUUGCUAUGUUUCUCAUUUACCUUGCUAAUAUCACUAUGCAUGGGCGUAGUCUUGUCUCGCAAUGAUUGCUAAGUAUGGUUGCACUAAUUAUGAUAUGCUAGACUAUAUAGUUGAGAAUAACUUAGGAAAUAUUCUUGUAGUUCGUUCUAAUACCAUGCUAAUGACUUUCUAGAGUAUCUAAUUGAGGUGCUUAUUAUAUUUAUUAUGUGGCUAGAUCAGAUUAAUUAUCCUUGUCACUAUUAUUAUUUCAUAUAUCUUUUAUGUGACACUUAUCCCUGUAUGAAGAGUUAGAUAUAAUGUUCUCAAUUAUACAUGCAAUGAUAGAUGCUCAAUCUCAUAUUCUAUUCUAUAAUCAAUAUUGAUGAUUGCUAAUCCCUUCCCAGUGGUAAAAAUAUAAAUAAUGAUACCUGGAAUACUUCCCUGUUAAAAUACUGCAUCGGUAUUUAUCUGUGCGCUUGCAGAUCCCAUUCAUUAUUUAUUUAGAAGAGCAAUUGCAUAUUUCAAUACCGCGUCUCUCAUGUCAUGCUAGGGAUGACAACUUGGCUUAAGUGGUGUGAGGGAUAGGUUUGGCAUUUUUGGCACCGUUACUAGAUUUAGAGAACUUAUUCUACUUUUGGUAAUGAUAUUAAGAAUACCCAACAGGGCCAGACGUCGGAGGAACCGCUCGAGCCACCUCCUCACAGUCCGCCCCAAUCUUUACUACCGGCGCCGCAAGAGCUCGGGAACCACGAAGAGGGUCUGCCGGUUUUCGGCCCUCCGACCCCGGCGUGGCUCCAUCCAGGGGCGCCCGCCGCGAUCCCAGUAGAGUCGGGGCGGACGGACGGUGUGGUGGCGCUUGCCUGCAUGAUGCGCACCCCCGUCGACCCCGAGUCCGAGAUUAGGAGGACGAUCUACGGCAUGGACGGGAUUGCUCUGGGGUUCCUCCGGGAGCGUCGGUCGUGGGAGGACCGUAUUCCCGCCUAGGAGAACGAGGCUGGGACGUCGAGCGGUGGCGGAGGCAACGAAACAGACACCUGGAAGACGGUGGACGACGACGAGCGGUUCCCCUCCCUCGUCGACUUGUUCCUACGCCAUGGGGGGUCCCUCGAGACCGUCGAGGAGCUCAUCCGCGGCGUCAAGGCGCGGGCCGACCAGGAGAUGGAGAACUGGUGCCCCGAUCGGAUCCACAUUCGGGCUUCCACCGAUCCGUCUGAGCCCAACAUCUUCCUAGACGAUCGGAAGGAGGCUGAGAAGUGGGAGCACGUCGAGGAGCUCCGCCUCUGGAUGAAGCACACGGUGGGGCUCCUAUCGAACGUUGUAAACAACGGGCUCAGACCAGCCUACUUUGUAAGUAUUGUUCAGUCUUUCAAUCUUUGUGGAACUUGUUGGUUUUGUGUUCUAACUGCUCGAUCACCGGCUCGCAGGACCUGAAAGAGACCUCCCGCAUUAAGUCAAGCUUCAUUCACGUCACGAGAGGCGGCUGGGAGCAGCUCCCCAUCCUCAAGGACCAACUCCUGGAGUCGCAGGAGAAACUCCUCAAGGCUUACAAAGAGCUCUUAGCGCUCGAGGAGGAGAAAAAGGAGAGGGAGGCUGCCUUAGUCGAGGCUCGAGAGGCCUCAAGGAAGGCGGUGGAAGAGGCUGUGCUGCUGAGGGAGCGGGCUCUGAUGGUCGAGGAGGCUGCGUCCAAAGCCUGGGAGGAGGCCCUGUCCUACAAGAACGUCGUUGCUGACCUGGACAAGGAGAAGGGCCUCCUCAAGACUGACCUGGCCUCCCUCCGAGAAUCCUUCCAGAGGAUGAAUAUGGAGUAUGUGAACAGCGAGGUCGCCAGGAGCGCCACAGAUGAGGCAAAGAAGAAGGCCCUUGAAGACCUCGAGGCGGAGCGGGCUCGAUCCCGCAGCCUCUCUGAUGACGUCGAUCGUCUGAAGAGGGCGCUGCUGGAGAAGGAAGGAGCCAUCACGUAGGCUGGCAAGGCGAUCGUGGAUCUACGCGUCGCCAACACCGUGCUGGCGCGCUCUAACAGGGAGGUCGAGAGUGCCAACACCAAUUUAAAAACACGGCUCUAGAGGAGAGCAUCCGUUGUAUGUUUUCUAUUAUCGAGUUUCUUUCCUAAGGCAUGUUUGGCAUUAUCUAAUCCACUCACUUUGAUUCUUGCAGGGCUCAAGGACGAGCUGCUGGCUGCCCAAGUCGAGCCCGCUCCAUCAAGACCCAGCUCGAGGGGGAGGUCGCCUUGAACGGUCGUCUAAGGACUACGAUAAGCAACCUCUCGGCCUCCUGGGAGCUCGAGCCUAUUGACAAGUGGAGGGAGGAGGCUCGGGGCGACGCACUCGUCGACCAGCUAUGCUAUCUUGGAGCUACGCUAAGAGACCGGGUGCGGGACGCCCUCCACGUCGGAGUGAAGCGGGCGAUGGCGGUAGUCUGCUCAGGCUUCUCCAACGACAUGGAGGUGGUGUCCCACAGCUUCGUCACCGACAUCUCUAAGACUGACGCAGAGAACGAGGUGAGGCUCCAUGCCUUGAUCGACGAUGCAGAGGUUCCUGGAGAGAGGUUGGCUAAGCUAUUCGAGUUAGAGGUACUUCCUCCUGAGACUAGCUCAGGCGCGGAUGAGGAUGGUGAGGGCCGAGACGCGGACUGAGGCCUGCGAGCCUACUCUGGGUGCCUGGGCCCCUUGUAUAGUACUCUGUCAACUUGUAUUUAAGUAAUAUCUUUUAAGUGGUUGUCAAAUGUUUAUCUGUCUUUCCGCUCAAGGCUCUUUUAUUUUCCUUUGCGCCUAUGUUUGUAUUCUUCGUUUGAUCUUUUGUUUAAGGCGAUCUCGAUUGCCUCAAGGGUGAGGAAGCGAGUAGAGUUUCCGUAGCCCGGGGGCAUAGGAGUUCUCAGGCUCGUCGUCUCUCCGCCCUUAAGGGGCUCGAGGUGCCUCUACUACUCGACCAUACGAGAUUACUGAUAGGAAAGAAAGGGUUACUUGGUUUUUUCGACACUUGGGGGGGUCGCCCCCCUGCUAGCCCCCGAGGGGGUAUCGACUAUGAUGGGUCAUAGUUGGUACUCCCUUCUAACGUCGAGAUUUUGACUCGUGAGAAAGUAAAUUGCUUGAGGGAAAGACCUUAUUUAUUCAUGCAUUCAUUUACAAAGCCUUGGUACAGAAUGUACAUGAGAACAUAAAGCUUUGAAAUUCUAGGGGUAGAAUCGACGUAGCUGUUCGAUGUUCCACGCGUUGGUGAAGGUUGCCCCCUUUUCGUCCGCGAGCUUGUAUGUCCCCGACUUCAAGACUUCAGCCACUACGUAUGGGCCCUCCCAAGGUGGAGUCAGCUUGUGGCGUCCUUGAUUGCUUUGCCGCCGUCGUAGGACGAGGUCGCCCAGGUUCAAGUCCCUCUUGCGCACGUGCUUGUCGUGGUAGCGUCGAAGUUUCUGCUGGUAUCUAGCAGAGUUGAGGAGGGCCAUGUCUCGAGCUUCCUCGAGUUGGUCGACCGCGUUCUCUUGAGUCUCUUUAUUCGAUUGCUCGUUGUAUGCUUUGAGUCGAGGGGACCCAUACUCGAGGUCUGUUGGGAGCACAGCCUCAGAGCCAUAGACCAUGAAGAAUGGGGUGUAUUUUGUGGCCCUGCUCGGCGUCGUCCUUAAGCUCCAUAGGACCGAGGAAAGGUCCUCGACCCAUUUCUUGCCGAAUUUCUUCAAGCGAUCGUAAAUCCUCGGUUUGAGCCCCUGCAAAAUCAUGUCGUUGGCAUGCUCGACCUGGCCGUUAGUUCGAGGGUGGGCCACUGUAGACCAGUUCACACGGAUGUGAUGCUGAUCGCAGAAGUCCAAGAACUUUUUGCCAGUGAACUGAGUGCCGUUGUCGGUGAUGAUGACGUUGGGAAUCACAAACCGGUGGAUGAUGUCGGUGACGAAAAGCACGGCCUGCUAGGAGCGGAUGUUGGUGAUGGGUCGAGCCUCGAUCCAUUUGGAGAAUUUGUCGAUGGCCACCAACAAGUGGGUGUACCCCCCUUUUGCCUUUUGUAGAGGCCCUACUAAGUGGAGCCCCCAUACCACAAACGGCCAUGUGAUCGGGAUCAUCUGGAGAGCGUGGGCAGGCAGGUGCGUCCGUUUAGCGUAGAAUUGGCACCCAUGGCAUGAGCGCACGAGUUCGACAGCAUCAGCUACGGUCGUUGGCCAGUAGAAGCCUUAUCGAAAGGCGUUCCCUACGAGGGUCCGUGGAGCAGCAUGGUGACCACAAGCCCUCGAGUGUAGAUCCUCGAGGAGUUUUCGGCCUUCCUCUAUGGUGAUGCAACGUUGCAAGACCCCCGUCGGGCUUUGUCGAUAUAGCUCUUUGUCCUCGCCGUAGCUUACAUAUGAUUUGGCCCGUCGAGCGAUACAGCGGGCCUUGAAUUAGUCUUCUGGUAGCUCGCAGCAGAUUAGGCAGUCGAGGAACGGCGUGCGCCAAUCAAACAGUCGAUUGGGCUGCUGUUCCACCUCCAUUACUUCGGCUUCCAUUAGCAGCGCUUCAACGGAGUCGGUUUGCUGGGCAGGAGAGGCUUCGACGCCAGACCCCAAGCCCAAGUCGACGGAUGGCUCGUGAAGAUCUCUCGAGAGCGCGUCAGGUGGUACCGUGCCUCAAGUCGACGCGAUCUUGGCGAGUUCGUCAGCCGCCUCGUUGUAGCGUCGGGCGACGUGUGUUGACGGUCCUUAAUGCUCACAUUUAACCAACAACUAAUCAUAGAAAAGGAUCCAAAUGCAACCAACACCUAGACUUAGGGUUUUAUGUGACAGAAUUCCGCAAGUUUUUCUUGUUUGUCUAUUUCUGCAGGGGGUUAUUAGGAAAUACGGAAGAAAGGCCCACACGUCGGGUUUACAUAGAGAUAUUAACGUGCCGCGCAAUUUUCUACCAUCUAGAAGACUCCAGAAGCCACGGGAACGAACGGGAAGGAAAUCGGGCUCGGAGGCAGGGCGCCCGCCCAACUCUCCUGGGCGCCCGCCCAGCUACAGUGCCCAAUCAGGACACGUUUCGCGGAUUAUGCUCCACCGACCUAAAGGAUCAAGGAAAACCGUGCGAUCAAUGUCGGUUUGAUCCGACGGCCCAGAUUCACUUGAAGGGACUAUAAAACCAGACCCCCUGGCCCCUGGAGAUCAUACCUCUUCUACAGAAUCAAAGCUAGGGUUUCAAUUCUUCAUCCAAGUAGAGAGGAUCCCUCUAGUUUUUCUUGUUCUACCUCUAGUUCAUCUAGAUCUAGUUCUAGUUCAUCUAGUUCUAGUUCUAGUUCUUCUAGUUAUAGUUCUAGUUCGUUCUAGUUGUAAUCUAGAAAAUAGGGAGAGAGAAGAGGAGAGCGGAGGAGGAGCCGGAUGUGUCGGAUCUUCCUCAACAUUGUACUUUUGCAGCAACUGGUUCGUUCUUCAUCGUUCUCCAGGUUCUUCAAUUCAUAACUCCUGAGUUCUCUAAUUACUUUUAUUUACAUUCAAGUUAUUUAUUGGAUUCCCGCUUGCAUCAAGUGCUCUAAUCUUUGAAACAUUAGAGUAGUAAUUAAUAGAUUAGAUGUGGUGUUUAGUUUUGCAAUUACCUGGAAUUGCACCCAAUCCUGCGGAUUGUUGUGGUACCCUUAGGGUAGUGACAGCCCUAACGGUCGACGUAUUACACCUCGUUCGGAUCGGUGUUUGUAGGACCGUAGUCAGACCUUCCUAGCCCCCUUCUCAUUUCUUUCUGUGGUUAGUGCUCUGAUGUCCCGAUAUAAAUAAUCUUGAAGUAAUUCUUGAUUCUUAGAUCAACUAGAGAACUCUCAGGAAACUUCCUCUCUUCCCACCAAAAAUAAUUAUAUAGUUAUCCUUGGGCGAUCUUGAUUCUUAAUUAGUACACUCACGUUCUCUGUGGAAAAUCGAUACUCUGGAAUACUCCCGGGUGAAAGCUACAUCGGUAUCCGUGCGCUUGCGGAUUUUUCUGUUUGCGUUUAAAAUACCCAACAAGCUUUCUGGCGCCGUUGCCGGGGAACGGUAGCUGUGGUAGUUUCGAACCAAGUCGUCCGUGUAUCCUUUUUCUUUUCCUUUUUUACCACACUCACCUUAUCAUUUUCACCAUACCACAUGGAUUUCACUCUAAGCAUUAAUGAGCAUGGAAUUUAUUUCAUAGCCACUUCAUUUACUCCAUGCUCAUAUGCAACAUCUUCACAAUCCAUUGGUCUCUCCAACAUCACCAUAUUCGAGAUCUCCAACCCCCUCAUUCUUUCUAUUCGUAAAAACUUUAAAAGGGUGGUUGUCGAUGCAUAUGUCUAUAAUAAAUUUUGCAGAUCUCGUUGAGUUGAUCUUGAUAUAGGUCAGCGUUGGAGGGGAAACCACUUCACUGACAUAAAUUGAUGGUUUCCCAAGGACAAGCUUAGUGUCCUAAAACAAGCACUGAUCAGAUUGUAACAUGAGCUUUUAAUUAUUUGCAACAUUACCUUGUAUAUUGAGCACAUAAGGAUAAUUGUAAAAAUAUUCCUUCGUGUAUUCUUGUCACUAACCUUUCCAGGAUUGGAGCAAGAAGAUCGGAUGAAUGACAAGCACAAGGUAUGUCCAACCAAUCAUCAUACAACAUUGAAUUCAAUUCAUCCAAACUUGAAUUUUGCAAAAUUCAAGCUUGGGGGAGUACUUUACAUAAAAACAUUUUUUGCCAUGUUGCUAUGUUGGUUGUCCCUACCUUUGAGACAUGCUAAAUUUGUUAAAUACUAAUCACACUACUUCAUCUCCACUUGAGUAGAUCUCUAUAAAUGCCCUCAUGCUACCUUUAUUUGCUUUAGUAUAUGUUUAGGUUUGGAGUAGUUUCAUUUAUCUCUUAAUUAAGCAAGGUGCUUAGUUAGGAAUGUUGAUCUUACUUCCAAGGGAUUUUAAAUAAAGCAUGGUGCUUAGGUUAAAAUACCCUCCUAAAUCAAAUUAGACAUGGUGUCUAGGUUGAUCUUUGAGCCGAUAGUAUGCUAUAGUAGAUAUUGGAUAUUUUGUUGGACUAACCCCUGCAGGAAAACUUUCAAUAUCGACCUGGGAAGUCCUGAGAUAAACUCACAUUGGAGAUAAAGAGAGAGACACAUGAAGUUUAACAAUUUACACAAGGAAGGCAUAGCUCACAAGAGAUGAUCCAUGGAGGGUGCCACAAACACGAUGCACAACCGCUAAGAGAGGAAAGCUUCCACAAGGUGAUACUGUACCAUCACUCUUCAAGUAAGGUAACAUCUUAAGGUACUUGACUAUCACUUCUAUAAGCUUCUCCUUGGUUCUAGCAUUCACAUGAAUAAAAGAGACAAACAUGUAUGAUUUACAAUUCUAGAUUAACCAACCCAAUCGAUUCAAUAUGUUUAGUCCUUUCACCUUUGUGAUCCCGCACUAAAUGUUGCACACACAAUCUUUGGAAGAUAUAUAUAAAACAAGAGAUAAGUAUAGAUAGAUUAUCUUUCCAUUAGGUUGAGUGAUCUGAUCUGAUGAAUGUUUUAAAUGCUACACUCAUGAUCUUAUUAUCCAUCAACUUUGUCUUGCUCACUAUGCUUAAGGUUAGAGAGAACAAAUACACUUUUUGGUUCUGUUGGUGUUUUCCACCAACAGGGCCCAUGCACUUGAUCUCUGCCUUGUCUCUAUGAGCAGGUACACUUCGAGCAAAAUAUGAAGGACUUUUACAACUCCCAGACUCCACCAAGUGAAGAACCUAGAUCUACGAGCACAAACACACUGGGGAUACUGGACACUCAGGCAAUCACUGUCCUGAGAUGCUUGAGGAUGUAACUACUGGAGUAACCCCGUUGUGGAAGUAAUUACUGACCUUCUGCCGGUCAAGAGAGACAAUCCAGGACGCCCCGUCAUCCCGAUCUCCAUCGGCAUGGUGGACUUUCUAGAAGCACUCUGUGACUUUGGCUCUAGAAUCAACAUUAUGCCCAGGGUACUCUAUAAAAAAUUCUUUACACAUCCUUUCCUAGAAACAACCAUGUGUUUGCAGCUUGCAGAUCAGACACUAAGUUUCCCAAAGGGAAUAUUGAAGAACCUCUACGUCCGAGUUGGUACCUUAUACGCUCCAGCAGACUUCGUGGUGAUAGAGACUGAUACUGAUGAGAGGGCACCCAUCAUCCUAGGGAGGCCAUUCCUGAACACUUCGGGAGCUAUCAUUUAUGCUAGUGCUGCCAAGAUCAGUUUCUACAUCAAGGGGAGGAAGGAGACGUUUUCCUUCAAGAACAAGACUACACAAAUCCUAGAGCAAUCCCGACAUGAACCAUGGAAGAGGACCAACAGGAGGAACAGGAACAAGCAAAUGUGUACCGAGUCAGCUAAGAUGGUCACUGCAGCUCAAGGAGGUCAAGAUCGUCAACUCAAGUCACCUUUCUUGAUCAAGAAGGACGAUCCUGGUGUUCCAAGCAUCGAGUACACAAUCAACGGAUAUUCUUUUCAGAAGACACUCUACGACACCGGAUCUGACGUCAACAUAAGGGCCGCAGUCACUUAUCAGCUCCUAUUCGGAACCAUGCCUCUAGAACCGACAUACAUUCAGCUUCAGAUAGCAGAUCAGACAUUCCGAAAGGUUGAAGAUUUUCAGGUUAUUGACAUGGUAGAACACUAGUACGAUCCAACCAUCAUCCUUGGAAGACCGUUCCUCAGCACCGUUAAAGCAAUCAUAUACAUUGGAACCUAAGAAGUCCACAUGCACUUCCCCUCUGAGAAGGUAUGCCACUAUUUUUCUGACCUUAACUAUAUAGUUGAAGACUCUAAGCAGGUCAGGACAAGAAGAAGAUGACGCAACCGUAACCAGAGGAGGCAAAUCAUCAAGGACGGAUGGGCAGACUAUGAAGGAGAAGUUGUAUGGUCUAAAGACAUACAACUUGAACAGAACUGUCCUGAGGAGACCGUAGCACCGAGUCAGGUGUGGAGAGAGAAGAUAGUUAUACACGAAGAGCAGGCUCUGCCGGAACCACCGACUAUGCCAUCCAGCGAAUCCCAGGAUGACUGAGAAAACGGAGAGUCCCGUUCGGAGGACUUAAAAACACCGAACGCCUUGCCAAGAGGUAAACUUGGUAGUUGUCUUUUUCCUUUCAAUUAUUUUGAAAUAGUUUGCUUAGUUAAUCAGGUUGACAUCAUCUUAAAAAGAAUAUGAAAAUGUUAAAAAUAGUAAGCUCCAUGUGAGUAUGCUCAUGACAUAAAACCCAUAAGUACAUUCACUGUGGUGGCGUAAAAAUAAAUAUAUCUUCCUGUCCUAUAAAAAUGAAAAUAUAAAUAAGAUUAUGAUCCUACUAAAGAGAGUAACAUUUAUUGAGGAGGCUCAACAUGAUAAAGGCUAGAUAUUUAUGCUAACACUUAACUAGUUCCACAAAGCUUUGUUGUCUAUUUGAGCUCCACAGAAUUCAAGGAUCAAAGAAGACUAGCAGACGGAGGACAUGCUAAUCGCUGUCAGGGUGCUGCUGACAUUCAAAUACACCUCCACCACUUGCUAGCUACAUUAGAAGAAACUACGUCAAAAUCCAGCUUGGGGGAGAGCACCCCCAUUUAUCCAGCUAAGUAUUCUACUCACGUUUAUACUUUACUCUAAUAAUAAAAAGAUGCAUAAUCAUAGAAACCCAAAUAAAGAUUUUGAGCUUAUAUAUAUCUUUGCUUAGUUUGGUAAAUAAAUAAAUAAAUAAAGUUUGCUAUGAACCCUCAUGAUAAGCUCUCACAUGGAAAUGAUGAAUAGUUGCUCUGCCAUGACUAGUUCUAAAAAUUGAAAUCUCUCUCAAGUUUAGGCAUAACUGUUAUGAAUUAAGAUUUUCUCUAAACCUGAACUUGUGGGGAGAGUACUUGAUCUGAAGUCUAAGUCGUUAACGGAUAUACUAUAGGAAGUUUGAGCUGCUAUUUAUCUGUUCCUAGAGAUGCUAGAAUUCUGGAGAAUUUUAUCUUUGAAAAUCAUUAAAAUAUUACAUGAUGAGUUCCUGUAUGAUGAGAGUUUAAAUUCCUACCACAGCCAUAUAUGCAUGCUUGCUAGACUUUGAGCCACACAUUUACUUUUUACUACUUAUGAGCAUUGAGUGUGGUCAAGCUGUGUAGACCCUUAGGAGCUUGUCAUGUGGAUAAAUCAAGAUUCACUUGCACGUUCACUCACACAUGCUGCUUCUACUCCGGAAGUACGCAUCCACAUAUAUCCACCCAUUUCCAUCUCCAAAGCCACCCAAAAAUAUUCUACUCCUAAUCCGGGAGAGAAUAGCCAAAAAUAUUUCUGUUUUUCCCCUGCGAAAUAAAUGCUCAAGUUAUCUUGUUACUACCACUUGCUAUAUUAUCUCAUGAGAUGAGUGCUCUUAAAAAAAAGAAAAAAAAAAGAGACGAGGAAAUAAAAAGGGGCAAGUGCCCGGAACCUCGAAGAAAAGAAAAAGUGAGACGAGAGGUAAAAAUGGACAAGUGUCCGACAGUAGAAUUAGGGGUACAAGAUACCCACCUGAGAGAAAAGAAAAAGAAAAUAUAGAGCAUCUCAUUCUCCCCAAAAGUUUCAAAAGAGCAAGAAAGGUAUGUAUCCCCUCAAAAGAGCAUAAGUAGAAUUAGACUUUCACCAUUGUUAUCACCAUCAUCACCAUACACCAUUCAUUCGCCACACAUGCACAUCUUGAUUUGACUUAUUGACUUGUUCUUCUGGAUCCAUGGUUUGACUAUGCAAUAAAUGUCUUGUAAGUAUGUAUACUUUGUCUCCCACCUACGAGCUCCAGAUAUCAAAACCUUAUUAGAGUAGGGUGAGAGAGAAGGCAAUGUCACUAUGCCUCAUACCAAAAAUACUACAUACUUUGAGAGAAGGCAUACACCAUUACUGCCUUGGUAAGGAUCCAGAAAUACCACAAAAGAGAGACUAGAGAGAGUCAUACAAGGAAUCUCUGAGUUUUAUUUGAAAAUCUACAAAAAAAACUCCACAGCUAUAGUUAAUCGAAGAACAAGAGACAUGGUGCUUGACUAGACUGUUCUAUCUUUUAACAACUCGAGACAGAAGUGACGGUUACAAGUCCCAUGGUGAAAGGUAAAUGAGUAAGUUUUAAGUCUUAACAGUUUACUCUAACCAGAGAUGAGAUCUUGUUUAAACGCAUGUGUAUCUUUAAGGCAUGAAACCACUGUAGAAACUCUUGAGUCCAUCUUUGCUCAGGGACGAGCAAAGGUUAAGCUUGGGGGAGCUUGUUGAUGGUCCUUAAUGCUCACAUUUAACCAUCAACUAAUCAUAGAAAAGGAUCCAAAUGCAACCAACACCUAGACUUAGGGUUUUAUGUGACAGAAUUCCACAAGUUUUGGUGUUUGUCUAUUUCUGCAGGGGGUUAUUAGGAAAUACAGAAGAAAGGCCCACACGUCGGGUUUACAUAGAGAUAUUAACGUGCCGCGCAAUUUUCUACCAUCUAGAAGACUCCAGAAGCCACGGGAACGAACGGGAAGGAAAUCGGGCUCGGAGGCUCUCCUGGGCGCCCGCCCAGCUACAGUGCCCAAUCAGGACACGUUUCGCGGAUUAUGCUCCACCGACCUAAAGGAUCAAGGAAAACCGUGCGAUCAAUGUCGGUUUGAUCCGACGGCCCAGAUUCACUUGAAGGGACUAUAAAACCAGACCCCCUGGCCCCUGGAGAUCACACCUCUUCUACAGAAUCAAAGCUAGGGUUUCAAUUCUUCAUCCAAGUAGAGAGGAUCCCUCUAGUUCUUCUAGUUCUACCUCUAGUUCAUCUAGAUCUAGUUCUAGUUCAUCUAGUUCUAGUUCUAGUUCUUCCAGUUAUAGUUCUAGUUCGUUCUAGUUGUAAUCUAGAAAAUAGGGAGAGAGAAGAGGAGAGCGGAGGAGGAGCCGGAUGUGUCGGAUCUUCCUCAACAUUGUACUUUUGCAGCAACUGGUUCGUUCUUCAUCGUUCUCCAGGUUCUUCAAUUCAUAACUCCUGAGUUCUCUAAUUACUUUUAUUUACAUUCAAGUUAUUUAUUAGAUUCCCGCUUGCAUCAAGUGCUCUAAUCUUUGAAACAUUAGAGAAGUAAUUAAUAGAUUAGACGUGGUGUUUAGUCUUGCAAUUACCUGGAAUUGCACCCAAUCCUGCGGAUUGUUGUGGUAGCUGUUGACGGUAUUUAUACCAUGUUUUCUACUAUCAUAACCGUCAACAUAAGACUCAUUUUGGGAGAAAACAACCAAACAAAGUAGUAAUAUAGGUACAUAUAACCUAGUUCCACAUGUACAUGCUACUAUUUGGUUGCAGGAGUAAGAACAGGUACUUUUCAAGGGUCCAAACACUAAGAAGGGGUGAAUAACAAAAGAUCAGUGACACCAGUAACCAAGACAACAUUAUAGUCAUGAAGAGGAAGACAUGUAGGACAGGGCUGACACCCUAACCCCAUAGAAUUGGGGUCGGGCGACCCCACUUUGGUGGGUCCCACAGGUCAGCUCAACUCCACCGACAUCAGAGAGCCUCCAGGACACUGCAGGUGGGCCCAACCAGCCAGAUAGGGGGUCGGCCGACCCCACUUCAUGGCGGUUCCAGGGUCGGUUGGCCUCCCACCGACCUUGCCCACAUGUUGCACAUGUUAGUUUGCCUCUACCGUUGAUCAGAUGGCGGUUGUGAAGUCGGUUUGAUCCAAUGGUGCAUGAUGAAGAUGACGCGGAUCGCUGACGUGGCACCGGAGUAGCCCCUACUCCAUCUCCCACUAUAAAUACCCCCUAUUCCUUCACUUAAGAGUCAUGUAUCUUAGGAGUAAACUACUUUAGUAGCUUAGUGAUAUCAUAGUGAGUAGAGAGUGAGGAGUUCCAAGGAGGGGUCCCGGCUUGUCGGGAGUCUUCUUCGCGGAGCACCUCAGCGGAAGCAGGUCUUCUUGUAAGUCUUACUUCUGAGUCUUUUCUAGUAUUUAAUAUUUGGUCUGGUACUUUAAGUAUAAGAAUCCUUUACUGGCACAUUGCUUGAUCUUGAGUGCUCUUAGCUUUAGCUAAGCUUAGGGUAGCAAGAGCUAGUUUAGACGUGGUGUCUAGACUACUUCUUGCCAGUGUGGACUCCUUGUCGCAGUUGUGUAGACACCUAGUGUGAGAGUGACAGUCCUCGCUAGGCGGAAAGUUCCUCGCAUCUGUUGUAGGCAAGUUGCAAAUAAUAGUUGGGCUGAGCAGGGUAGUCGCUUAGGAGACGAGGAGGUGAAAAACUUCGUUAACUCAAUCCUCCUUUUCGGGUAUCGCCCUCAGUAAAGAGUUAGGUGAAAAACCUUGACUAUACUUAAUUACCAAGACCAGGCAUUAAUACUAGUUAGACCUCUCUACCCCAUUAUCCUAGACCCUUUGAUCAUCACCUAACGAUCUAAAGCCUAGUUAAUUCACUUCGCGUUCCCCGUGGAAAUCACGAUACCUGGAAUACUCCCGGUGAAGGCUACAUUGACUACCGUACGCUUGCGGUAUAACCGUUUGCCACUUCUGGUGUCAACAAGCUUUCUGGCGCCGUUGCCGGGGAACAGUAGCUGUUUUAACUAGGAAAAAAAAAUCGUUAAGUUAUCUUUGUUUGAUUUAAAACUUUAUACACAUAUCCAAAUGGAUCAAACAACCCUCUUCGAUUACGCUGCUCCAACGGGCGCUGAGUUGGAGCCAGCGAGUUCAUCAAAAGCCAUUUUGGCCUGUCACUAUGAGCUUCGCCCGAGUCUCAUAGCGAUGGUUCAGGAGAAUCCCUUUUCGGGAGAAGGAGAUGAAAAUCCUUACACACACCUACGAGAUUUCGAACAACUUUGUUCAUGCAUCCACAUCCAAGGGAUGAGGCGAGUUACCCUCAAGUGGAAGGUCUUUCCGUUCUCUUUGACGGGAAAGGCCAGACGGUGGUACACUCGCUAUGUAGGUAGUGUAGGAGGAGAAUGGGAAAAGCUGCAAGCCAAAUUCUGCCUCACCUACUUUCCCAUCUCUAGAAUAGCUCGUCUCCGUAGAGAAGUCCUAGACUUCAAGCAAGAAGGGAAGGAGUCUCUAGGUACGGCCUGGGCGCGUCUCACCGACUUAACAUCAUCUGGCCCAGACUUAGGUAUAACCGAGCCAAUUCUUAUGCAACAUUUUUACCUCGGACUUAGCCAACAAUCCGCACAAUUCCUUGAUUUAGCCUCCAAGGGAGCAUUCCUUCAUUUACCUAUCAGUGAAGGUAAGGCCAUUCUUGGGACUAUUCUCGAGAAUACCCCUUACACUGAUGAUCAUAUUGAAGCUCCUGAGGAAGAUCGAACUCCUAGGGAUGAACCUUCGACAGCCAAAACUCCUUUAGCCGCAACCCAAGCUGUCGAACCUGAACCAAUACCACAAGCACCUCCAAGGGAAGAAGUAAUUCAUCCCUUGGAUUACCCACUUAACAUCGAGACUGAUCUAUUUGCCGAUUUUGGCAAUGUCUCGAAUCAACCUGUGCAAAGGAGAUCUACAGCACGCAGAGCUCCGAAUAGCCAUAUCCCAGCUCAUCUUGAGGCUGGUUACCUCAGGGCAACUGCCCAAGAACUCACGGCUAUUAUGAGUAAUGAAUGGGUUAGAGAAGCUGAGACAUCAUCUGAUGUCAUCAAACUUCUUUCGAGUUUUACACCCAUUCCCUGUGUCAUAAACUCCACUCCUAUAGAAUCCCUUUAUGACCCUGCUGUAGGAGUAAGCCUAAUGUCCAAAUCAUUAGUACUGACACUCCUAGGCGAGGAACCAUUAACCCCGACCAGCAAAUUUCUUAAAUUACCCUCUGGGGAAAUGGUCGAGAGUUGUGGGAUUGCGCAGAAUAUUCCUGUCUCCAUUAACAAAGUCAACAUUCUGCUAAACUUCUUUAUCUUUGAUAUGAAAGAAGUUGACUUGUUAAUCGGGCACCCCAUCAUGAGGUUCCUAAAUGGAUUUCAUGAAGGGCGUCUCAAGGGUAACCUCGGGAAGGGCUUAGACCUUUCUAUGCCUUUUGCCGGCUCUAUUAAUUCUAAAGCCGAGACCCCGCCCGAGCCUGACCCAAUAAAGGAGGUGAUGUCGGCAUCUCUUCUGGACGCUUCUCAGCCUGACUUAGAAGAAGACGCCGAAAACUUCAUCCAAGAAGAAGAGAACAAAUUAGAAGAACCAUUAGACUUGGAUGAAUCUAAACCACCACCAAAACCCUCUAUAGAACUUAAGCCACUUCCCUCUGGACUUAAGUACGCCUUCCUUAAUGGUGAUAGAGAGACUCCGGUAAUCAUUAGUGAUCAACUGACAGAAGAAGAAGUCACCAAACUCAUCAUCGUCUUAGAAGAACGCCGCUCUGUCUUAGGAUACUCGUUAGAAGACCUUAAGGGAAUUAGUCCUGCACUCUGCACUCAUCGCAUCCCUAUCGAACCCGAUGCUAUACCUUCCAGGGAGCCUCAGAGAAGGCUAAAUAAUGCGAUGAGAGAAGUUGUGAAGAAAGAGGUCUUAAAACUAUUGCAUGCGGGCAUAAUCUACCCUGUUCCGAACAGUGAAUGGGUCAGCCCCGUUCAAGUAGUUCCUAAGAAAGGAGGAAUGACGGUCGUUAAAAAUGACAACAAUGAACUCAUUCCUCAACGGACUGUCACGGGAUGGAGAAUGUGCAUAGACUACCGAAAACUUAACAAGGCCACUAAGAAAGACCACUUUCCGUUGCCAUUCAUCGAUGAGAUGCUGGAACGGUUAGCCAAACACUCUUUCUUCUGCUUCCUUGAUGGGUAUUCGGGUUACCAUCAAAUCCCAAUCCAUCCCGACGACCAAAGUAAGACUACAUUCACAUGCCCCUACGGAACAUAUGCAUAUAGGCGCAUGUCUUUUGGCCUAUGCAAUGCUCCUGCCUCUUUUCAAAGGUGCAUGAUGUCCAUCUUCUCCGAUAUGAUCGAGGAAAUCAUGGAAGUUUUCAUGGACGACUUCUCCGUCUAUGGGAAAACUUUUGAUGAUUGCCUAAAGAACCUGGACCGAGUCUUACAAAGGUGCCAAGAGAAGCACUUGAUCUUGAACUGGGAAAAGUGCCAUUUUAUGGUUCGAGAAGGGAUAGUGUUAGGACAUAGAGUGUCCGAACGUGGGAUAGAGGUAGAUAGAGCUAAAAUUGAAGUUAUAGAACAGCUCCCUCCUCCCACAAAUGUUAGGGGCGUCCGUAGCUUUCUUGGCCAUGCAGGCUUUUAUAGAAGGUUCAUACAAGAUUUCUCUCAAAUUGCUAGACCUUUAACAAACCUGUUAGCUAAGGAUGCACCCUUUGAUUUUAAUGAUGAGUGCUUGGAUUCCUUUUACUAUCUUAAGAAAGCACUUAUCUCUGCACCAAUCAUUCAACCCCCUGAUUGGUCGCUACCUUUUGAGAUAAUGUGUGAUGCUAGUGAUUACGCUGUAGGUGCUGUCUUAGGACAGACUAAAGAUAAGAAGCAUCACGCAAUAUCUUAUGCUAGCAAAACACUAACAGGACCACAGCUGAAUUAUGCAACAACUGAAAAAGAACUGUUGGCUGUAGUGUUUGCUAUAGACAAGUUUAGAUCUUAUUUAGUUGGAGCAAAGGUGAUUGUUUACUCCGAUCACGCAGCUCUAAAAUACUUGCUCACUAAAAAAGAUGCUAAACCAAGAUUAAUAAGAUGGAUCCUACUACUCCAAGAAUUUGACUUAGAAAUUAGAGAUAAAAAGGGAGUAGAAAACUCGGUAGCCGAUCACUUGUCUAGGAUGCAAAUCGAGGAUAAACAGGAUCCACCUAUCAACGACUACCUUCGAGACGACACACUCCUCCGAGUUUCAGAAGCCUACCCAUGGUAUGCAAACAUAGUCAACUACCUGGUGUCCGGAUACAUACCAUCUGGGGUAGACAAGAAGAAGCUUGUUAAAGAGAGUAGGGUGCACCUAUGGGACGAUCCUUACCUCUACAGAGUCUGUCAAGAUGGCAUACUCAGGAGAUGUGUUCCCAUGGACGAAGCAGUAAAAAUAAUGGAAAAAUGCCAUGGGGCAGAGUACGGAGGCCACUAUGGAGCAUUCAGGACCCAUGCCAAGAUAUGGCAGAGUGGAUUCUACUGGCCUACCAUGUACGAAGAUACAAAGAACUUCGUGAGGAGAUGUGCAAGGUGUCAGAAGCAUGGGAACAUCAAUACUCGUGAUGCAAUGCCACUCACAAACAACUUACAAGUCGAGAUAUUCGAUGCUUGGGGCAUAGACUACAUGGGGCCAUUCCCUUUGUCACAAGGGUUUGAGUACAUCCUAGUGGCAGUAGACUAUGUGUCCAAGUGGGUCGAAGCAAUGCCCUGCAGAGCAGCCGACUCUACACAUUCGAUAAAGAUGUUCAAGGAAGUCAUAUUUCCACGCUUCGGCACCCCCAGACUAGUUAUCAGUGAUGGAGGGAGCCACUUCAUUGACAGAAGAUUCCGACGGUUCUUAGCUGAAGUGGGGAUAAGGCACAACAUUGGAACACCCUAUCACCCUCAAACGAGCGGACAAGCAGAAACAUCUAACAAACAAAUCAAGAACAUUCUGCAGAAGACUGUCACUAAGAUGGGAACCGGCUGGAGAAGCCAUCUACCAGAUGCACUUUGGGCAUACAGGACCGCAUACAAGACCCCAAUUGGUAUGACACCAUACCAACUUGUAUACGGUAAGACAUGCCAUCUACCGGUAGAGCUAGAGCAUAGAGCUCACUGGGCAAUCAAGAAAUGGAACAUGGAUUUGCCCUCGGCCGAAAGAAAUACAAAGCUCCAAAUCUCCGAACUAGAAGAAUGGAGAGAUAAAGCCUAUCACAAUGCCAGGAUCUACAAAGAGAGAACAAAAAGAUGGCAUGAUAAAAGGAUCAAGCAAAAGGAAUUUCAUCCUGGGGAUAAGGUUCUCAUGUUCAACUCAAGGGUCAAGUUAUUUGGCCAUGGAAAGCUAAGGAGCAAAUGGGAAGGACCAUUCUUCGUUGUUGACGCCGCGACUCAUGGAGCGGUAACGCUGCGGGACGACGACGGCAACACCUUUAAGGUAAAUGGUCAUCGUCUUAAAGUUUUCCAUGAACAUGAACCUUUAGAAGAAGAAGUUGAUAUGAUAGAAUUUGAAUCUGACACAAAGUCUUAAAAUCCACAUGUCCUUCUUUUUACCCCCUUUUUUAAAUAAUUGCUAAAUCAAUAUAUUUAGUUCCUUUUUGUUUUGAAAUAGGUUUGUAAAGGGUUUUAGAUGACGUAGGAUCAAAGUUGGGCCGCCGAACACCCCAAAUGGGGGUCGGCCGACCCCUCUUCUAGGGGUUUUGGCCCAAGGGGGGAUAGGUUUAGAAAGAGGGGAAUGAAUAGAGUUCGGUGCUGAAAUUCAAAAUUCAAAAUCCUGAAAUAUAGGGGUCGCCCGACCCCAAUAUUUUGAGUUUUGAAAUCCCCUAGAGUCUCGGAUCGUCCCUCAAAACGUUCCACGACGCUCCUUUUCAAAAUUCAAACUCUCAGGCUCCAAACACAUCUAUUUAUCCCCCCUCUUCUUCUUCUUCCUCCUCUCAAUUCAUUCCUUCUCAUCUUCACCUCGAACCAGACUCUCCUAGCCUCCAUUCCUUGCCAAGAGAUUCAUCUCCAUGGCUCCUCCAACUAAAUCUUCCAACCAAGCCAUUCGCUCCAACUCCCCACGUUCGCAAAGGUCUCUAACUGAGAGCCUGGAGCUUGCCCUAGCCGUCAACGUGCUGGAGCCUGAACCACUAGCCAUGGUGCCGCCGGCUGGAGGGCCGACGGGCCCCAUGUGGGGGUCGCCCGACCCCAAGAGGGGUCGCCCGACCUCGCCCCGGGUGACGCAGCGCUCCGCGUCGGCCUCUUGUUCGCUCACACCGCGCAGGGGCAUCGGCAAGUCCCCUACUCGAGCCGUAACGCCGGUUCGACCUACCACGGGCCAACUUGCGCUGCGGGAGAAGGCGCCGAUGGCCACCAAGCAGGCCAUCACCAUCUCCUCCGACACGAUCCACACCUCUUCCUACUCGCCGUCCACCCCAACCUUUUGGAGGAACCACCAAGUGGUGGGCAGUGGGCCGGGAAAGGGGAAGGUGCUGAUCCCGCCGCUGAACUCUAAGGAAAAGAUGGAGUUGCGGGAGUCCUUUGACUCGUCAGCAAGUCCAUCCAUCCGGCGGAAGAUGGAUCCACCUCCGAUCAACGGUGCGCCUGGCAAAUACGAAGAAGAUCCAGAAAAAGGCGACAUCGAGAAGCUCCUGGAAGUCACAGCUAGCCUUAGAAAGAAAAAUAGGAUCUUAGAGGAGACAGUGUCGGAGCUCAGGAUGGAGAAUCUUGAGUUAGAAGAUCACUUCCGCCACCUGCGCAUUAGCACCAGCGCUAAAAUCAAGCGUUUGGCGCAAGCAAUUGGGCGGGAGGAUCUCCUCAAACCUCCAUCUCCCUAAAUAAAUUAGUUAGUUUAGGUUAUAGGCAUUAUUUGAUUAUUUAGGUUUGAUUACUCAAUUUUAUUUUUCAAAUUGUCACUUUGAAUUUCGCAAUGUAAAAGUGCCUAUACAAUUGAAAUUUGAUUUAAUGGAGUCGUUUUUGGUCCUGCUGGUGUGUUGCCACCAGCAGGACAUCUGCAUUUGAUCGUCUCUCUCUAUUUUAAGUUCAGCUGCACGAAAACUGCAAGUGUGGGGGGGUCGCCCGACCCCCCAACUUCAUCUCUGAACUGCCGUGAGCAUGGAACAACACUGCAUACACCUUGGCACGUCAUGGCACCAAAAACAGGCACGAUGAGGGGGUCGCCCGACCCCCUUUCUAUGGCAAAAGGAAAUGACACAAGUGCAGAAAGACUUCCCGAGGGACGUAGAAUCGAGUGGCAGGGCCAGGAACCUCCAGGUGGGGUCGGCCGACCCCUCCAUAGAGCCCUGGGCCCACCAGGAAGCUUCUAUACGACGAAACACAUCUUUCCUGCCCGGUUUGCUAACUCUUCCCCCUCUCAGUCUGUCCAAUUCUUUACCUUUGUGUCACAAUUAAAAUAAAAUUUGAUAGUUUAAACUUGUUUGCAAAAUAAAAAGUGAACUGGUUCAUGAUUUAAGAGAAAUUGUGACAUAAAGUAUAGUUCUUACAAUUGUUCAUCCUCAUGGGUAAAAAUCUAUAGGAACCAUAUUGACUAAGUUGUUGAUGAAAGUGAUAUAACUCUUGGCUAAGAAUUCAUAACAUUUCUAUUCAAGGUACUUAGAGAUUUGUUUCAAAAAUAUCACAAAACCAUAGUAUCAUUCACUCCUCAUUAGCAAGAAAUUCCCACCAAAAGCCAUACACUUAGAUAUUCAAGUAACCAUUUUAUGAAAUGCAACCUGCUUUUGUAAUGAGUUUUGUCAAAACCUUGUUGACCCUAGUGAGAGUUGUAUCAUAGUCACAAGAUCAAGAUCACGUACACACCACAUAUAUAUAUGCUGCUUCUACACUGGAAGUACGCAACCACAUGUAUUGUGCAUCCACUAAAUAGGUUGCUCCAUACUCUAAGUGUUAGAACACCUCUCUAAAUAUUGUUUAGAAAAUGAGACAUAAAAGGCUUGGCAAAAAAAAAAAAAUUGAGCACAUAAAGCUCGAAGAAAAAGAAAAUCUAGCCAUGUCUCAAUAUACAAGUAGAGAGAGUGUAGCAAAUAAAGGAGCAACCUAGUCCACCAUAUAACACACUUGCACAUUUUGAUCUAUGACUAUGACACUCCUCUCUUUGGAUCCUUGUUUUUGACUUAACAAUAUUUGCAAAGUAGAGUAUGCUACCUUGUUUAUCCCUACCAAGCCCCAUAUAAGCCUAUAGUUAUAGGAUGAAACAAGUUGGCAUUCAUGCCUUGGUGAGGACUACUAAAAAAAAAAACUUUGAGUGAUCUAGAGCGCUAAAUGAGGAGUAGGAUUGAACUAUGUGACUUAUUUUAAAAAGUGUCAUAAAAACUCUAAGUACCAAGAAUAUGAAAUUGGAAUUUGAUCUUGUUCUGAGAGUUGUUCCUUUUCUCAACCUCUGAAGGAUAUAUGCUAGACACUUACACAAAAACCCAUUUGGAUGAACUAUGUUCGAACUAGCAUUUUAUGCUCACUACUAUCUUAAGUUAGAACCCAUUGAUCACUCAUUUUUAACCUUUACUCGAGGACGAGCAAAGACUCAAGUGUGGGGGGUCUUGUUGACGGUAUUUAUACCAUGUUUUCUACUAUCAUAACCGUCAACAUAAGACUCAUUUUGGGAGAAAACAACCAAACAAAGUAGUAAUAUAGGUACAUAUAACCUAGUUCCACAUGUACAUGCUACUAUUUGGUUGCAGGAGUAAGAACAGGUACUUUUCAAGGGUCCAAACACUAAGAAGGGGUGAAUAACUAAAGAUCAGUGACACCAGUAACCAAGACAACAUUAUAGUCAUGAAGAGGAAGACAUGUAGGACAGGGCUGACACCCUAACCCCAUAGAAUUGGGGUCGGGCGACCCCACUUUGGUGGGUCCCACAGGUCAGCUCAACUCCACCGACAUCAGAGAGCCUCCAGGACACUGCAGGUGGGCCCAACCAGCCAGAUAGGGGGUCGGCCGACCCCACUUCAUGGCGGUUCCAGGGUCGGUUGGCCUCCCACCGACCUUGCCCACAUGUUGCACAUGUUAGUUUGCCUCUACCGUUGAUCAGAUGGCGGUUGUGAAGUCGGUUUGAUCCAAUGGUGCAUGAUGAAGAUGACGCGGAUCGCUGACGUGGCACCGGAGUAGCCCCUACUCCAUCUCCCACUAUAAAUACCCCCCUAUUCCUUCACUUAAGAGAAAUGUAUCUUAGGAGUAAACUACUUUAGUAGCUUAGUGAUAUCAUAGUGAGUAGAGAGUGAGGAGUUCCAAGGAGGAGUCCCGGCCUGUCGGGAGUCUUCUUCGCGGAGCACCUCAGCGGAAGCAGGUCUUCUUGUAAGUCUUACUUCUGAGUCUUUUCUAGUAUUUAAUAUUUGGUCUGGUACUUUAAGUAUAAGAAUCCUUUACUGGCACAUUGCUUGAUCUUGAGUGCUCUUAGCUUUAGCUAAGCUUAGGGUAGCAAGAGCUAGUUUAGACGUGGUGUCUAGACUACUUCUUGCCAGUGUGGACUCCUUGUCGCAGUUGUGUAGACACCUAGUGUGAGAGUGACAGUCCUCGCUAGGCGGAAAGUUCCUCGCAUCUGUUGUAGGCAAGUUGCAAAUAAUAGUUGGGCUGAGCAGGGUAGUCGCUUAGGAGACGAGGAGGUGAAAAACUUCGUUAACUCAAUCCUCCUUUUCGGGUAUCGCCCUCAGUAAAGAGUUAGGUGAAAAACCUUGACUAUACUUAAUUACCAAGACCAGGCAUUAAUACUAGUUAGACCUCUCUACCCCAUUAUCCUAGACCCUUUGAUCAUCACCUAACGAUCUAAAGCCUAGUUAAUUCACUUCGCGUUCCCCGUGGAAAUCACGAUACCUGGAAUACUCCCGGUGAAGGCUACAUUGACUACCGUACGGUUGCGGUAUAACCGUUUGCCACUUCUGGUGUCAACAGUAGCCUUAGGGUAGUGACAGCCCUAACGGUCGACGUAUUCCACCUCGUUCGGAUCGGUAUUUGUAGGACCGUAGUCAGACCUUCCUAGCCCCCUUCUCAUCUCUUUCUGUGGUUAGUGCUCUGAUGUCCCGAUAUAAAUAAUCUUGAAGUAAUUCUUGAUUCUUAGAUCAACUAGAGAACUCUUAGGAAACUUCCUCUCUUCCCACCAAAAAUAAUUAUAUAGUUAUCCUUGGGCGAUCUUGAUUCUUAAUUAGUACACUCACGUUCUCUGUGGAAAAUCGAUACUCUGGAAUACUCCCGGGUGAAAGCUACAUCGGUAUCCGUGCGCUUGCGGAUUUUUCUGUUUGCGUUUAAAAUACCCAACAACGUGGACGAGCUCGAGGCCAUGGAACUGGUCCUCGAGUCGACGGCAGCUCGAGGUUUUCAUCACUUGGUCGAUGACGAGCUGGGAGUCGCCUCGGACGUCAAGGCGUCGGACUCCUAGCUCGAUGGCGAUCUUGAGACUGUUGACGAGGGCCUCGUAUUCCGCGACGUUGUUGGAUGCAGCAAAGUGAAUCCUGAUGACAUACCUCAUUUGAACGCCAAGGGGUGAGAUGAACAGCAGGCCCGCCCCACCUCCCAUUUUCAUGAGGGACCCGUUGAAAUACAUCGUCCACAGUUCUGACUGAACCUGAGCCGGGGGGAGCUGGGAGUCUGUCCAUUCCGCGACGAAAUCCACCAGGGCUUGCGACUUGAUAGCCUUACGGGGCGCAUAAGUGAGAGUCUCACUCAUGAGCUCGACCGACCACUUGGCGAUUCUUCCCGUGGCCUCCCGACUUUGGAUGAUCUCGCCCAGGGGGAAGGAUGAGACCACCGUGAUAGGGUGGCCGAGGAAGUAGUGCUGUAGCUUGCGUCGGGCGAGGAUUAUGGCGUAGAUCAGCUUCUAGAUUUGGGGGUAACACGCCUUGGUCUCUGAGAGCACCUCACUGACGAAAUAGACUAGCCUCUGGACUGGCAAUGCAUGCCCCUCCUCCUUCCUCUCGACCACCACCGCCGCACUGAUGACCUGGGUCGUUGAGGCGACGUAUAGGAGCAGAGGUUCUGCAGGUUGAGGUGGGACCAAGACUGGUGCAGAGGUCAGCGUUUUCUUUAAGUUGUCGAGGGCUUCCUCGGCUUCUGGAGUCCAAGAGAAACGCUCGACUUUAUUCAGAAGUCGAUACAGUGGCAAUGCCUUUUCUCCCAAUCUCGAGAUAAAGCGACUCAGCGCCGCUAAGCAUCCCGUGACUCUCUGCACGCCCUUGAUGUCUUGGAUCGGCCCUAUGCUUGUGAUGGCCGAGACUUUCUCGGGGUUGGCCUCGAUGCCGCGCUGGGAAACGAUGUAUCCCCUACCUGGCGCGCCAACUGUCGGUGUUUUCCCCACGGGGGGUCACACCAACGAGUGAAUUUGUAUGCGUGCUCCCUUUUCCAGAUGGUGAUGCAAAAAGACACACAAAGAUUUAUCCUGGUUCGGGCAAGAGAAGGCCCUACGUCCAGCGGGGGGAGAGAGUUUGUAUUAUUUUGCACCUAAGUGCUUGUACAGGGGUGAAUACAAGCGUGAUGAGCGGGAUGGAGUAUGGAAGUUCUACUACGUAUGGGUGUAGUGUUGCGUGAUGUCCUGUCUGUUCGCUCCCGGGCCUCCCAUUUUAUUGUGCCAAGGAGGGGCCUAGGGUACAAGUAUAGGCGUCAGAGUAGGGGUCGAUAGAGGUAUGGCGCGCAGACCUAGUUGAGGCCUCCGUACCGGCGUGGUCUCGAGCCGUCCUGUCCCAGUAGCUUGAUGAUGAUUACGCGUGCCCCUAGAUCCCGCUCUGUGUGCCGUCGUGGACUGGUUUAUCAGUCGCACGCAUGUACGUCAUGGCGGCAGAUACGUCGGAGUGGCUGCAGUGUUGUCAGUAGACGCCCAACCCUUCCUCAGGAAGGAAACACGUCUGGUCGAGGGUCGGACGCCGUGUAGCGCCUUGCUAUCCAGAGCGCUGACCUUAGGCGUCUCGAGGGGAUCUUGAUUAGACGUUCCAUCCCUGCUUCCCGCGUCCUGACAUGCUCUGGGUUGUUUGGUGGGGAAGGCUGCAAAAAGAAUGACGGGACGGGUGCCUGUUCCCUAUCAUGCUUCCCGUGACUAGCGUGUUAGGUGGGAACGUGACAGGCGCAUUAAAUGCCCCGGUCUCCGUGCGCGCGUCAGGCGGCGGGCGGCGUCCUUGCGCUCGACGCCUCCUGGUUCGCUCGAGCCUGUUUCCGUAUUCGACGGUAGUUGGUGCUCGAGCCCUGACCGAUUUGCUCGACGCCUUUUCCGUCUUCGAGGCUGCGGUCGUUGAUGACUGUAUGCGUGACUGAUCAAAUCGUCGAAUUGAGGGCCUCGACCUGCAUACGAACAAUCUCGUUAUGUACAUCAGUUAGGAUUCCCCUUACUGAUACCCUCGACACUCUCCUUGUCAUAAUAUUGUUCUUGCACACUCCAAAAAGAAAACCAGAACUCGAGGCUCGAAUUUAAUAAUGGGUUAGCGGUCAGCUAGUAACUGAUUGAUUGUUCUUAUGAGUUGAUUUGAAUUGACAGAUUCUAGCAGGAUUCUCUCUUUUUUUAGGAUUUUCUUGUUUAAUUAUGCAGUAAUGAAAUAUGUGUACAUGAUGUAUAGUUGUAUUAUUAUGCCUCCACAAAGAAUAUUUAUUCUUAUGGAGCUUAGGUUUUUUAUAAUGCAAGAUAGUAAAUACAGAAGCUAUUAUUAUUAUUAUUAUUAUUAUUCUUUAUGUCACCACAUGUCACACCAAGUUUUAAAGAACAAAACCAGGCUAGCCAUAUGUGUGCCUAGGAAGUCCACACAUACAACAACAGAAGCAAUAGUAUCAAAAACAAUGUUGUAUAGCAGAAACAUACUGAUAAUUAACACUUACAUCAGAGAAUCGUGGAAUGGUAACUAAUCUUCACGCUCAAUCUUCACAUGGACAGUUGACUAGGGGUAACAUAUGCCUAGCACUUCUUGUAUCCUGAGAACGUCCUUCAUAACUCCUUCGCUCCUCUGAUAACUCUUACUAGUAAACUGGAGUGGUGGGAAAUAGCAAGAGUGAGCACAUGUCGUACUCAACAAGUAUAACCAGGGGUUCAUGAGGCUCAAUAAGCCGAUACUGGUUUGACUGCAUUUAGCUUUUAUAUGUAGAUAGCAUAUUUAUAUUUAGAUAGCAAAUGUCAAGGUAGCAUAAUUAAUUCCAUAACCACAUGACCAAUGUACACAAGAAUAAAGAAUAACACAUAUAAAUAACAUAAUAAACCAUCCUUUAUCAUCAUUAAUCAUGUUCAUCAGUGUCUAUCUAUUCCGUCAGUUUUCCAGGCCGCCCAUAUCCGUGGGCACGGCUAGUAUACCAGAUUUAACACUCUACAGAGGUUGUACAUCUUUACCCAUGAGUCAUGAUUUUCUCUUUCGCCCGAGGUGAUCAGCCUCUUAACCGACUUUCAAGGACGGUCGGCAGGGAUCACUAUGAAGCCUUUCAAAAGUUCGUCUAACAUGUUAGGGCCGCAAGGUUUCCCAGGCGCACAGAUAUAGAUGCCCCCCUUCCGAAUGGCACAAUGACGCACAACCUAUACACAUAAGGACAGAGGCUUGCACUAUACCCAAAACAGUUAGGCCCCUCUAGCGCCCUUUCGGGUAACCUCUAACAAGCUUGAAAAGAUCUUCAUACUGAGCUAAAGCCAGAGCCAUAUAGCCCUCAUGGUUGUACGAGUUGUUCCAACUUUUGCAAAGGGAUAAGUCCUUAUCGAGGGUCAAGAUCAAUCUAGCAAAAGCUAGAGUUGUUUCCACCCUUUAUGUUCAAGUUGCUAGAAAGCUUAUUUUAUUGUUUAUUGCAUAUUCAAAUAUUCAAGUUACAGGAUCAUGGAUUAAUAAUCAAGCACUAGCAAGAACUACCCAAAUGCAUAUCCAAUUAGGAAACAAGGAAUUCAAAUAACAAGCAUUUAUGAUUCUGCUAAGGUCGUCAAGGUGGACACAUGCAUAUGAUAUUUGUAUAAUUAUAAUUGUAUAGGUAACAAGGAUAGUCCCAAGUUAUACUUGCCUUAAACACUUGCACAAGUCUCACACUAUCAGCUUUCGGUCAUCAUCUUCUCAUCUUGAGCACUCAGAGACAGCUCUUCUACUCGCAGAUCGUAGCAACCAAACAUACUACCAAACAUACAAGCAACCAAUAGAAACAACUAAGAACAAUACACCACAUGUCGACGAAAGCUGGUCGGCAGUCUACCUUGGGGUAUACUCACGGUAGUAGUUUAUCGGUAGAUGGUGCGCAAGCUAUGAACUCGAUGGUGACGUAAGACACAGACAAGGUUUUUAUCCAGGUUCGGCCGCCGUGUGGGCGUAACACCUACGUCCUGCGUCUGAUUGUAUUGUGUUGAGAGAAUAAUGUGUCCUAAGGGGGGUCCCUUGACCCUCCUUAUAUAGUUCGGAGGGCAGGGUUACAGAUCUGGAAACUAAUCCUAGUCGGUUACAAUUGCCAUAGAUAGUUCGAUAUGAAUUCCUAUUUUAACCAACUAGAAUCCUGCUUGAUCUUCACGUCUUGUUUCCUUUUGCGAAACUCCAAGCAGUUGGAUCAAGCCUCGGACUUGUCUCGUAAUGGGCCAAGCCUCCUGGCCCAAGUCUAGCUGUAAGGGUAUAGGGGUUUAUACCCCCACAGCUAGUCUCCGAGCACCGUGUAUUGUGAUGCAACACGCCGUCUUGAGCUUCUUCGAUCAGCAAGGCUUGACAUCUUCGAUUAGCAUGGAAAUCGCCCAAACAGUUGCAACGGUAUUUUGACCAACUGAAAAGAUAGUUGAUCAACAUUGACGUCGAAGAAGCAGGUUGUUCGAAGAAUGCAUGGUGCUCUUUGAGAAAAAAUAUUUCUUUUCACGAUGAAGUGUGCCCACUUUACUUUUAGAAAAAGUACAGUCUUUCAAAAAGCAAGCAUAUUCACCGCAAGGUGAAGUGUGCCCACUUAGUCCCCGAGCCUGGUAGUAGGUGACAUAGGCAUGUAGUGCCAGGGUCAAAAGAGUCUUCAUAGAAAUUCUAAAACUGAGAUGCAUCGCUAGAUGCAUCGUACCGAUGUAGUCCCCGAGCUUGCUGGAAGGCGAAGUAUGAGCCUUGUAGCAAGGUCUAAAAAAUUGAAUUUACCAAUCCCCAAGCAUAUAACGUUAUGUGGUCGGUAUAAUCCCCAAACUCUCAAACUAGUAAACUGGUCAACCAGUCCCCGAGCAUAGAGUACUCAGAUUGGUCGGUGCAGUCCCUAGGUCUCCAAACUGGUAGACUAGUCGACCAGUCCCCGAGCUUAUAGUGCUCGGUGGUCGGUGCAGUCCCCAGGUCUCUAAACUGGUAGACUGGUCGACCAGUCCUCGAGCUUAUAGUGCUCAGUGGUCGGUGCAGUCCCCAGGUCUCCAAACUAAUAGACUGGUCGACCAGUCCCCGAGCUUAUAGUGCUCAGUGGUUGGUGCAGUCCCUAGGAAUGUCAUAAAUAAUCCUCCACCAAUUCUGCUUGAUCUUUAGAAAGAGCAUUUUGCCACAUUAAUGCGCGAUGUGACGAGGCAUCCUGACGUAUUUUCAGACGGCUACGUGAAAAGGUGCGCCAGGUAACUGUGCCACCGCUCUUUGCAUGGUUCAAGAAAAGGAAACCAUCAAUUGUACAGAAAAACCACCACAUUAACUGCUGGUAAUUAUUGAAAACCAAAACGCCGCAUCCGCCGCUGGGCCCGCUCACUUCCCAAGAAUGCGGGAAGUGGAAGGGGUGGAGCUGUUGCCUAUAAAGACUCAACACCACACCCAUAAUCUUUACCCUGCCUUUGCCUUCAAGCCUUCUGUUCUUGCCAUUCCUGCCUCUGCAACCUCCAUCCUUGAUCGUCCAGCUCGCAAGCGCUUCUGCAGUGUCAAUGGCGAAGAGUGACUCGAAGAAAAGGAGUGAACUGAUGGCGAAGGAGUGGAAGAAGUCCCGGAGCAGCACGAGGUCCCUCAACGGCCUCGUCGAAAUGGGGCUACUUCACAACCAAGAGCUCGGUGGCUGGACGGCGCCGGAAGGGGAAAGCUACCCCGACCCCCGUGCCGGUGAGAUCGUAGUUUUUGAAGAUUUUUCAAGAGGGGCUUUGGGAUUCCUGUCCAGCCCUUCCUUCAGGGUCUUCUUCUUUAUUAUGAGAUCGGGAUCUGCAAUCUGCACCUGAACUCCAUUCUUCUUAUCUCCACCUUUAUUCAUCUGUGCGAGGCCUAUGUUGGAAUAGAACCGUACUUCGACCUUUUUCGCUAUAUUUUUUGUCUGAGGAAAAAGGGAGUGGUUGGAGGCUCCAAGAUUGCAGGUGGAGUAUACCUCAAUCUCCGCGAUGGGAUGAAGAAUCAGUACCUCAACUGCCCAUGGAACACUUCUCUCACCGAAUGGUACAAGAAGUGGUUCUAUGUCAGGGAAGAGCCGGGCAGCUCCACGUUCUGCGACGUGGGCUACAUUCCCAAGAAGAGGGUUAGCUGGACGGACCGCCCUGCGUUCACUGGUCAGGUGGCUGACCUGAUGAAGCUGAUCGACUGGUCCCACUUAGACGGGCCAGGAGUGGUCGGUAACUUUAUUUGUCCUCGGGUGAUGCCCUGCCAGAGGAGGGUACACUCGGCAUACGAGUACGUGGGAAGCCAAGACCCGAGCAGGAUGAGCCCCGAUGGUCUGGAGAAGGCGGAAGUGCAGCAGCUGAUGAACGAGUUGUUCAACUUUACAGACGACGACUUUGUUCGAAGCAGUGAUCGGAUGCACGCCUUCAAGCUGGGUCGACUAGCUCCUAAGGUAAAUAAAUAAUGUUACUGACUAGUAUUACUUUUUGAGUACUUGCUCUCCCAGUUGUUGACUUGUCUUCUGUUCUUCUGCAGAUUGGAGAUGUUGAUCGGUGCGCCGUGUACGUGUCACUGGCACCUGGUAUGGAAAAUCCUGUGAGGGUGGACCUGCCAAAGGACGACAUUGCUCGGUGUGCUCAAUACACCAGCAGUGAGGAAGAUCAGAACUGUCCCGCCCCAACCACCGAGGACAGGGCAGCGGGGAAAAGGCCACUGGCAGUGGAUCCGUCCCCUGCGGAAGCGUUGCUGGCAGAGAGCAGCCAAGCGCCGAAGCGUCGUCGGCUCGUCCGGAUCACCGACGACGAUGAGGAGGAGGAGGAGGCGCCCUCUUUGGUUCGAAGGCCGCGCAGCCGUCCGGACGUUGCGCCGGCCACUGCUGAUCGGAUGACCAGCGACCCACCUGCCCCACACGCCGAGCCGACGCACGUUAGAGAGACAGGGUCAGCGGCGGCGACUGGUAGGACCAGGAGAAGGUUCUUCACAGCGACGCACAGGCGCUCCAAUCUAUGAGUUGUUCAAUCUUACUCUCGUACUUCGAUAUAUUUUGCGUUUUGUUACUGCUACUUCUGACAUUGAUUAAAUGUCGCAUUUUUGUUAGCGCAACGUCGGACGUUGACCCUGACAGCGUUGCUGGCCGGGGGACGGCCGAGCCCGUGGUUGUCGUCGAAGAUGCCGCGCCGUAGACCACCCAGGAGCGUGCCGAGGAGCAGCCCACGGUGGUGAUUGCGGCUGAGACUGCCGAAGAGCAUCCAGCCCCAACAAGGGCCAGAGCGGGCACCCCUACGAGGGAUGGAGAGGCUGCGAGGACGCCGCCCCCGAGCAACAUUGUGGACGAAGAAGAUAGAGCUCUAACUCCCCCGCUAGCUGAAGAAGGGGGAGUCCCAACCCUGCCCUGAGCAGAGGCCUCUUCACCAGCAGGCUCCCCUGGCCUAUAUCAGGGUCCAGUGAUACUGGUGACCACGGCCGGGGGUAGUGCGGAGGGUGAGGAGACCCGGACGGCCUCCGAUGAUGAAGUGGAGGAGAUCCAAGGUCGUCCCCAAGAUGGUCGCCAGCACAUUUACGUGUGGUGCCAACACGGGGACCACUUCAUUGGUCAUGAAGAACUCGCAGAGACGGAGGAGGUCGCGAGGGUGGAGAACGCAGCGAAGUGGCUUGUCGACGAGGUUAAGGUAAGUGGUCUUUUGCGCUGCUCAAAGUUUAUAUGCAUUGUCUCUGGAUUCAGUAUGUAUUCUUCUUGUAGGGCGCAAUGAAAACGAUAAAGUACCGGAAAAGGUGCUUCGACCAGAUUGAGGGAAUCGUGGCCGAGAGCAAGGCCCUUUCCGCGGAGGUGGACCAGCUUCGGACGGAGGCCGAGGAGAAGACGGCCGAGAUGGGUGCUCAGGAAGAGCGCCUGCUCGAUCUCAAUCGGGGUUGGCCGACAAAGAUCAGGAAAGGAGAGGUCAGUCGUGUAUUCCGAGCAGCUGUAUGUAGCCAUGUAGUCGUUUUUGUUGACCAGAAAUUGCUCUUGCAGACUUGGAGGAGGAGGUUGCACGCCUCCGACAAGAAAAGGAGAAGCUCAACCAGGAGCUUGCCGGGGCGCUUGAGACCGGGCGCCGAGCUGGCGAGGAGCUAAGCAACAAGAGUCGGGAGUUGACUGGUAAGAACCGUAUGCCCUUCUUCUUUGUUUGCUCGACACUCCUUGUCUUGUGCACGCACUGACUUCUUGCUUGAUUCUCAGUGCUCAAAGUAAACACCAAGAAGCACCUCGACGAGCUGAUCAAGGACCGGGACUCCUGGAAACCAACUGCAUCAAGCUUUGGAAAGGAGCGGCCCCGGUGCUUGAUUUGAUCAGCCCCGAGCUCCCUGGAGACCAGCCGUUUGUCAAGGACUCCGAUCGAGAAGGUGCAACAGGCGUGGAACUGGCUCCAGCAGUUUGUCAAGGACGCCGGGGAGUUCGCCGGUGCGCACGUCCUCAGCAUGGUGCGCGCCCACUAUCCUCUGGUCGACUUGUCCAGACUGGAGAGGGGGUACCCCAAGGAGGUUGGUCCGCAGGAGGCAGACGACCUUCGAGUUGGUCUGCUUGACCUAUCGUCAACAGUGAUCGGCGACUUCAACCUCUGCGAGACGGCCACUCCCCCCGACCAGCCCGGGUCAGACAGAUCGACCAGGGAGUUGUCGGGAGCGUCCCUUGCCGGAGAUGGGCGGUCGACGCCUGCGGUCUCGACCAGCUAGGCGCCGGUGGCCCCGACCCCUUCGACUGGCCAGCAAGGCCGAGCGGGUGAUCAGCCCGAGCAGUAGGCCUGUAGAGUAGUCUGUAGAAAUAGACUAGGGACCGCCCAGAGGGGUGUUUAUUGUAAACUUUGUAUAUAAAGUUUGUAAUAAAGAUUGAUUUGUCGUAACCAUGGUUGUGAGCACUGUAACGAUGUCUGAGUGAUGUAUCACUGAAUUGGGUUAAUAAUCCUUAGGGAUUUUGGUCCCAGAGGGAGAUUGUUGUACUUGUCGAAAGCUCUGCGUGUAAAAAAGUAUAUAGCGAAAAAGUGAAAAUUUUAUUAUUGCUAAUCAUAAGAAACUUACAAACAAAAGGUAAUGGAACUUAUGGAUAGAAACAGCGUUGUCGAGGGUAUCAAUAAGGGGUACCCUCACCGAUGCACAUAACGAGAUUAUCCGUACGCAGGUCGAGGCCCUCAACUCGACGCUCUGAUCAUACAUACGCGCAGCCAUCGACGACCGCAACCUCGAAGAUGGAAAUGGCAUCGAGCGAAUCGAUCAAGGGUCGAGCGCCAGCUAUCGUCGAAUACGGAAACAGGCCCGAGCGAAUCGAGAAGCAUCGAGCGCAAGGACACUGUCCGUCGCCUGACGCGCGCACGAGAGCCAGGACAUUUAAUGUGCUCGCCGCAUUCCCACCUAACACACUAGUCACGGGAGGCGUGAUAGGAAACAGGCACCCGUCCCAUCGUUCUUUUUGCAGCCUUCCCCACCAAACGACCCAGGGCGUGUCAGGACGUGGGAAACAAGGAUGGAACGUCUAAUCGGAACCCCCUCGAGACAACCAAGGUCAGCGCUCCGGACAUUGGGGCAUUACACAGCGUCCGACCCUCGACCAGACGUAGCUCCUUCCUGGGGACGAGCUGGGCGUCGACUGACAACACCGCAACCACUCCGCCGGAUUUGCCGCCAUAUCGUACAGGCGUGUGACGGGUGAACCAGCCUAAGACGGCGCGCGAAGUGGGAUACAGGGGCACGCAUAAUCAUCAUCAGGCUACUAAGACGGGACGGCUCGAGGACACGCCGGUACGGAGGCCUCGAGUAGGUCAGCGCGCCAUGCUCCUAUCGACCCCUACUCUGACACCUAUACAUGUACCCUGGGUCUCUGCUUGGAGCUAUAAAAGGAAGGACCUGGGAAUAGAUAGACAACAGGCAAUACUUCACCCAUACGUGGUAGAACUCCCAUACUCCAUACCACGCUCGUAUUCGCCCCUGUACAAGCACUUAUGUGCAAGAUAAUGCAAACUUCCCUCCCCCGCUGGACGUAGGGCCUUCUCUUGCCCGAACCAGGAUAAAUCUUUGUGUCUUCUUGCAUCACCAUCUGGGAAAGGGAGCACGCAAACAAAUUUACUCAUUGGUGUGACCCCCUGUGGGGAAAACACCGACAGUUGGCGCGCCAGGUAGGGGUCCUGCGUGUUUUUUUAAUUGAUUUCCCACUCCUUUCCAGAUGGCUGCUCUCACCUCGCCGAUCCCGCACUCCACGGUGAUUUGGUUUGGGAGUCUCGAGUUCAUGUCCACGGGCUCCGGCUACGACAUGAUCUUGCUCUCAGUCAAAGGACUAGGAGGAGCCCGCGUUGCACCAGCACGGUUGAGGGCCCCGAGACGCCCUCGCCACCAUGCCUCCCCACCCAAGAAGAGGAGCGGACAGCACCACCGCCGCCCCUCUGCCUCAUCACGACCGGCAACUCGCGCGAGGCAGGAGGUGGGCCACAAGCCGGCAGCACCAUGUGCCGGAACCGCGGGCACGACGGCUCAACACCGCACGACGACGGGAGGGGACGUGUUUCGCGUGCCCUCCCCCACCGCUGCUAAGCUACUUCCACACGGGUUGUUCUCUCCAAGAAGGGCACUGCCAUUCGGAUUAGACAACGCCGCGGCAUCGCUCGCUAGAGCAAUAUGCCCAAACGCCCAGACGAACGUAGAGAGACCAAUGGUCCUCCCACGUGACUCUGAAGCACUACGGCCGACGUCCGAACUGCCGGAUUUCUCCCAGGUGCGAGGCCUCCGCCGCCUAGGCCCUGGGCGAUACACGAUCACCUCACUGAGGCAACGGCUGCUGGAGGAGGGACGUGGAUGUUUCUACGUCGCCAAGCCGGACUCCGACUCCGAGACUGAGAGCUACGACCCUACAAGAGAAUGCUAUCACGUCGACGGGGCGGUAGAAACUACUGACGAGACGCAGGAUGCUGCUUUGGGCGGUCGAGCCCCUGCAGCACGGGAAGACCCCAGGACGCCUGGGAACGAGGGACAGGUCGACCCCCCUCCAUAGGAAGACAGGGCUGCGCAGCUCGCACAGCUACGGGAGCUCAAGAUGAAGCUCGACGAAGACCGUGAGCGCCUCGUCCUGCUCGAGCAAAUCCUUGAGCAAGACCUGCCCUACCCGCCAGGCGGAUGUGUCCGCAAACGUGCUCGAGAGGUACAUCGACAAAUUGUCAGAGACGCAGAGCCAGAGCAGCCUGUCAGCCGUUUCCCUCGAGCGGGCCAGAAUGUAGUGGCAGUGACGAUGCUACUGCGCAACAUGCCAGAACCAUCGAACUCCCAGGCUCGGCGCAUUCGAGACGAGGUACAGACUCUGCUCCAGGUGGCGGCAGUUCAACAAGCCGAAAGCUCAGCUUCUCGACGAUAAGGAGCUGCCACCGAAAAGCGCGAUGAGCCACCCCAAAACGAAAAGGAGGUGUCAGUCCAUCAACAGCCUCCCCCUCGAGGUAGAAAGACCGCUCUCGUCCUCCCUGUCGACAAUCAGCGUCGACACGACGCGCGGCGUGACAUCGAAGAGAAUCGACGCCGUCGGUAUGGGGACGCGGAAGAGCGCAGUUACAGCGCGCAUCACGGUGGAAGGUAUGACAGCGACGAGGACCGGAUGGCCCCCGAGCCACCAGGCCCACGGGUGUUCAGCAGGGCAAUCCGCAGCACGCCCCUGCCCAGUCCGUUCCGACCCCCGACCAGCAUCGCAAAAUACAAUGGUGAGACCAAACUAGAGUUGUGGCUAGCCAAUUUUAGGCUGGCCUGUCAGCUAGAAGGCGCUCGAGGAGAUGAUCGAGCCAUCAUCAAAUAGUUGCCGCUCUUCCUCUCUGACACCGCCCGUCGGUGGCUCGAGGAACUUCCAGCUAAUCAGAUCCACGACUGGGUCGAUUUGGUUAGAGUCUUCGAGGGUAACUUCAAAGGAACCUACAUACGGCCCGGGAACUCGUGGGAUCUCAGCAAGUGCAAACAGAAGUCAGGAGAAACUCUUCGAGAGUAUGCUCGACGCUUCUCAAAGCAGCGCACCGAGUUGCCACACAUCCCUGACCAUGACGUCAUCCUGGCUUUUGUCUCUGGUACUACCAGUCGAGACUUAGUGCGGGAAUUGGGUCGGAAUCGACCUCAGACCGUCGACGAGCUGAUGGAUGUAGUAGCAAACUACGCAGCAGGGGAGGAGGCAGUCGGCGCCUUCUUUAGUUGUGAAGGAAGGAAAGGCAAGCAACCUACCGAUGAAGACGAGCCCCCCAGUCGAGGGCCCAAGAAGAACAAGAAGAAGCAGAAAGUGCGGCAGUUCAAGCAGGAGAACUUCGACAACGACCUCGUCGCCGCCAUGGAGCGGAAGAAGCCUCGAGGCCCCCCAGAUGGAGGUAUCUUCGAUAAGAUGCUAGAGGAACCAUGCCCUUACCAUAAAGGAGGAGCCAACCACAAGCUCAAGGACUGUCGUAUGCUGAAAAAGCAUUUCGAUGGCCUAGGGUUCAGAAAGGACGCGCGCGACGACCCCAAGAAGGAGAAGGGCGGUGACAAGGAGGGCGACAAGGACAACGAUGGUUUCCCUGCCGUCCACGACUGCUACAUGAUCUAUGGUGAGCCCUCGACGCAGUUGACUGCAACGCAGCGCAAGAGAGAACGUCGUGAGGUCUUCACGGCGAGAAUGGCGGUGCCCCAGUACCUCAGCUGGUCGAGCACACCCAUCACCUUCAACCAAGAGGACCACCCUGACAAGGUGGUUGCCCUAGGCGUCUACCCGCUCGUCGUCGACCCCAUCAUCGUCAACACCCGGCUCUUGAUUGUGCUAAUGGACGGAGGCAGCAGCCUCAACAUCAUCUACCUCAAGACCCUCAACAUUCACUUUGCUGCAUCCAACAAUGUCGCGGAAUACGAGGCCCUUGUCAACGGUCUCAAGAUCGCCAUCGAGCUAGGAGUCCGACGCCUUGACGUCCGAGGCGACUCCCAACUCGUCAUCGAUCAAGUAAUGAAGACCUCAAGCUGCCAUGACCCGAAAAUGGAGGCGUGCUACAAAGAAGUCCGUCGACUCGAGGACAAGUUCCAUGGCCUCGAGCUCGUCCAUGUCGCCCGACGCUACAACGAAGCAGCCGACGAACUCGCCAAGAUCGCGUCGACCCGAGGCACGGUACCGCCUGACGCGUUCUCGAGAGAUCUUCACGAGCCAUCCGUCGACUUGGGCUCGGGGGCUGGCAUCGAUGCCGGUCCCGCACAGCCAACCGACACCGUCAACGCACUAUUAAUGGCAGCUGAGGUGAUGGAGGUAGAAUGGCGGCCCGGUCGACCAUUCGACUGGCGCACACCGUUCCUCGACUGCCUAAUCCGCUGUGAGCUGCCAGAAAAUCGAUCUGAAGCACGCCGUAUCGCUCGACGGGCCAAGUCAUAUGUGAUUUGCGGCGAAGGCAAUGAGCUAUACCGACGAAGCCCGACGGGGGUCUUGCAGCGUUGCAUCACCGUGGAAGAAGGCCGGAAACUACUCGAAGACCUACACUCGGGGGCUUGUGGCCACCAUGCUGCUCCACGGACCCUCGUAGGGAAUGCCUUCCGACAAGGCUUCUACUAGCCAACGUCCAUAGCAGAUGCCAUCGAGCUCGUACGCUCAUGUCAUGGGUGCCAGUUCUACACCAAACAGACACAUCUACCCGCCCAUGCUCUUCAGAUGAUCCCCAUCACCUGGCCGUUUGCGGUGUGGGGGCUCAAUUUAAUAGGACCUCUACAAAAGGCGAAAGGGGGGUACACCCACCUGCUGGUGGCCAUCGACAAAUUCUCCAAAUGGAUCGAGGCUCCACCCAUCACCAACAUCCGCUCCGAACAAGUCGUCCUUUUCUUCACCGACAUCAUACAUCGGUUUGGAAUCCCCAACGUAAUCAUCACCGACAACGGCACUCAGUUCACCGGCAAAAAGUUCUUGGACUUCUACGAUCAGCAUCACAUCCGUGUCAACUGGUCGGCAGUGGCCCACCCUCGAACUAACGGCCAGGUCGAGCAUGCCAACGGCAUGAUUUUACAGGGGCUCAAACCAAGAAUCUACAAUCGCUUGAAUAAAUUCGGCAAGAAGUGGGUCGAAGAGCUUUCCUCAGUCCUAUGGAGCCUAAGAACAACACAUAGCAGGGCCACAAAAUUCACCCCAUUCUUCAUGGUCUACGGUUCUGUGGCUGUCCUCCCCACAGACCUCGAGUAUGGGUCCCCUCGACUCAAGGCGUACAAUGAGCAGACAAACAAGGAAACUCAAGAGAAUGCGGUCGACCAGCUUGAGGAGGCUCGAGACAUGGCCCUCCUCAACUCUGCCAGAUACCAGUAGAAACUUCGACGCUACCACGACAAACACGUACGCAAGAGGGACUUAAACGUGGGUGACCUUGUCCUACGACGACGGCAGAGCAAUCAAGGACGCCACAAGCUGACCCCGCCUUGGGAAGGCCCGUACGUGGUGGCCGAGGUCUUGAAGCCAGGAACGUACAAGUUAGCGGACGAGAAGGGGGCGAUCUUCACCAACGCAUGGAACAUCGAACAGCUAUGUCGAUUCUACCCUUAGAAUUUCGAAACUUUAUGUUCCAGCGCACAUUCUGUACCAAGACCUUGUAAAUAAAUGCAUGAAUAAAUGAAGUCUUUCCCCUGAGCAACUUCCUUUUGUACUAAGGCUUUACAAGUCAAAAUCGUGACGUAAGAAGGGAGUACCGACUAUGACCCAUCAUAGUCGGUACCCCCUCGGGGGCUACCAGGGGGGCGACCCCCCCAAGUGUCGAAAAAAGCCAAAAAUUUCUCUCUUUCUUACUUAGUAAACCUUGCAUGAUCGAGUAGUUGAGGCGCCUCGAGCCCCUUAAGGGCCGAGGGAUAACGAGCCUGAGAACUCCUACGCCCCCGGGCUAUGGAAACUCUACUCACUCCCUCACCCUCGAGGUAAUCGAAGCUGUCUUUUACGAAAAAUCGAACAAGGAACACAUACGUAGGCGCAAAGAGAAAUAAAAGAACCUCGAGCGGAAAGACAAAUAAACAUUUAGCAAUUACCAAAAUAUACUAUAUCGCUUAAAAACAGGACUAGCAAAGUACUAUACACGGGCCCCAGGCACCCUAAGCAGGCUCGCAGGCCUGAGUCCAUGGCACGAUCCUCACCACCCUCGCCUCUGCCCGAGCUAGUCUCAGGAGGAAGCACCUCAGGCUCAAAUAGCUUGGCCAGCCUCUCUCCAGGAGCCUCCGCGUCAUCGAUCAAGGCAUGGAGCCUCUCUUCGUUCUCCGCGUCGGUCUUAGAGAUGUCGGUGACGAAGCUGUGGGAUACUACCUCCAUGUCAUAGGAGAAGCCCGAGCAGACAACCGCCAUCGCCCGCUUCACCCCGAUGUGGAGGGCAUCCCGCACCCAAUCUCGCAGCGUCGCACCUAAGUAGCACAGCUGGUCGACCAGUGUGUCGCCUCGAGCGUCCUCCCUCGACUCGUCCACAGGCUCGACCUCCCAGGAGGUCGAGAGGUCGUUUAUCGCCGUCCGCACGCGACGGUUCAAAGCAACCUCCGCCUCGAGCUGGGCCUUAACAUUACGAGCCUCGGCUUGGGCGGCUAGGAGUUCGUCCUUAAGCCCUGUAAAUAUCAAUACAAGAAACUUUAGGGAAAACCAAGCACACCCUGAAAAAGAAAUCGGACAAAGGAAACGUACCGUGAACACUCUCCUCCAAGGUUGUGUUCUCGCCGACUAGUCUGGUGUUGGCCCUCUCGAUCUCUCUGUUGGAGCGGGUCAGCUCAGUGUUGGCAACGUGGAGAUCCUCGAUCGCCUUGCCAACCUGAGCAGUAGCCCCACUCUUCUCCAACAGCUCUCCCUUCAGACGUUCGACGUUGUCAGAGAGCCAGCGGGAUCGAGCCCGCUCCGCCUCGAGAUCCUCGAGGGCCUUCUUCUUGGCUUCCUCCGCGGCGCUCCUGGCGAUCUCGCCGUUCACGUGCUCCACCUUCAUCUUUUGGAAGGACUCUCGAAGGGAGUCCAGGUCGGUCUUGAGAAGGCCCUUCUCCUUGUUCAGGUCUGCAAUGACGCUCUUGUAGGACAGGGCCUCCUCUCGGGCUCUGGAUGCGGCCUCCUCGACCAUCAGAGCCCGCUCCCGUAGCAUCGUCGUCUCCUCCUCCGCCUUCCUUGAGGCUUCUCGAGCCUCGGCCAAGGCAGCCUCCCUCGCCUUCUUCUCCUCCUCGAGCGCUAUGAGGUCUUUAUAGGCCUUAAGGAGCUUCUCUUGCGACUCGAGGAGUUGAUCCUUGAGGACGGGGAGCUGCUCCCAGCCGCCUCUUGUGGCAUGAAUGAAGCUCGACUUGAUGCGGGAGGUCUCUUUCAUGUCCUGCGAGCCGGGGGUCGAACGGUUAGAACACGAAACCAAAUGAUCUAUGAGGAUUAAGGACCAAAAAAUACUUACAAAUUAAGCCGGCCCGAGCCCAUUAUUGAUGAUGUCCGACAGGAGCCCCACCACGUGCUUCAUCCAAAGGCGGAGCUCCUCGAUGUGUUCCCACUUCUCAGCCUCCUUCUUAUCGUCGAGGAAGAUGUUGGGCUCGGACGGAUCGGUGGAAGCCCGGAUACGAAUCUGAUCGGGGCACCAGUUCUCCAUCUCCCGAUCAGCCCGCGCCUUGACGCCGCGGAUAAGGUUCUCGACGGUCUCGAGGGAGCCCCCGUGGCACAAGAACAGGUCGACGAGGCAUGGGAACCGCCCAUCGUCGUCCGCCGUCUUCCAGGUACCGUCCUUGCUUCCCGACGUCCCGAUCUCGUCCUCCUCAGAGGGAAAACGAUCCUCCCACGCCCGACGCUCCCGGAGGAACCCAGGGUCGAUCCCGUCCAUGCCGUAGAUCGUCCCCUUGAUCUCGGACUCGGGGUCGGUGGGGGUGCGCAUCAUGCAGGCAAGUGCCACCACACCAUCCGCUCGCCCCGGCUCUGCCCGGAUCGCGGCGGGUGCCCUCGGAAGGAGCCACGCUGGGGUCGGAGGGCCGUACACUGGCAAAUCUUCUUCCUGCUCAUCAGGCUCUUGCAGUGCCGACGGUACUGGUUGAGGCAGAUCUUGAGGCGGGGGCUCAAGCGGUCCUUCUUCUUGGCCCCCCUGAUGCUGCUGCUGCUCCACCUCGAGCAUUUGCUGUUGGUGCUCCACCUGCUGUUGUUGCUGUUGCUGCUGCUACUGUUGUUGCUCCUCAUGCUCCUGUGGCUCUUGCCCACGGCCUUGCUCCUGCGGCUGCCGCGUCGCUUCGCGCUCGCGCUCCCGCUCCUCAUCCUCCUCCUCUUUCUUCUUCUGCUCCUCGAGGGUGCGAAGACCAGCGGGCCAGGGAGUCCGUCCCGCGAUAAGGGAGGUCGACGGAUCCUCCUCCAUGGGGUGGGCAUCCCUUGACGUCUCAUUGCCGCCAGACAUGUCACUGAUGGUAAUGGGGUCCGCCUCGACCACCAAUCGGGGGGGCUCGGGGGCUCCUUCUUGCUCCUGAGUCUGGGGCGCCUCGACCCGCGUCGGUGGCGACGUGGCAGGCUCGAGACGAGGCGGGGCGCUCUCAACGUCAGCAGGAGGACGAGAGUCGGAGGAGCCUGCAAAACAAAGAAUAGAGGCCGGUCCAUUGAAGGCUGCUCCUUGGAGGCUGCUCCCGCUUUGAGCCUCUUCGCCAUUGAAGGCUGAGCCUGCUCGAGCAUCCGCUUUAAUCUGAAACAAAAAGGAACAAGCUUGAAAAGACCGGUAUACGAAGAAACACAGAGGAAUAGGAAAACAAAAGACACAACGUCGAAGAGCUUACCCCAGGGGAAGAACAGCUCGCCUGCCGGUGCCCCGACCGGUGGGCCUCGAGCCACCCCGUGUCAAGGUCCCAGACCCCUCGAGGGCAGGCGUUGGCCUUGGCCCAGCAACUUCCGCUUGGGGGGCACCGGGACUGGCACUCCUGCGGCCAGUGUCUCCUUUCUCGGAGGCCGCGGCACGACCGCGAGUCAGUGGCCCUGUCGCCUGGGGCCUAGCAUGGCCACCCGUCUUGGGCGCGGGGGGAGGGCGCGGGGCAACCUGACCAGUCACAGGCACCGGGGGGGUGUCGGCAUGAGGGCGGUGAGAUCCGCCUGGUCCCUCCUUUGAUGUUUCCAUCCGCGGGGGGUCGACAUCGUCUCGAGGCGGACCCUCGAGGAUACGGUCGAGGCGAGACGCCAUCCCCUCGGAGUCAUCGCUGUCCUCGUCAUCGUCACCAUCAUCGUUGCUGGGGGACUCUUCCUCAGGCUCCCCCCUCUGCCUGGAUUUAGACCGACACGCCUCUAAUGCUUGGCGGUCGAGGUUUUUCUUUUUCUCCCCUUUCUUCUGGGAGUCCAUGGCGGACUUAGACUUCUCGGCGGACCGGCGCCGCGCGUCGCGAUCGACCUCGUCCUCCUUUACUGGGGGCCUCGAGGACCGAACGUCAAUCCGUCCCUACCAGAACAAAGUUGGAUUUAGAGAAAAGGGAGGAAAAGAAACCCAGAAUCAAGGCUGCGCACGAGAAGAAAGCAUACCAGAUCGAUCGAGCCUGCAUCUGGCCUCAUGGGGAAGCCGUUAACAUGCUCCGGCUUGAAGUCACCAGCAAUGGCGGCCCUGACCCGGGCCGUGACUUCGUCAUUCGUCGGAGCUUCGCUUGACAUCCGGCAUGCCUCGAGGUCCCGAGAUGAGGCGCCGGGAGCCAUCUCGUCCAUCCUCAGCGGUCGAGACAUCAACGGGAGAACUCGCCGGCGAUGGACGGCCGAGAGGAUGAGGGCGGCGGUCAAGCCCUCUGAGCGCAAUUUCUUCAUGACAUCGAGGAGGGGGUCGAGCCGAGAUUGAUGAGCCUGGAUGACGCUGUACGUCCAAUUCUUCGGACGCUCCGUGAUCAGACGCCCGGUGUAGGCGGGCAGGAGGUCGUCAUCGUUCCUUAAGUAGAACCACUGGGAAUCCCAGCCGGUGUGGUUGGUCAAUCCCACCGGGAUGUACUCGCGCGGCCUCUCUGUCUUCCCGGUCUUCAACACGAGGUUGAGGCAACCCGCCCGAACAGGCUUCCUCACGCCGGUGGUCCCAGUGGGGGCGUUGAAGAGCUCGCCCCUGUAGAGGUGGAGCCAUAGCUCCUAGUGGGGCAUCAUCCCCAAAUAGCCUUCACACACCGCGGCGAAGACCGCCGCGACGGUGAUGGCGUUUGGGGAGAAGUGCUGGAGCUCCACCCCGUAGUGGUGGCAGAGCGCCCGCAUGAAGCGGCUCGGGGGAGCACCCAGCCCGUGGCGGUGGAACUUGGCGAACGAAACCACAUAGCCCUUGGGCGGCCUGGGUUCCCUGUGGUCCGCCGCCGGCGCGAUCCACUCCGGCGACGACAGUGAGGUGCGGCGGCGCAGGAGUCCCUCCCUCUCAAGCUCUUGCAGCCGGCGCUUCGUCAUCGAUGACGGGCGCCAGUCGUCGGCGGCGACAAGCCUCACAGGCAUCCUAGCCGAAAGGAUGGCGGAUCCGCUACUACUCGAGGGGGGCACACACACGUGGGAUGGCAAGGGAACUAAGGCAGCGAGAGGGCUAAGGCGAGAAUGAAGACGGGAAGCAGAAGGGAGAACAGUGGCGAUGCCAGGUGAAAGGUCCUAAUAUGGCUAGAGGGGGGGUGAAUAGCCUAUUUAAAAAAUUCUACAAACUCACUAGAGCAAGAGAUUAGUAAAUAACAAAGCGAAGCUUUUUGCUCUAGCUCUAAAGGGGUGUUUGCAAGCCACCUAUCCAACAAUUCUAGUUGUUAAGAUCACUUGGCACACAAGAGCUAUGUCACUACUUACACUAGAAAGCUACCUAAAAUUUCUAUACAAGAAAGUAAGCUACUCUAGUUUGUGGGAAUGUAAAAGAGAUGGUUUGAACUUUAUACCGCCGCGUAGAGAGGAUGAACCAAUCAAUAAUAUAAAGUCCAAUCACCGGGAGAAAUCCAAUGAACAAUCACAAUGGAGACACACAAUUUUUCUCCCGAGGUUCACGUGCUUGCCGGCACGCUACGUCCCCGUUGUGUCGACCAACACUUGGUGGUUCGGUGGCUAAGAGGUGUAGCACGAACCUCGUCCUCACUAGGACACCACAAGAACCUACCCACAAGUGAGGUAGCUCAAUGACACGAGCAAUCCACUAAUGUUGCCUUUGGCACUCCGCUGAGGUAGGCACAAACCUCUCACAAUAACCGGGAGAUGGCCACGAACAAUCACCAACUCGUGCCAAAGCUCCUCCGCUGCUCCAAGCCAUCUAGGUGGCGGCAACCACCAAGAGUAACAAGAAAACCGUAGCCAAAUCGAUCCCCAAGUGCCACUAGAUGCAAUCACUCAAGCAAAUGCACUUGGAAUCACUCCCAAUCUCACAAAGAUGUUUAAUCUAUGAAGGAGAUGAGUGGGAGGAGUUUGCUUAGGCUCACAAGGAUGUCUAGAAGUCAAGAAUGCCAAGAGUCUAAGCCCCAAGCCGGCCAAACAUGUAUUUAUAGCCCCUCAAACAAAUAGAGCCGUUGGCUCUUUCACUGGGCAAAAUACGGGGUCACCGGACGCUCUUAAAGGGGCACCGGACGCUCAACACCAGCGUCCGGUGCUCCAACGUCAGCCACGUGUCGCCUUUUGAACUUCUCGUGUCAGAGUCUAACGGUCACCUGCAGUGCACCGGACGCUGAGCAAGUUGGCACCGAAUGCGUCCGGUGCACACCGGACUCAUGCGCAGAGAGUUCCGCAAACUCUCAGGGUCACCGGACGCACCCUCAGCGUCCGGUGUUCACCGGACCCAUGCGCAGAGAGGGUCGCAAAACGCCCGCACACCGGACGCUAACCACCGGACGCUCAAGCCUGCGUCCGGUGCCUAUCGUCCGGUGCCUUACCCUAGCUGGGCCAGGCACUGUCUGCACCGAACGCUCAGACGCAGCGUCCGGUGCUCCAGAAGCCAGCGUCCGGUGAGUGUUUUCUUAACAAGAAACACUCCCGCGACUUCUCCAAAUUUCCCACCAGCGCAAUAGAAAAUAUGCACUUCAUUUUCUCGAAAAGUGCCGAAUCCCGCCGAGCUUGUGAGGCGGGAGGGAGAGAGGAACCCAUCCUCUCUCUACCCAUCAAACUCCACCUCCUUCUCAAAGUGUUGCCAACACCACAACGUGUAAACCAACAUGUGCACGUGUGUUAGCAUUUUCACAAACAUUUUCUUCGAAGGAGUUAAGUUAGCUCACUAGGUUCUAAAUGCAUGCACAUGAACAAUGACACCCAGUGGCACUUGAUAACCGCUUAGCCAAAGAAUUCCCCUCUUUAUAGUACGGCUAUCUAUCCUAAAUGUGAUCACACCCUCUAUGGUGUCUUGAUCACCAAAACCAAAACCCUAAGCAAUACCUUUGUAAUAGAACCAACCAAAUUAUAAGAGAUUAAGCCUAACGGAGACCAUUCACAUAGUCAAACCCGCAGGCUUAAACCCAUAUAAUCCCGGUAGUCCGUGAAAUCUCGAAGGAUUUCAAACCACAUAUCGUACAACAGCCAAGAUCGUAAUAAGUUUAGCGGUCGCCAUCCACAAAUACAUCCAGAUUACAACAUUUAUAAAAUACAUCGGAGUACUUAAAGUUAUUACAAACCAAGUUCUUCAAGUAGCGGAGGCUUCAUAGUUCGAAAAUACAACACACACUUAGUCUGAUACAGUGCCAUAGUUCGGUCAUUCCCACAAAAGCAAAAGAGAAGACGGAGUGACCAUCGCCCUUGGUCUAGUCAUCACCCAUGGCUGGGUACAGACAGAGGAUGCAAUAACCAUAGUACAUUUGACCAUCUGCAAAACAACAUGGGAGUAGAACCCUGAGUACGAGAAGGUACUCAGCUAGACUUACCCAUCAUAAACUUAAAAUAAAGACUCAUCAAGGAUCAUGAAGGCUAUAUAGUGGGGUAGCUGACGACCAUUUUGUAAAACCGCAGGAUUCUAUUAUUAUAACCUACACAAAUCUUUCUUCUUUUAAUGAUCAAGUUGAAAGUAUCAUUACCUAUUAUCUAGGUUUGCACCUGUACUAUCACAAACAAGUAUAGUGAUAUGAUAGUACCUCAUCAUAGCAUUUCUUAAAACCAUUCAUCAUUAUAACCCAAGUGUUCCAUAGUCCUUACUACGAGGACAGGGCUCAUGUCAAGUGCUCACUAUCCAGGAGCGAUGGCGAUUCGAAUCGAUUUCUAACAACCUGGUGAGUUUAUUCCCCACACAAACCACACUCACUGAUCAAUUGAGCUACAGAUCACCGUAUUGCACUAUCCAGGACCAAUUCGCGGGUUCGACAGGCACCACCCAUACCCGAGGACCGUUCCGGCGACCGAAGUAUCCAAGGUAUACCAAGGUUGCGCGCCGCGCCCUCAUCGUUCUCCUCAACCAUCACCAAUACAGCGCGUACAUCGGGCCGAUUCCCGGCCCGGAUAGUGCUCAGGCUUCGCGGUCGGUGUUGAUAUUUGGGAACGCAAUAAGGAAUUGAUCCGCAAGCGCACGGAUAUCGGUGAGCACUUCACCCGGGAAAUUAUCCAGAGUAUCGUAUUUAUUUUUUUACCACUAGGGGAAAGAGUGCAUCAGACUAACCGGUCUAUUACUACUAACCUUUAGGCACAAAGAAUGUCUUUCGAUGUGAGUGAUAAAUAGAGAAGACUGCAACCGUAGUCUCCUUCUAACCUUGGUAAGGAUGAUCUACUGUUCUAAUGGGGAGGCUAACGGAAUCUAGACACCACAAAGGAUGUUCGACCCGCACCUAUAAACCCUAUCCUUCCUGCUAACGAGAUGUGAUCUACAAAGGUAGCUCGGAAAUGUCACGUUCCUCACUACUACCACGGUCCAACUAGUCAGGGAAUAUCUAUGAGUACCCCAGCCUAAACACCAUGUUUACGCCAGCAAUGAUUACUCUAAACUCUACGCGAAGAGAUUAAAGUAAACUCAUAAACCAUAAGAACAAUAAAACAAGCACUUACUAGAAUUUAGAAGUCGAAAUACUGAAGAAUCCUAGGAGCAAGCUUCGGGUUAGGAGAACUUGAUCCCGCAGGUACAAGCUUGGAGUAGACACCGACAAGCCGGGCUUCCUCCACUCUACACCUCCACUCUACACCUCCACUCUAUCUCUCUCAAUCUAGUAGAAACUAGAAGAUAUAUUUCUACCUUACAUUGAUUGCUAAGCCUAAAAAGAAAUAUUAAUUAGAGAAGAGGUUUUCCUUCGAGGGCACCCCUCAGUCUCUAUGAUAAUUUCUUCAUGUCUUCUCCAGGGGCCAGGGGGCCUUGCUUAUAUAGUCCUCCCCUUCUAUGCGUUUUUGGGUCGAUAGGCGAGGUGGUACUAUGUUUUUCUUGAUCCAAUAGGUCGGUGGAAUAUCCCGAGCGAAAGAGUCCUGAUUUGGCUCCAACAGCGGGGCGGGCGCCCAGGCUUCCAGGGCGGGCGCCCUGGGCCUGGCCCAGUUUUGCCUCCGCUUCGGUCUCGUGGCUUCUGGAGUCUUCUAGAUGAUGUAAAAUUACGCGGUGCGUUGAUAUCUCUAUGUAAUCCCGACAUGUGGACCUUUCUUCCGUAUUUCCUGAUAACCCCCUGCAGAAAUAGAUAAACAACAAAACUCGUGGAAUUCUGUCAGAUCAAACCCUAAUUCUAGGUGAUGGUUGCAUAUUGGUCCUUUCUCUUGUUUAUUUGAUAAUUAAAAUUGAUACUUAAGAACCGUCAACAAAUACCCCCAUACUUAGGCUUUUACUCGUCCUUGAGAAAAGGAUGGUUAAGAAAAAUAUCUGGGGUAAACAUUUUAAAGCAUUCUCUUUAUAUUUGCAGGGUGUUAAAAAUUCCACUGUGUACCAUAGUCAGGGAUGUAUAUGGUUAAGAGUAAAGAUUCUUUCUUCUCAAUCCUAUCACUUGGAGUUUUUGUAUAUUUUUCAAAGAAAGUUAGCAUACCUUUUGAUCCUCAUAGGUUCUCUCAGAUCACUCAUUAUCAUUUAUAUAUAUAUAUAUCUCACUGAGGCUGUUUUAUUUUGCAAAAAUUCUCAAGCAUUCUUACUUUGCAUUUAUUGCCUGAUCAAAACGGGAUCCGAGGAGGGGAAUGUCAUACUCUUAGAUCAAAGACUUUGGAAAUUAAAAUCUUUGUCAACUAUUGCUGGCAUAUUGCUUAUUAGAGGGACCAUGGGCUAUCAUUUUUUCUCUUUUUUUUAAGUGGAUACCGAGGUACCCCCUAAUUCUACUGCCGGACACUUGUCCAUUUUUUUCUGCGAGGUUGUCGAGCACUUGCUCCUUUUUAUUUCCUCGAAAUAUCUUCUAUUUUUGCAUAGCCCAUGCCUCUAAUGCAAUAAUACUUCGGAAGAGUGAAUCUUACUGAAAUAAUGUCUUGAUCUUGGGAGCAUGAUAAAUCUCUCAACAAGGGUCUAACUCAUUUUGAACAAACUCAAUACAGAGCAGAUAGCUUUUAUAAUCAUAAUUAAUAUUUUCAGUUUUAUCAGGCAUAUAAAACACUGAGGAUGGUAGCUAGAAAUUUGAAUAUUUUUGAAAUAAAUUCUCCAAGCAACAAUGAUAUUAAGAAUAAGAAACUCAUACUCUACCAUCACAUAUUCCUUAUUGACUUAAGUAACACAGGGUUUUAAAAUGAUUUUAUAAUAAUUGCAAGUUUUCAGGAAAUAUCACAAAUCAUGUUUAGAAAUAUUUUUAAUCUUUUUACUUUGUCAUGUCGGGAACAAUAUUCUGCAUAAUCCAAAAUAUAUAUAUGUGUAACAUUAAGUGCGCAGAGUGUGUACCUGAAUCGUGGAGUGGUGUAGUUGGAGUGUGUUUGGCAUGUCGAGGGAUCUCCCCCAUACUUGUUUUCUGCUUUCUUACAAAAAUAAAGUAGAGACACACAAGACAUAAUAAUAAUAAUAAUAAUAAUCAUAAUAAUAAUAAUAAUAAUAAUAAUAAUAAUAAUAAUAAUAAUAAUAAUAAUAAUAAUAAUAAUAAUAAUAAUAAUUUUUAUUGAUCUUGAGGCAUUUAUUACAAAAGACUGAUAGCAAACUGAUAAUAAUAGCAAACUUAAACCGAAUUUAAAGAUAGAUGACUAAGAUGCAUUGCCUCAAGGUCUAAUUUAGAUAACUUAGCGGCGCUCUAAUUCCUUGAUCUUCUUGUUGGCACUGGCAAGAUCCUGCUUAAGGCCUAGUAUAAUGGUGUUGUGGUUAGAGAGCUGCCUAGUGAGGGAAUUAAUCGAGGACUGGAGGUCUAUGAUAACUCUAUCUAGCCUGCGAACUUCCUCAUCAAUAUCCAUUAUAGUCUUGCGACGCUUGGGAGGUGUCUCAAAAGCAUUGAGAGAGUGCUUCGGGGCUGCCUUUGGAGGGAUGAAACGGACUUUGGAUGCUCUAAUCCCUUCAAAGUAAGGCCUUUCCUCCUCUGUAGUGUAGCGAAUACUGCUGAUCUCGCCGCUCCGGUUAGUCUUGACUCCAACGACCCUCUCAUUGGGUCUUGGUGGAAGGAUCCUUGUGGCGAUUGGCACCUUGAUAGUGGUCUUCGUCUUGGAUGAUGAUCCUUUAAGGAGUAGGGGUUGUGGUGGUGCAGUGAUAACUGGUUGAGCAUGAUAAGAUUGGGCGGAGCUGCGUUGGCGUAAUGGCAUGGCUUCUAGCUGACGCUCUGUGUUGGCCGGGACGAGAGCACGGGCAUCGAGGUCCUCCACAAGCUCCAUGUUGAGGUUGAAGGGGACGACUUCCCAAUCGUCGUGGUACUUCUCGGCCAUUGGAGUAGCAAGGAACUAAUAAAAUUUUAAUUGAAGUAGAGCUAAUCAAGCUCUAAUCGAAGGAGAGAAAGCUUGGUGGCUUGGUGUUUGAAAACUGAGGUCAGGGGUCUGUUUAUAUAGGGGUCAAAAGGGUGCCUCUAUGGGUUGUUCGGGUUGCUCCCGUCGAUGUGCGUGCGAAACUUUCCAUCCGAGGGAUUAUUUGGAUCACCAUAAGUGCAUUUUCCAUAACAGAGAAAGUCGGGACCGAGGGGAGCAGGGGCUGGGCGCCCGCCCACUUGACCUGGGCGCCCGCCCUCUCUCUGGCCCCUCUGUGGGCCCACUUUUCCGAGCGCGUUUCUAGAUGCGAAAUUAUUUAGAAAAAUAUAUAUAUGACCCAAAACCAUCAGACCAAAAGUAUCAGGCUCUAAUUCUCCAUGGGAAGGUAAAAAUGGACUACGUCUAUUUCUUCAAAUUCCUCAUUGGGCUCUAAAAAUAAUUUAAGACGUUGACCAUUUACCUUGAAUAACGUACCUUCGCUAUUUUGAAGUGUGAUAGCUCCGUGGGAUGAUGAAUUGAUUACCUUGAAUGGUCCUUCCCAUUUGCUCUGGAGUUUUCCAUGCCCGAAAAGCUUUACCCUGGAAUUAAAAAGUAAUACCAUAUCUCCGGGUGUGAAUUCCUUCUUCUUGAUUCUCUUGUCAUGCCACCUUUUGACUCUUUCUUUGUAGAUCUUUGAAUUGUGAUAUGCCUUCUCUCGCCAUUCUUCCAAUUCUGAUAGUUGCAUUCUUCUAUAAUCUCCAGCAACAUCUAGGUCCAUAUUCCAUCUCUUUAUGGCCCAGUGUGCUUUGAACUCUAGUUCAACAGGUAGAUGGCAAGUCUUCCCGUACACCAAUUGGUAUGGAGACAUUCCGAUUGGGGUCUUGUAUGCUGUCCGGUAUGCCCAGAGUGCAUCGGGUAACUUGUCUUUCCAUGCCGUUCCCAUUUCAUUUACUAUCUUCUGAAGAAUAUUCUUGAUUUGUUUGUUGGAAGUCUCUGUUUGGCCACUUGUCUGAGGAUGAUAGGGGGUAGCGAAGUUGUGACGGAUUCCAUGUCUUGAUAGAUAUUGCUUGAAGCGUUUGUCGAUGAAAUGUGCUCCUCCAUCACUUAUCACUACUCUGGGGACUCCAAAUCUUGGAAAUAUAAUUUCUUCAAACAUCCUCUUUGAACUGACGUUGUCGGCAUGCUUGCAAGGUAAUGCCUCUACCCACUUGGAGACAUAGUCAACCGCCACCAAGAUGUACUCGCACUUCUUUGAUGGAGGAAAUGGACCCAUGUAGUCUAUUCCCCAGACAUCAAAGAGCUCAAUCUGAAGGUUGUUGGUGAGUGGCAUUGCGUCCCUUGUAUUUAUGUUUCCGUGCCUUUGACAUGGCCCACAUCUCCUGAUAUAUUGCUUCGUGUCUUCAUACAUUGUAGGCCAAUAGAAUCCACACUGCCAGAUCUUUGAAUGUGUACGGAAUGCUCCAUAGUGACCUCCAUAUGGUGAUGAAUGACAUCUGUCGAUGAUCUUCCAUCCUUCCUCAGUGGUCACACAUCUCCUGAGUAAGCCGUCAAAGCAUACUCGAAAGAGGUAUGGCUCAUCCCAUAUAUGUGAACGACUUUCUUGAAUAAGCUUCUUCUUGUUUGCUCCUGGUGGUACAUACCCUGAAACCAUAAAAUUAACAAUAUCUGCAUACCAGGGGUCAGACCUGUUAAUCCCGUAGAGCAUGUCGUCCCGGAGUGAAUCAUUGAUGGGGGUUUCCUGUGGACUCUUAAAAUACAUUCUAGACAAGUGAUCAGCAACAGAAUUUUCUACUCCCUUUUUAUCUUUUAUUUCUAAGUCAAAUUCUUGGAGUAAUAAGAUCCAUCUAAUCAGGCGAGGUUUAGCAUUUUUUUAGUGAGCAAAUAUUUUAGUGCAGCGUGAUCAGUGUAAACAAUUAUUUUAGCUCCAACUAAAUAAGAUCUAAAUUUAUCAAUGGCAAAGACAACAACCAGAAGCUCUUUUUCAGUGGUUGCAUAAUUAAGUUGAGCUCCUGUCAAAGUUUUACUGGCAUAAGCAAUUGCAUGAUGCUUCUUAUCUUUAGUUUGUCCCAAUACUGCCCCCACAGCAUAAUCACUAGCAUCACACAUAAUUUCAAAAGGUAACGACCAAUCAGGGGGUUGAAUGAUUGGUGCAGAGAUGAGUGCUUUCUUUAAUAAAUUGAAAGAUGUUAAACAUGCAUCAUCAAAUUCGAAAGGAGCAUCCUUGCCUAGCAAAAGAGUAAGUGGUCUAGCAAUAAAUGAAAAAUCUUUUAUGAAUCUACGAUAAAAACCAGCAUGGCCAAGAAAGCUUCGAAUUCCUUUUAUAUUCACAGGUGGAGGUAGUUGUUCAAUUACUUCAAUUUUAGCUUUGUCUACCUCAAUCCCUCUUUCAGACACUAAGUGUCCUAGCACUAUUCCUUCUCUAACCAUAAAAUGACAUUUUUCCCAAUUAAGGAUUAAGUGCUUUUCUUCACAUCUUUGCAAAACCUUGUCUAAGUUUUCAAGACAACUAUCAAAAGUUUUUCCAUAAAAAGAGAAAUCAUCCAUGAAAACUUCCAUAAUCUCUUCAAUCAUAUCAGAAAAUAUAGACAUCAUGCAUCUUUGAAAAGAAGCUGGUGCAUUACAUAACCCAAAAGACAUUCUACGGUAAGCAUAAGUUCCAUAAGGGCAUGUAAAAGUGGUUUUGCUUUGAUCAUCAGGAUGGAUCGGGAUUUGAUGAUACCCUGAAUAUCCAUCUAAGAAACAGAAGAACGAAUGGUUUGCUAACCGCUCUAGCAUCUCAUCUAUGAAAGGCAAAGGAAAGUGAUCCUUUCUCGUGGCUUUGUUUAGUUUUCUAUAGUCUAUGCACAUCCGCCAUCCUGUGACGGUACGUUGCGGAAUUAGCUCGUUCUUUUCAUUCAUAAUAACAGUCAUGCCUCCCUUUUUAGGCACAACUUGUACUGGGCUUACCCACUCACUGUGUGGCACAGGAUAUAUAAUCCCUGCAUGCAGCAACUUUAUAACUUCUUUUUUAACUACCUCUCUCAUAGUGUUGUUAAGUCUACGUUGGGGUUCUCGAGAGGGUGUAACAGAAGGAUCUGUUGGAAUACGAUGGGUACAAAUCAUAUGACUGAUUCCUGUAAGAUCUUGAAGUGAGUAGCCGAAAACUGAGUGAUGUUUCUCAAGAAUGGUCAUUAAUCGCAGAGUUUGAUCCUAAGUGAGUUUAUCCCUAAUGAUCACAGGGAACUCUGGAUUAUUGUUUAGGAAAGCAUAGGUAAGACCGGGUGGUAAAGUUUUAAGUUCUAUGGGGGGUCUAGGUGUCUCUGCAAACUCAUCUAAAGGUUCAGGCUCAGAAGGUUCGUCUUCUUCUUCUGUGAAGAAAGGAGUUUCGUCUUCUAGGUCUGGUUCAUCUAAAAGCUCUAGAGAUGCAGCCUUUACUUCCUCCAUAGGAUCAGGCAAAAGAUAUGACUCGGCCUUAUUAUUUAAGGAGUGUGAAAUUAUUAUUGGGAAUUUAAAAGUUUUUCCAAAAGAAAUGUGUAGCUUUCCAGUAUGACCUUCAUAAAGGAGUCUUCUAAAAGGUUGUCCUAUUAACAAGUCGAAGUCCCAUGUAUCAAAGAUAUAGAAGUUCAAAUGAACCAUGGAGCCUUCUACCGUAAGAGGUAGGACAUUAAUAAUUCCAAGACUGGGGACUAAUCGUCCCGAAGAUUCCUUUAUGACCUUUGUUGUGGGGGUUAAGAUAAGAUUUUUAAAUAGUUUAAGUGCAAAAGAUUCAGACAUGAUGUUGAUCCCCACAACAGGAUUAUAGAGAGCAUUAAAUCGAUCAGAAUUAUAAGCACAGCGUAUAGUUAUAGAGGGUGUGUCCAAACGGAUCACAUCAGAGGAAAGUUUUGAUUCCUCCAACCAUUCGCUACUCAUUACUGAGAUAAGCUCUCUCAAUUGAUAUUCACUUGGCAAAUAAAUGCUAGACUGGCCGUUUUGGGGUUUGUCAAUAGAAUGGUAGUUUGAAAUAUUUCCAAAAUCGGCAAAAAGAUCGGAUUCUAUAUCCAGCAUGAAGUCCGGUAGUGGAAUUUCUUCCUCUUGUGGCUCAGAACUUGGAAUGGCUAAAGUAGAUGAAGAAUUUGGCAGAGUGUCUACUUUGGCUUCGUAGGUUUCAUCAUAAAGGGUGUUAUCCAUCUCAGCUUCUAGGAUUCUAUCUAGGAUCACUCUUGCUUCAUCAGCAGGGAUGCGAAAGAAAGAACCUCUAGACAUUGUGUGAAGCAUUUGUUUAUGAUUUUUAUGAAGACCUCGAAAAAAGUGAAAUAAAAGAACAGGGUCUUCAAGAUUAAGGUUUGGACCAGAUUCUAAAAGAUCAGAAAAACGUUUCCAGGAUUUUCCCAAAGUUUCAUUAUCUAUUUGUUUAAAAGAUAGGACUUUGAGUCUAAGGUCGGCUAUACGGUCAAGGGAAUAGAAAUCUAGACAAAAGUUGGCUCGUAAAACUCCCCAUUCACCUUGUUGUUGACUUACCUUCUGACUGUACCAUUGUCUAGCUUCUCCCCUUAGAGAAAAAGGAAAAAGCUUCCAACGUAAAGUCUUAUCAGAAAUGCCUUCAAUGCGAAGACAAUCACAUGUUUGCUCAAAAUCUCUAAUAUGAAGGUAAGGGUUUUCGUCUUCCUUUCCCGAAAAAGAUAGGUUUUGAAUCAGGGCAAUCAACCUAGAACUUAACUUAUACUGGGAUGUUUGGAUAGGCUGUGAUGACUCCCAUGGUAAAAGGUCAGUUGCUAAAGGGAUUGCAGACUCAUGGAUCGAUUUAGAAUUUUGGUUUUCCAUAAGGUAAGAAUAAAGAAAAUAAAUAAAGGAUAUAAAAGAUAAGAAAAGAUAAAAGUAUAGAUACAAGCUAGUAGCAAGACACAGGUUAUCUCAGCAACCGUCUUUCUCCCCGACAACGGCGCCAGAAAUGCUUGUUGAUAUUUGGGAACGCAAUAAGGAAUUGAUCCGCAAGCGCACGGAUAUCGGUGAGCACUUCACCCGGGAAAUUAUCCAGAGUAUCGUAUUUAUUUUUUUACCACUAGGAGAAAGAGUGCAUCUGACUAACCGGUCUAUUACUACUAACCUUUAGGCACAAAGAAUGUCUUUCGAUGUGAGUGAUAAAUAGAGAAGACUGCAACCGUAGUCUCCUUCUAACCUUGGUAAGGAUGAUCUACUGUUCUAAUGGGGAGGCUAACGGAAUCUAGACACCACAAAGGAUGUUCGACCCGCACCUAUAAACCCUAUCCUUCCUGCUAACGAGAUGUGAUCUACAAAGGUAGCUCGAAAAUGUCACGUUCCUCACUACUACCACGGUCCAGCUAGUCAGGGAAUAUCUAUGAGUACCCCAGCCUAAACACCAUGUUUACGCCAGCAAUGAUUACUCUAAACUCUACGCGAAGAGAUUAAAGUAAACUCAUAAACCAUAAGAACAAUGAAACAAGAACUUACUAGAAUUUAGAAGUCGAAAUACUGAAGAAUCCUAGGAGCAAGCUUCGGGUUAGGAGAACUUGAUCCCGCAGGUACAAGCUUGGAGUAGACACCGACAAGCCGGGCUUCCUCCACUCUACACCUCCACUCUAUCUCUCUCAAUCUAGUAGAAACUAGAAGAUCUAUUUCUACUUUACAUUGAUUGCUAAGCCUAAAAAGAAAUAUUAAUUAGAGAAGAGGUUUUCCUUCGAGGGCACCCCUCAGUCUCUAUGAUAAUUUCUUCAUGUCUUCUCCAGGGGCCAGGGGGCCUGGCUUAUAUAGUCCUCCCCUUCUAUGCGUUUUUGGGUCGAUAGGCGAGGUGGUACUAUGUUUUUCUUGAUCCAAUAGGUCGGUGGAAUAUCCCGAGCGAAAGAGUCCUGAUUUGGCUCCAACAGGGGGGUGGGCUCCCAGGCUUCCAGGGCGGGCGCCCUGGGCCUGGCCUAGUUUUGCCUCCGCUUUGGUCUCGUGGCUUCUAGAGUCUUCUAGAUGAUGUAAAAUUACGCGGUGCGUUGAUAUCUCUAUGUAAUCCUGACAUGUGGACCUUUCUUCCGUAUUUCCUGAUAACCCCCUGCAGAAAUAGAUAAACAACAAAACUCGUGGAAUUCUGUCAGAUCAAACCCUAAUUCUAGGUGAUGGUUGCAUAUUGGUCCUUUCUCUUGUUUAUUUGAUAAUUAAAAUUGAUACUUAAGAACCGUCAACAGUCGGAACGACUUAUCCUUCCAGCUAAAUGUGGGGCAUGCGUUCAACAUGACAAGAGGGCCGUCAACGAUCGGUCCUUAAUCGACACAGACAGGGGCACUAUGGUCAACCCACCAUAAGACCCUGCCCGGUCUCCAAUUCCAUUCCACACUUGGUUAUUCUUUUCCCCAAAGCAACCACUGCUCGAACAAGCAGGUAUCCACCUAUAUCUCGCAGGUGACAGGGAAUCACCCGACUUCUACCGGGCUAAGCAAGCUAAGCAUAGACUCCGCACCUAUCUACAUAGGACAAGGUAGAUAAACGAGUAGGGAUAACAAGGAGUACUUAUGCAUCAACGGUAUCAAGCAACUCCUAUCACUUAAAUGCAAUAUAGUAGAACAAGCAUAGUAUAUCCUGUAAGUUAGCGAGAAUAGGGAGACUUAGAAUGCUCCGGGGCUUGCCUUUCUCAAACGUGCUGGGUCGGUGAUCCGGACACUUCUGUAGUUCCUCUCCGGACUCCUGUGCUUCCGGAGGUUCCUGCUCCUGAAUCUCCUCUGGUUCCUCGGGUCCCACCUCGUUCUCCUGCGAGCCUGUAUGAUGCAUGUGUGCUCAUGAGUGUAGUGCGAGAUGCCCGAGUGGAUGCUUGUAUGAGAAGGUACCAAAGGAUCAUGACAUGAUGCAUGGAUGAUACACUUGGUCAUGCUCAUUACAAGACAGUCAACAUCAUCCAAGAACAGACAAUUGAAUUAAACAUCUAUUGCAUUCUCUUCUACACUUGUUUUGCAAGUGUAACCAGCUACCCACAUGAUGCUUCAAGGAUACACCAAACCCCUCCUUAUUUUACUCAACCUAUAUAUAAAAAUUCAUAAUUUUCUUUAUUCAUUUCUAGGCCCAUUAAAAAUUACAUGCAGUUCUGUUCAUCAAUAAAUUCCACAAAAAUUACAGGAGACUACCAGCCAAGCAUAAAGUCUACUGUAAAUUUUUCAUAAUUUUUGGAUACUUAUUUUGAGCUACAAAAAUCACAGGAUUAAUUAAUAAGGUAAGUAAUAUUAGUCCACUGUAAUAUAAGUGUCAAACAACAGAUUUCAUAUUUUUACAAUUUGCCUAAUAUCAUAAGAAGCACCCACAAAAAUUACCAGAUUAAAUGCAUGAUCCAAAUACCACUGCCAUGCAAGCAUUUAAAUUACCAUAAAUUCAUUUAUACACCAAAUAAUGUGUAGCAAUAUUUUCCCAGUGAGUUAACAUACAUGCAAAGCCCAUAAAACAAGUUUCAUAUUUUUCUGAGUCAUAUUUUAAUUAUUGUACAUUUUCCAAGUUUAGCAAAAACAUGGAUUAAAUAUAUUCAUACAGAAAAGUUACUCGAACAUGACAUGCAAUUACAUCAAACUGUAGAUCUGGAAAUAUAGAGCACACCAAAAUUUAUUUCAUCAAAUUUGGAGCUGUAGAACUCAAGAUAUGAAUUUUACAAGUUUUGAAUCAAUUUCUGGAAAACAUUUAUUAAAUAAAACCGACGAAAAAGGCUAAACACACCCAAAUCUACACCCACCGGGGUUCCCCCUGCGACUGUCAGCGAGACCGAGAGGGAGCUCACCUCCGACGAGCAGAUCUCGCCGGCGGUGAGGUUCCCGGCCACGGGGUGAGCACCAUCGUGCUCCCCGCAGCGAGGCGCACCCAGCGGUACCCUCGGAUUGACCGGAGGAUGGCCGGAGCACCUCCGUCGAGCAUGCAUGGCGACGCUGCUCGCCGUGGCCAGGCCGCUCCGGCGCGGUACAGCGUGCGCAAACAGUUCUCCGAGCUUCCUCACCACUCUACCGACCUAGCGCAACCAAGAACCAGCGAAAAGAGGUAGGGAAACGCAAGAUCCGUCGCGGCGGAGUACUCUGGCGAGCUCGGGGUAACUCCGUCGAGCGAUUCACGGUGCUCGGCGGACUCUCACCUCGGUAGAACACUCGCAUACGCUUACCCUAACGAUGGCGAAGGCGCUGGUGGCUUCAGUGUCGAGGUUUGGUCACCGGAGUGGCCGGCGGUGAGCAGCGGAGCCGCUCCGGCGAUGGCGCUGCGGCGGAGUUCUAUGGCUCGGUUGCGCUUGCGAGCGGAGGGAGGAAGGAGAAGGGCGCGGGCGACAGGAUGGAGGGAAUGGCCUGGGAGCCCGAGCCGGCGUCCCGACUAGGGGGUGUUGGAGGCCGGCCGCGGCGCGCUCCUCGCCGGCGUACGGCCGCCACGUGGCCGACGCUGGCUGGGGCGAGGCGGGCGUCCGCGCGCGGGAGAGAGGGGGAGGGGGAGGCAGGCCGGGCCGCUCGCUGGGCCGAAAGGGAGGCGGGGUUGGCCCAGCAGCGCCUGCCCCUUUUCUAUUUUUUUUUGAAUUUCUUUUCUCAAAUUCUUUUCUAAAUUCUUUUGGACCAAUUUAAAAAUCAUUUUCAUCUCUUGCUUCCAAAAGCAAGGUUGUUCCAAAACAAAAACCCUACAACUUUGUUUUAAUAAGCAAGACAAAAUUCAAAAUAGAAUUUGAAUUACAAGUUAAAACUAGUUCUAGGUUUUCAAAUAAAUUCAAUUUGGGGAUUUUUGUAUAAAUUCCAUUUCUCAAAUUCUAUAGCUCCAAAAAUUACACAAAAAUAUUCUUAAUCCUUCUUACACAUAAAUCAACCUAGUUUGACUAUCUCACAUUUUUAGAAGCAAGCAUCAUAUUUUUAGCAUAUUUAGAACACAUAAAAUAAAGCACAUAAAAUCAUGGUUUGGGAUGAAUGAGAUGCUCAUGAUGCCUAUGCUUGAUGAGAAUGCUUAUGCAUUGCUUUGGGAAGGCUAAGUGCAUGCUUAACACCUAGGGUGUUACAGCCCUUCCCCCCUUAGGGAAAUCUCGUCCCGAGAUUUUGGGUUACUAACCAUUUCUUAUGAAAUUUUGGAUAAACUGUUUUUAAGUAAUCCUCUGUUUCCCAGGUGGCAUCCCUAUCGUCAUGAUGACUCCACACCACCUUAUAUGUUCGAACAACUCUGUUUCGGGUUACUCGUUCCUUGGUAUCCACAAUUCCCACUAGCUGCUCUUUAUAUUCCAAGUCUGCUUUUAUCUUGAUUCCCCUAGGUUCAAUUCUUUGCUCAGGUACUUUCAAACAUUUCCGCAGUUGCGACACAUGGAAAACCGGAAAGAUUGAGCUUAACUCUUCACGUAACUGAAUCUUGUAGGCCACUGGGCCCUUCCUCUCUAGUACUUGAUACGGUCCCACAUAUCUGGGUGCAAGCUUCCUUCGAACUCGGAAACGUUGAACUUUCUUCAUUGGCGUAACCUUGAGGUACACGUAGUCACCUACGUUGAAUUCAAGUGGCCUUCUUCUCUUAUCGGCGUAACUCUUUUGCCGUGAUUGUGUGGCUUGCAUGUGUUGCUGUAUGAUUUGCACCUUCUUCUCGGCCUCAUUCACGAAGUCGAUACCACAGUAUCUUCUCUCGCCAGGUUCAACCCAGUUUAACGGAGUUCUACACCUCCGACCAUACAAAGCUUCGAACGGGGCCAUCUUGAUGCUCUCUUGAUAACUGUUAUUGUAUGAGAAUUCAGCCAGAGGUAACCAUGAUUCCCAUGAUCCCUUGGAUGAUAGCACACAGGCCCUCAGCAUAUCUUCUAACACUUGAUUUAGCCUCUUAGUUUGGCCUGAAGUCUGGGGAUGAUACGCCGUGCUUCUUAUCAGACUGGUCCCCAAACUCUUAUGCAUGCGCUCCCAGAAGUGAGCGGUGAACUGUGGUCCCCUAUCCGAUAUGAUGGUCUUGGGAAUACCAUGCAAUUUGACAAUCUCAGCCAUAUAUAUAUCGGCAUAUUCAGGAGGUCGGUAACGAGUCUUCACAGGAAUGAAAUGGGCUGAUUUGGUCAAUCGAUCUAUGAUUACCCAAAUCGAGUCAUUCCCCUUCCUUGUUGUUGGUAAACCCGUGAUAAAGUCCAUACUGACCUCUUCCCAUUUCCACUCUGGAACUGAUAACGGUUGUAACAGACCUGCAGGCUUCAUGUGGAUGGCCUUAACUCUGCAACACGUGUCACAACGAGCUACAUACGCGGCUAUUUCUUUCUUCAUCUUGGUCCACCAAAAGUGGGGUCUCAAGUCUUGGUACAUUUUACUACUGCCAGGAUGAAUAGAAAGCUUAGAGAGAUGGGCUUCAUCCAUGAUGCGAUUCUUCAAUUCACGAUCUUUCGGAACUACUAACCAAUGUUGAAACCACAGUACCCCUUUUUCAUCAACUCGAAAUUGAGUCUUUGGGUCAUCUUUGAUCUUCUCCUUGAUGUGGAAAAUACCCUUGUCUGUUUUCUGACCUUCGAUGACUUGACUCUCGAGUGAAUAACUGAGUUGUAUGUGACAUAAGACCUCAGGAUGCAUAAGAUCGAACCCAUCUUCAAACAACGGUUGAACCACUUGAUAGUGCGGUUUACGACUCAAUGCAUCCGCUACUACAUUUGACUUGCCUGGAUGAUAGUGAACUUCCAGAUCAUAGUCCUUGAUUAACUCUAACCAUCGUCGUUGCCUCAUAUUCAGCUCGGACUGAGUGAAGAUGUACUUCAAACUCUUAUGAUCAGUAUAAAUGUGACACUUAUUCCCCAGCAGAUAGUGUCUCCAAAUCUUCAAGGCGUGUACCACUGCUGCUAACUCGAGGUCAUGAGUUGGGUAGUUGACUUCGUGCUUUCUCAACUGUCGGGAAGCAUAAGCUAUCACUCUGCCUUCUUGCAUCAACACACACCCCAGGCCACUCUUCGAUGCGUCACAAAACACAUCAAAAGGCUUCUCUAUAUUGGGUUGUGCCAGAAUGGGAGCAGUGGUUAGCAACUUUCGCAAGGUGCGGAAGGCUAACUCACACCCUUCCGUCCAGACAAACUUAUGAUCCUUUUGUAGCAAACUUGUCAUUGGCUUAGCAAUCUUGGAGAAAUCAGGUAUGAAUCGACGAUAAUACCCGGCCAGACCAAGAAAACUUCUAACUUCCGAGACAGAAGUUGGUGCCUUCCAGUCCAUGACCUCCUGCACCUUUGAUGGAUCCACAGCAAUCCCUUCUUCAGAUAGAAUGUGCCCUAGGAAAGGAACUUUCUUCAACCAGAACUCACACUUGCUGAACUCGGCAUAUAAAUGAUGCUCUCGUAAUCGUGUCAGCACGAUUCUCAGAUGCUCGGCAUGAUCUUGCUCAUUUUCUGAAUAAACCAGAAUAUCAUCGAUAAACACCACAACAAACUUAUCCAAUUCCGGCAUAAAGACUGAAUUCAUCAGAUACAUAAAGUAUGCAGGAGCAUUUGUCAAUCCAAAGGACAUGACAAGGCACUCAUACAACCCAUAUCUAGUGGAAAAAGCAGUCUUUGGGAUAUCUUGCGGACGAAUCUUGAUUUGGUGAUACCCAGACCUCAAAUCUAUCUUGGAAAACACUUUUGCCUUAGACAACUAAUCAAAUAAGAUAUCAAUCCUUGGCAAGGGAUACUUAUUCUUGAUUGUCACGGCAUUGAGUGGACGAUAGUCCACGCACAUGCGCAACGACUGAUCCUUCUUUUUCACAAACAAUGCUAGACAACCCCAUUCCGACGAGCUUGGCCGGAUGAACCCUUUUUCCAGUAACUCCUUUAGUUGAUUCUUCAACUCAGCGAGUUCGUUUGGUGGCAUCCGGUACGGCCUCCUAGAUAUUGGUGCUGUACCUGGUAUCAACUCGAUUGCAAACUCUACCUCCGUAUUUGGGGGAAGUCCUGGUAAUUCCUCAGGAAAAACAUCAGGGAACUCACAUACCACGGGUAUGUGUUCUAGUGAAACCACCUGUACUGCACACGAAAGACUGGCGAAGUCUAACCGUCGAGGUAACUUGACCUGAAACACACCCUUCCCUUGCGGGUCUCUAAGGGAAAGAGUUCUAUUCCCGGUGUCUAUAACCGCGCCCCAAUCAGUCAUCUUGUUCAUUCCAAUGAUGACAUCCAAAACCAGCCCUGGCAUGACCACAAGGUUUACACGAAACCUCCGGCCACUGAUAUCCAAAGUAACUCCUGUUACUGUUUUAUUAGUCAACACAUCGGCUCCGGCUGAGCUGAUGCGAUAGCCAUAACCCAACUCAGUAACUGGCUGGUCAUGCUUUUGUGCAAAUGCUUGACUCAUGAAUGAAUGCGAUGAUCCAGAAUCAAACAAAACAACUGCAAGAUGUUGGUUGACAGAGAACAUACCAGCUGUUACCGGUUCUCCUUCCAGGAUCUCCUCGAUCGAGGUAUGGUGCACACGAGCUGGAUAGGUUGGCUGCUGCCUCUUGGGGUAGGGACAUUCCUUAGCAAAGUGCCCCAUCUUGUGGCAGUUAUAGCACGGACCCUUGGGCGCAUUGUUGACGGCAGGUGCUGCAGCUUGAAUUGCCUUUGGCUUGGCAGGGGCUAUCGCCACCUUGUACGGCUUCUGCUGCGUUGGAUGCCCAGUGUUCCUUCUCUGCGGCGGUCAGAACCUAGCACCUGGGGCAGGAGGACGAUACUGCUGUCGCCCUGUCAUGGGUGCCCUGGACUGGGAUGAUCCGGCUUCAAAAGCCCUCUUACGUGACUUGGAUGCACUGUAGUUGUUGUUGUUGUUCUCCUGGGUCAGACAGUCACUGAUGUAAGCAUUGAAGGUAGCCCUAGCUCCUGUACCCAUGGUCUUCAGCAUCUUUGGACUCAAGCCUCUCUGGAAACUAGCAAUCUUCUUGGCCUCCGUGUUCACAAACUCAGGGGCAUAGCGAGCGAGAUUAUUGAAAGCGUGUAGAUACUCCUUCACAGAUUUCGUCCCCUGGGACAGCCUCAUGAACUCCCCAACCUUCAUUUCAACUAAACCCAGAGGAAUGUAAUUUCCCCAAAAAGUGGUGGUGAAGCGGUUCCAGGUAAUUGGGGUCCCCUCUGGGUAGGUAGUACUGUGAUGGGACCACCAAAUUCCAGCGGGUCUUUGCAACUGAUGUGCCGCAUACUCAGCCUUGAGUUCUUCGGUCAUCCGAAGGAGACGAAACUUCUGCUCCAUGGUGUUGAUCCACUCAUCUGCUUUGAGCGGUUCCAAGGCCUCUUUGAAGAUUGGUGGCUUGGUAUCCAUGAAGUCCUUGAAUGAGCUGUACUGAUUGACUUCACGGCCGCCCUGGUUAUCCCCACGACGGGUGUUGUCAGCUAUGUUGCGCAGAGCCUCUUCCAUGUUGUGUUGCAUCUUUUCCAUGUUGCGUUGGCUCCCCAGAAACUGCGCGAAAAACACGUCCGCAGUGUACGGAGGAGGCAGUGGUGGUGGCAGUGUUGGUGCUCUGUCCUCAUUCCAUUGAGCCCCACCUCCAGACGUGCCUGCUCCAAGGCCCGGGUUGUGUUACCCCCGCCACGUGUUUGCACCAUCUGCAUAGGUCAAUGAUAAGCAAUCGUUAGGAGUUGUCAUCAUCGGUAGAAAUGUGUAGAAUCAUGCCGUACUGAAUUUACUGAGGGAAUAAAUUUGCACAAUAAAUAGAGGCACAACAACUCAUCGUCCACGCACAACAUCACUAACAGAUUACUUAUCAUUCAAGCAACGAGGUUCGCAUGCAUCCAACUUGCCAGCAAACAUACACUGGACUUUCAGCAUUAACUCAUAGAGUUUUACAUAACCCAGAUCCAAAGGUACAAGAUAUGCCAUGCAACAUACAACGCAAAAGAAGAAGGACUAGCCCUAGAGCCCUAGCAUCUACUCGCUAUGAUCACUGUCCAUGCCGGAGCCAUCCUCAUCCUCAUCUCCACUAGCAGCUGCUCCAAUCUCAGGAUCCUCAUCCAUCUCGUCCUCAGAGUCUAGCUCAGCUGCUCCAGGCAGGGGGUGAGGGUGGAGCUGGUUAUGCAGCUGGUGGAUCUCCUCAUGCAAGUUCUCAUUGUACUCCUCAGCAUUGGCUAGCUGCUGCUCUAGCUCUAGCUGUCGGGCCCUCAAAGUGUCCUCCUCGUGCCAGGCUUCAUUCCUCUGUCCAAGCACAUGGACUAGCAUGCGCACGCAGUUCCUGUGAGCAGUAGUCACCCUGUCCUUCUGCUCUCGUACUGCAAGCAGGUCCUGACUCAGCUCACUGUUCCUCUGGACUGCCUGAUCUCUCUCUGUGGUCACACGGGCCAACUCUGCCUAUAGCCUCUCAACCUCAGAGUCAAACUCACGCUGCAACUGACGCUUCUCAUCCUGGACGGUGAGAAGAGACCCAGACAAGCGACCCAAACAACGCUCCAGGCCUUCAUAGGUCUUCAUCAACGCGUACAUAGCACUCAUAGCUGCACUGUCACUGUGCUGGGCCUCAUCCGCACUCCUCUCUAGAGCGUUCACCUCGGACUGAUCCCACACUGAAGUGUAGGGGUCACCUCGGGGAAACACCCCAGCGAAGGCGCGGGCCAGCUCCUGUGGAAACCUCUCCAUGAGGUCCCUCAGAACUGCGAAAGCUGCCCUGCUGGCACCGUGGAAAGGCGUGAUACCUCGGGACUCAUACACCCAGCCGCCCCAAGCAGGGUCCCCUCCACUGGUAGGGACAACUGCCUCGAUCCCCACCAGUGUACCGUCACCAAGCGGCUCCUUAUCCCAAUAGUAGCGAGGCUCUCUUCCUUCGGGAUACCCUAUCGAACUGAGCACCCUCCAAAGCAAAGUGGGCAUCCCAAACUCCUCCAGGAACUUGCUCUUAUGUCGUGAGCUCCUCGCUGCCAACGGAUGGCGAGGGGCCCGCCCACCAGUGGACUUGCGAGCGGUGAGCCUAGUGCGUGCCAUCUGCUGCAAAUGGAAUACCUUGGUUAAGAGCGAGGAUUACCUUUAAUUAUUUUAUUUAGAAUUGGGACAGAUUAAAUUAAGGGGGAAAGUAAGCAAUGAUAUGAAAUGACCAUGAUGCAUGUACGAACUUACGAUCUCACAAACUUAGAAACAAAGGUUAACACUAAGCGGUAUAUGCGGUGGCCCACAACGUUCUCUCAUAACGUAACUAGCGUUCUAAGCGAGAAGUGGUUAGUGUACCUGCAGAAAACUCAUUUCAGCCCACCCACAGCAUGCUAAUGCAGAACAAAACUUAAAACUAUACACUCCACAUACACAGACACCCGUCCAUGCAUAUGACGUGUUGCUACCCCCAUCAUCGCCCUAAUGACGGCAUCGCCUCUCAGGACGGAAUUCCCAACAUGUGGUACUGUUCCCAAGACACACCAAAACAUGUGUGCAUGACACAGUACCUAACAACACUCCCGUAGACCGGCAGUGUAUCCGAUCAUGCUCUCACAGCUCCCACUUACUGUGGCGUAGAGGAAAAAUUGAUCCAUACAUUACCACUCAAAUGAAUGGCACUCAUACUAUUGCACGCCGUAUGAGCGACGAAAUAAAAAUAUGAUGCAUUAACCCCCAGGUCAGUACUUAACUAACCACCUUAGAGUCCUUAACUGGGCAUAAAGGAUAUGACCAUGGCACACUAGAUAGUUUUUCCCAAAACUUGGUUUAACACCUUGAUCAUUAUUGAUUAAUUAAUAAAAUCUUUCAUUAAACUGGUUUAGAUUUUUGUUUAGAACGUACUUAUGAACAGUAACUCGCUAAACCUUGCUCCGAUGCCAGCUGUAACAGAACCGACCAAAUUAUAAGAGAUUAAGCCUAACGGAGACCAUUCACAUAGUCAAACCCGCAGGCUUAAACCCAUAUAAUCCCGGUAGUCCGUGAAAUCUCGAAGGAUUUCAAACCACAUAUCGUACAACAGCCAAGAUCGUAAUAAGUUUAGCGGUCACCAUCCACAAAUACAUCCAGAUUACAACAUUUAUAAAAUACAUUGGAGUACUUAAAGUUAUUACAAACCAAGUUCCUCAAGUAGCGGAAGCUUCAUAGUUCGCAAAUACAACACACACUUAGUCUGAUACAGUGCCAUAGUUCGGUCAUUCCCACAAAAGCAAAAGAGAAGACGGAGUGACCAUCGCCCUUGGUCUAGUCAUCACCCAUGGCUGGGUACAGACAGAGGAUGCAAUAACCAUAGUACAUUUGACAAUCUGCAAAACAACAUGGGAGUAGAACCCUGAGUACGAGAAGGUACUCAGCUAGACUUACCCGUCAUAAACUUAAAAUAAAGACUCAUCAAGGAUCAUGAAGGCUAUAUAGUGGGGUAGCUGACGACCAUUUUGCAAAACCACAGGAUUCUAUUAUUAUAACCUACACAAAUCUUUCUUCUUUUAAUGCUCAAGUUGAAAGUAUCAUUACCUAUUAUCUAGGUUUGCACCUGUACUAUCACAAACAAGUAUAGUGAUAUGAUAGUACCUCAUCAUAGCAUUUCUUAAAACCAUUCAUCAUUAUAACCCAAGUGUUCCAUAGUCCUUACUACGAGGACAGGGCUCAUGUCAAGUGCUCACUAUCUAGGAGCGAUGGCGAUUCGAAUCAAUUUCUAACCAGCUGGCGUGUUUAUUCCCCACACAAACCACACUCACUAAUCAAGUGAGCUACAGAUCACCGUAUUGCACUAUCCAGGACCAAUUCGCGGGUUCGACAGGCACCGCCCGUACCCGAGGACCGUUCCGGCGACCGAGGUAUCCAAGCUAUACCAAGGUUGCGUGCCGCGCCCUCGUCGUUCUCCUCAACCAUCACCAAUACAGCGCGUACAUCGGGCCGAUUCCCGUCCCGAAUAGUGCUCAGGCUUCGCGGUCGGAACGACUUAUCCUUCCAGCUAAAUGUGGGGCAUGCGUUCAACAUGACAAGAGGGCCAUCAACGAUCAGUCCUUAAUUAAUACAGGCAGGGGCACUAUGGUCAACCCACCAUAAGACCCUGCCCGGUCUCCAAUUCCAUUCCGCACUUGGUUAUUCUUUUCCCCAAAGCAACCACUGCUCGAACAAGCAGGUAUCCACCUAUAUCUCGCAGGUGACAGGGAAUCACCCGACUUCUACCGGGCUAAGCAAGCUAAGCAUAGACUCCGCACCUAUCUACAUAGGACAAGGUAGAUAAACGAGUAGGGAUAACAAGGAGUACUUAUGCAUCAACAGUAUCAAGCAACUCCUAUCACUUAAAUGCAAUAUAGUAGAACAAGCAUAGUAUAUCCUAUAAGUUAGCGAGAAUAGGGAGACUUAGAAUGCUCCGGGGCUUGCCUUUCUCAAACGUGCUGGGUCGGUGAUCCGGACACUCCUGUAGUUCCUCUCCGGACUCCUAUGCUUCCGGAGGUUCCUGCUCCUGAAUCUCCUCUGGUUCCUCGGGUCCCACCUCGUUCUCCUGCAAGCCUGUAUGAUGCAUGUGUGCUCAUGAGUGGAGUGCGAGAUGCCCGAGUGGAUGCUUGUAUGAGAAGGUACCAAAGGAUCAUGACAUGAUGCAUGGAUGAUACACUUGGUCAUGCUCAUUACAAGACAGUCAACAUCAUCCAAGAACAGACAAUUGAAUUAAACAUCUAUUGCAUUCUCUUCUACACUUGUUUUGCAAGUGUAACCAGCUACCCACAUGAUGCUUCAAGGAUACACCAAACCCCUCCUUAUUUUACUCAACCUAUAUAUAACAAUUCAUAAUUUUCUUUAUUCAUUUCUAGGCCCAUUAAAAAUUACAUGCAGUUCUGUUCAUCAAUAAAUUCCACAAAAAUUACAGAAGACUACCAGCCAAGCAUAAAGUCUACUGUAAAUUUUUCAUAAUUUUUGGAUACUUAUUUUGAGCUACAAAAAUCACAGUAUUAAUUAAUAAGGUAAGUAAUAUUACUCCACUGUGAUAUAAGUGUCAAACAACAGAUUUCAUAUUUUUACAAUUUUCCUAAUAUCAUAAGAAGCACCCACAAAAAUUACCAGAUUAAAUGCAUGAUCCAAUUAAUUACUAAAAAUCAUAAACCACUACCAUGCAAGCAUUUAAAUUACCAUAAAUUCAUUUAUACACCAAAUAAUGUGUAGCAAUAUUUUCCCAGUGAGCUAACAUACAUGCAAAGCCCAUAAAACAAGUUUCAUAUUUUUCUGAGUCAUAUUUUAAUUAUUGUACAUUUUCCAAGUUUAGCAAAAACAUGGAUUAAAUAUAUUCAUACAGAAAAGUUACUCAAACAUGACAUGCAAUUACAUCAAACUGUAGAUCUGGAAAUAUAGAGCACACCAAAAUUUAUUUCAUCAAAUUUGGAGCUGUAGAACUCAAGAUAUGAAUUUUACAAGUUUUGAAUCAAUUUCUGGAAAACAUUUAUUCAAGAAAACCGACGAAAAUGGCUAAACACACCCAGAUCUACACCCACCGGGGUUCCCCCUGCGACUGACAGUGGGCCUCUGACCCCACCGGUCAGCGAGACCGAGAGGGAGCUCACGUCCGACGAGCAGAUCUCGCCGGCGGUGAGGUUCCCGGCCACGGGGUGAGCACCAUCGUGCUCCCCGCAGCGAGGCGCACCCAGCGGUACCCUCGGAUUGACCGGAGGAUGGCCGGAGCACCUCCGUCGAGCAUGCAUGGCGGCACGGCGGCGCUGCUCGCCGUGGCCAGGCCGCUCCGGCGCGGUAGAGCGUGCGCAAACGGUUCUUCGAGCUUCCUCACCACUCUACCGACCUAGCGCAACCAAGAACCAGCGAAAAGAGGUAGGGAAACGCAAGAUCCGUCGCGGCGGAGUACUCCGGCGAGCUCAGGGUAACUCCGGCGAGCGAUUCAUGGCGCUCGACAGACUCUCACCUCGGUAGGACGCUCGCAUAAGCUUACCCUAACGAUGGCGAAGGCGCUGGUGGCUUCGGUGUCGAGGUUUGGUCACCGGAGUGGCCGGCGGUGAGCAGCGGAGCCGCUCCGGCGAUGGCGCUGCGGUGGAGUUCUACGGCUCGGUUGCGCUUGCGAGCGGAGGGAGGAAGGAGAAGGGCGUGGGCGACAGGAUGGAGGGAAUGGCUUGGGAGCCCGAGCCGGCGUCCCGACUAGGGGGUGUUGGAGGCCGGCCGCGGCGCGCUCCUCGCCGGCGUACGGCCGCCACGUGGCCGACGCUGGCUGGGGUGAGGCGGGCGUCCGCGCGCGGGAGAGAGGGGGAGGGGGAGGCAGGCCGGGCCGCUCGCUGGGCCGAAAGGGAGGCGGGGUUGGCCCAGCAGCGCCUACCCUUUUCUAUUUUUUUUGAAUUUCUUUUCUCAAAUUAUUUUCUAAAUUCUUUUGGACCAAUUUAAAAUUCAUUUUCACCUCUUGCUUCCAAAAGCAAAGUUGUUCCAAAACAAAAACCCUACAACUUUGUUUUAAUAAGCAAGACCAAAUUCCAAAUAGAAUUUGAAUUACAAGUUAAAACUAGUUCUAGGUUUUCAAAUAAAUUCAAUUUGGGGAUUUUUGUAUAAAUUCCAUUUCUCAAAUUCUAUAGCUCCAAAAAUUACAUAAAAAUAUUCUUAAUCCUUCUUACACAUAAAUCAACCUAGUUUGAAUAUCUCACAUUUUUAGAAGCAAGCAUCAUAUUUUUAGCAUAUUUAGAACACAUGAAAUAAAGCACAUAAAAUCAUGGUUUGGGAUGAAUGACAUGCUCAUGAUGCUUAUGCUUGAUGAGAAUGCUUAUGGAUUGCUUUGGGAAGGCUAAGUGCAUGCUUAACACCUAGGGUGUUACAACCUUUGCCUUGAUCUCCAUAGGGUUUUGUUUUUCUCUUUCUUCUUUUCCAAGUUGAGCACUUGAUCACCUUGUGGUCAUCACCAUCAUCACCAUGAUCAUCACUUGCUCCAUCACUUGGCAUGUACCAACCUCAUUAAGUCUACACACACUUAGCGUAGAGGUUAGUACUAGGGUUUCAUCAAUUAUCCAAAACCAAACUAGGGCUUUCAAUCUCCCCCUUUUUAGUAAUUGAUGACAACCCUUUUUACAAAGAUUUUCAAUAAAAUUUUCUUGGAUUCAUGUUGCUUGCCCAAGCAUUUUACCAUGUGCAAAGGUUAUGGACAAGUUUCAUAAACCCAAAUUGGUAGGAAUUGCUCCCCCUACAUAUGUGCUAAGAGUUUGGAUUUGAAAGCUUGCACAUAUGCUUGAAUAGGAAAUAUAGGAGUCAAUUUCUACCAAAUGAUGCUAAGGUGUAAAGAAUGGACCUUUGAAGCGUGAUACCAAUCAGAGUUGCCAAUGUAUACCAUCCUUAGCACCAUUAGUAACUAGGCAUUCACAAAACUAGAACACCUCGUGAGAUCAACAUUAUAAACAAAGUUCUAGUACCACUUGUGAAAUAACUAAAAGUCUAGUUACACUACUUAUGCAUGCUAGUUUUUCAUUUCAUCAAUCAAAUUUACAACUAGCAUACACCACACAAGCAAGGCAUUGGAGAGAAAGCUUCUAAAACUAAUGCAAAUGCAAGCAAACAUAUGUGAUGCACAUUAAAUAUGCAACAAACAAGUUUAUGAGCUUGCUCACCCUACUUGUGUGCUUCAAAAUUUUAAUUGAUCCCCUUCUUUUAUCAUGUUACUCCCCUAUCUUAACUCUUUGGGAAAUUUUCUCCCCCUUUGUCAUCAAUGACCACAAAAGGUGAGUGUUGACGGUUCUUAAGUAUCAAUUUUAAUUAUCAAAUAAACAAGAGAAAGGACCAAUAUGCAACCAGCACAUAGAAUUAGGGUUUGAUCUGACAGAAUUCCACGAGUUUUGUUGUUUAUCUAUUUCUGCAGGGGGUUAUCAGGAAAUAAGGAAGAAAGGCCCACAUGUCAGGAUUACAUAGAGAUAUCAACGCACCGCGCAAUUUUACAUCAUCUAGAAGACUCCAGAAGCCACGAGACCGAAGCGGAGGCGAAGCUGGGCCAGGCCCAGGGCGCCCGCCCUGGAAGCCUGCGCGCCCGCCCCCCUUCUGGAGCCAAUUCAGGACUCCUUCGCUCGGGAUAUUCCACCGACCUAUUGGAUCAAGAAAAACAUAGUACCACCUCGGCUAUCGACCCAAAAACGCAUAGAAGGGGAGGACUAUAUAAGCGAGGCCCCCCUGGCCCCUGGAAGACAUGAAGAAAUUAUCAUAGAGACUGAGGGGUGCCCUCGAAGGAAAACCUCUUCUCUAAUUAAUAUUUCUUUUUAGGCUUAGCAAUCAAUGUAAGGUAGAAAUAGAUCUUCUAGUUUCUACUAGAUUGAGAGAGAUAGAGUGGAGGUGUAGAGUGGAGGAAGCCCGGCCUGUCGGUGUCUACUCCAAGCUUGUACCUGCGGGAUCAAGUUCUCCUAACCCGAAGCUUGCUCCUAGGAUUCUUCAGUAAUUCGACUUCUAAAUUCUAGUAAGUUCUUGUUUUAUUGUUCUUAUGGUUUAUGAGUUUACUUUAAUCUCUUCGCGUAGAGUUUAGAGUAAUCAUUGCUGGCGUAAACGUGGUGUUUAGGCUGGGGUACUCAUAGAUAUUCCCUGACUAGCUGGACCGUGGUAGUAGUGAGGAACGUGACAUUUCCGAGCUACCUUUGUAGAUCACAUCUCGUUAGCAGGAAGGAUAGGGUUUAUAGGUGCGGGUCGAACAUCCUUUGUGGUGUCUAGAUUCCGUUAGCCUCCCCAUUAGAACAGUAGAUCAUCCUUACCAAGGUUAGAAGGAGACUACGGUUGCAGUCUUCUCUAUUUAUCACUCACAUCGAAAGACAUUCUUUGUGCCUAAAGGUUAGUAGUAAUAGACCGGUUAGUCAGAUGCACUCUUUCUCCUAGUGGUAAAAAAAUAAAUACGAUACUCUGGAUAAUUUCCCGGGUGAAAUGCUCACCAAUAUCCGUGCGCUUGCGGAUCAAUUCCUUAUUGCGUUCCCAAAUAUCAACAAGCAUUUCUGGCGCCGUUGCCGGGGAGAAAGACGGUUGCUGAGAUAACCUGUGUCUUGCUAUUAGCUUGUAUCUAUACUUUUAUCUGUUCUUAUCUUUUAUAUUCUUUAUUUAUUUUUCUUUAUUCUUACCUUAUGGAAAACCAAAAUUCUAAAUCGAUCCAUGAGUCUGCAAUCCCUUUAGCAACUGACCUUUUACCAUGGGAAUCAUCACAGCCUAUCCAAACAUCCUAGUAUAAGUUAAGUUCUAGGUUGAUUGCCAUGAUUCAAAACCUAUCUUUUUCGGGAAAGGAAGACGAAAACCCUUACCUUCAUAUUAGAGAUUUUGAGCAAACAUGUGAUUGUCUUCGCAUUGAAGGCAUUUCUGAUAAAACUUUACGUUGGAAGCUUUUUCCUUUUUCUCUAAGGGGAGAAGCUAGACAAUGGUACAGUCAGAAGGUAAGUCAACAACAAGGUGAAUGGGGAGUUUUACGAGCCAACUUUUGUCUAGAUUUCUAUUCCCUUGACCGUAUAGCCGACCUUAGACUCGAAGUCCUAUCUUUUAAACAAAAAGAUAAUGAAACUUUGGGAAAAUCCUGGAAACGUUUUUCUGAUCUUUUAGAAUCUGGUCCAAACCUUAAUCUUGAAGACCCUGUUCUUUUAUUUCACUUUUUUCGAGGUCUUCAUAAAAAUCACAAACAAAUGCUACACACAAUGUCUAGAGGUUCUUUCUUUCGCAUCCCUGCUGAUGAAGCUAGAGUGAUCCUAGAUAGAAUCCUAGAAGCUGAGAUGGAUAAUACCCUUCAUGAUGAAACCUACGAAGCCGAAGUAGACACUCUGCCAAAUUUUUCAUCUACUUUAGCUAUCCCAAGUUCUGAGCCACAAGAGGAAGAAAUUCCACUACCGGACUUCAUGCUGGAUAUAGAAUCCAAUCUUUUUGCCGAUUUUGGAAAUAUUUCAAACUACCAUUCUAUUGACAAACCCCAAAACGGCCAGUCUAGCAUUUAUUUGCCAAGUGAAUAUCAAUUGAGAGAGCUUAUCUCAGUAAUGAGUAGCGAAUGGUUCGAGGAAUCAGAGCUUUCCUCUAAUGUGAUCCGUUUGGACACACCCUCUAUAACUAUACGCUGUGCUUAUAACUCUGAUCGAUUUAAUGCUCUUUAUAAUCAUGUUGUGGGGAUCAACAUUAUGUCUGAAUCUUUUGCACUUAAACUAUUUAAAAAUCUUGUCUUAACCCCCACAACAAAGGUCAUAAAGGAAUCUUCGGGACGAUUAGUCCCCAGUCUUGGAAUUAUUAAUGUCCUACCUCUUACGGUAGAAGGCUCCAUGGUUCAUUUGAACUUCUAUAUCUUUGAUACAUGGGACUUCGACUUAUUGAUAGGACAACCUUUUAGAAGACUCCUUUACGAAGGUCAUACUGGAAAGCUACACAUUUCUUUUGGAAAAACUUUUCAAUUCCCAAUGAUAAUUUCACACUCCUUAAAUAAUAAGGCCGAGUCAUAUCUUUUGCCUGAUCCUAUGGAGGAGGUAAAGGCUGCAUCUCUAGAGCUUUUAGAUGAACCAGACUUAGAAGACGAAACUCCUUUCUUCACAGAAGAAGAAGACGAACCUUCCGAGCCUGAACCCUUAGAUGAGGUUGCAGAAACACCUAGACCCCCUAUAGAGCUUAAAACUUUACCACCCGGUCUUACCUAUGCUUUCCUAAACAAUAAUCCGGAGUUCCCUGUGAUCAUUAGCGAUAAACUCACUCAGGAUCAAACUCUGCGAUUAAUGACCAUUCUUGAGAAACAUCACUCAGUUUUUGGCUACUCACUUCAAGAUCUUACAGGAAUCAGUCAUAUGAUUUGUACCCAUCGUAUUCCAACAGAUCCUUCUGUUACACCCUCUCGAGAACCCCAACGUAGACUUAACAACACUAUGAGAGAGGUAGUUAAAAAGGAAGUUAUAAAGUUGCUGCAUGCAGGGAUUAUAUAUCCUGUGCCGCACAGUGAGUGGGUAAGCCCAGUACAAGUUGUGCCUAAAAAGGGAGGCAUGACAGUUAUUAUGAAUGAAAAGAAUGAGCUAAUUCCGCAACGCACCGUCACAGGAUGGCGGAUGUGCAUAGACUAUAGAAAAUUAAACAAAGCCACGAGAAAGGAUCACUUUCCUUUACCUUUCAUAGAUGAGAUGCUAGAGCGGUUAGCAAACCAUUCAUUCUUUUGUUUCUUAGAUGGAUAUUCAGGAUAUCACCAAAUCCCGAUCCAUCCUGAUGAUCAAAGCAAAACCACCUUUACAUGCCCAUAUGGAACUUAUGCUUACCGUAGAAUGUCUUUUGGGUUAUGUAAUGCACCAGCUUCUUUUCAAAGAUGCAUGAUGUCUAUAUUUUCUGAUAUGAUUGAAGAGAUUAUGGAAGUUUUCAUGGAUGAUUUCUCUGUUUAGGGAAAAACUUUUGAUAGUUGUCUUGAAAACUUAGACAAGGUUUUGCAAAGAUGUGAAGAAAAGCACUUAAUCCUUAAUUGGGAAAAAUGUCAUUUUAUGGUUAGGGAAGGAAUAGUGCUAGGAUACUUAGUGUCUGAAAGAGGUAUUGAGGUAGACAAAGCUAAAAUUGAAGUAAUUGAACAACUACCUCCACCUGUGAACAUAAAAGGAAUUCGAAGUUUUCUUGGCCAUGCUGGUUUUUAUCGUAGAUUCAUAAAAGAUUUUUCAUUUAUUGCUAGACCACUUACUCUUUUGCUAGCCAAGGAUGCUCCUUUCGAAUUUGAUGAUGCAUGUCUAACAUCUUUCAAUUUAUUAAAGAAAGCACUCAUCUCUGCACCAAUCAUUCAACCCCCUGAUUGGUCGUUGCCUUUUGAAAUUAUGUGUGAUGCUAGUGAUUAUGCUGUGGGGGCAGUAUUAGGACAAACUAAAGAUAAGAAGCAUCAUGCAAUUGCUUAUCCCAGUAAAACUUUGACAGGAGCUCAACUUAAUUAUGCAACCACUGAAAAAGAGCUUCUGGCUGUUGUCUUUGUCAUUGAUAAAUUUAGAUCUUAUUUAGUUGGAGCUAAAAUAAUUGUUUACACUGAUCAUGCUGCAUUAAAAUAUUUGCUCACUAAAAAAGAUGCUAAACCUCGCCUGAUUAGAUGGAUCUUAUUACUCCAAGAAUUUGACUUAGAAAUAAAAGACAAAAAAGGAGUAGAAAAUUCUAUUGCUGAUCACUUGUCUAGAAUGUAUUUUAAGAGUCCACAGGAAACCCCUAUCAAUGAUUCACUCCAGGACGACAUGCUCUACGGGAUUAACAGGUCUGACCCCUGGUAUGCAGAUAUUGUUAAUUUUAUGGUUUCAGGGUAUGUACCACCAGGAGCAAACAAGAAGAAGCUUACUCAAGAAAGUCGUUCACAUAUAUGGGAUGAGCCAUACCUCUUCCGAGUAUGCUCUGAUGGCUUACUCAGGAGAUGUGUGACCACUGAGGAAGGAUGGAAGAUCAUCGACAGAUGUCAUUCAUCACCAUAUGGAGGUCAUUAUGGAGCAUUCCGUACACAUUCAAAGAUCUGGCAGUGUGGAUUCUAUUGGCCUACAAUGUAUGAAGACAUGAAGCAAUAUAUCAGAAGAUGUGGGCCAUGUCAAAGGCACGAAAACAUAAAUACAAGGGAUGCAAUGCCACUCACCAACAACCUUUAGAUUGAGCUCUUUGAUGUCUGGGGAAUAGACUACAUGGGUCCAUUUCCUCCAUCAAAGAAGUGCGAGUACAUCUUGGUGGCGGUUGACUAUGUCUCCAAGUGGGUAGAAGCAUUACCUUGCAAGCAUGCCGACAACGUCAGUUCAAAGAGGAUGUUUGAAGAAAUUAUAUUUCCAAGAUUUGGAGUUCCCAGAGUAGUGAUAAGUGAUGGAGGAGAACACUUCAUUGACAAACGUUUCAAGCAAUAUCUAUCAAGACAUGGAAUCCGUCACAAUGUCGCUACCCCUUAUUAUCCUCAGACAAGUGGCCAAGCAGAGACUUCCAACAAACAAAUCAAGAAUAUUCUUCAGAAGACAGUAAAUGAAAUAGGAACGGCGUGGAAAGACAAGUUACCCGAUGCACUCUGGACAUACCGGACAGCAUACAAGACCCCAAUUGGAAUGUCUCCAUACCAAUUGGUGUACGAGAAGACUUGCCAUCUACCUGUUGAACUAGAAUUCAAAGCACACUGGGCCAUAAAGAGAUGGAAUAUGGACCUAGAUGUUGCUGGAGAUUAUAGAAGAAUGCAAUUAUCAGAAUUGGAAGAAUAGCGAGAGAAGGCAUAUCACAAUUCAAAGAUCUACAAAGAAAGAGUCAAACGGUGGCAUGACAAAAGAAUCAAGAAGAAGGAGUUCACACCCGGAGAUAAGGUAUUACUUUUUAAUUCCAGGGUGAAGCUUUUCGGGCAUGGAAAACUCCGGAGCAAAUGGGAAGGACCAUUCAAGGUAAUCAAUUCAUCAUCCCACGGAGCUAUCACACUUCAAAAUAACGAAGGUACGUUAUUCAAGGUAAAUGGUCAACGUCUUAAAUUAUUUUUAGAGCCCAAUGAGGAAUUUGAAGAAAUAGACGUAGUCCAUUUUUACCUUCCCAUAGAGAAUUAGAGCCCGACACUUUUGGUCUGAUGGUUUUGGGUCAUAUAUAUAUUUUUCUAAAUAAUUUCGCAUCUAGAAACACGCUCGGAAAAGUGGGCCCACAGAGGGGCCAGAGAGAGGGCGGGCGCCCAGGUCAAGUGGGCGGGCGCCCUGCCCCUGUUCCCCCUCGGUCCCGACUUUCUCUGUUAUGGAAAAUGCACUUAUGGUAAUUCAAAUAAUCCCUCAGACGGAAAGUUUCCCACGCAAGUCGACGGGAGUAACCCGAACAACCCAUAGAGGCACCCUUUUGACCCCUAUAUAAACAGACCCCUGACCUCAGUUUUCAAACACCAAGCCAUCAAGCUUUCUCUCCUUCAAUUAGAGCUUGAUUAGCUCGUCUUUAAUUAAAAUUUUAUUUCCUUGCUACUCCAAUGGCCGAGAAGUACCACGAUGAUUGGGAAGUCAUCCCCUUCAACCUCAACAUGGAGCCAGUGGAAGACCCCGAUGCCCGUGGUCUCGUCCCGGCCAACACAGAGCGUCAGCUAGAAGCCAUGCCAUUACGUCAACGCAGCUCCGCCCAAUCUUAUCAUGCUCAACCAGUUCUCACCGCACCACCACAACCCCUACUCCUCAAAGGAUCAUCAUCCAAGACAAAGACCACUAUCAAGGUGCCAAUCGGCACAAGAGUCCUUCCACCUAGACCCAAUGAGAGGGUCGUUGGAGUCAAGACCAACCGAAGCGGUGAGAUCAGCAGUGUUCGCUACACUACGGAGGAGGAAAGGCCUUACUUUGAAGGGAUUAGAGCAGCCAAAGUCCGUUUCAUCCCUCCAAAGGCAGCCCCGAAGCACUCUCUCAAUGCUUUUGAGACACCUCCCAAGCGUCGCAAGACUAUAAUGGAUAUUGAUGAGGAAGUUCGCAGGCUAGAUAGAAUUAUCAUAGACCUCCAGUCCUCGAUUAAUUCCCUCACUAGGCAGCUCUCUAACCACAACACCGUUAUACUAGGCCUUAGGCAGGAUCUUGCCAGUGCCAACAAGAAGAUCAAAGAAUUAGAGCGCCGCUAAGUUAUCUAGAUUAGACCUUGAGGCAAUACAUCUUAGUUAUCUUUAAAUUCUGUUUAAGUUUGCUAUUAUUAGUUUGCUAUCAGUUUGCUAUCAGUCUUUUGUAAUAAAUGCCUCAAGAUCAAUAAAGAGUAUUAUUAUUAUUAUGUUUUGUGUGUCUCUACUUUAUUUUUGUGCAAGAAAGCAGAAAACAAGUAUGGGGGAGAUCCCUCAACAUGCCAAACACACUCCGACUACACCACUCCACGAUUCAGGUACACACUCUGCACACUUUACUUUACACAUACAACUCCUUUGGAUUAUGCAGAUUACUGUUUCCGACAUGAUAAAAUAAAAAUAUUAAAAUAUUUCUAAUCAUGAUUAAUCUCAAUCUGUGAUAUUUCCUGAAAACUUGCAAUUAUUAUAAAAUCAUUUUAAAACCCUGUGUUACUUAAGUCAAAUGGAAUAUGUGAUGAUAGAGUAUAAGUUUCUUAUUCUUGAUAUCAUUGUUGCUUGGAGAAUUUAUUUCAAAAUAUUCAAAUUCCUAGCUACCAUCCUCAGUGUUUUAUAUGCCUGAUAAAACUGAAAUAUUAAUUAUGAUUACAAAAGCUAUCUGCUCUGUAUUGAGUUUGUUCAAAAUGAGUUAGACCCUUGUUGAGAGAUUUAUCAUGCUCCCAAGAUCAAGACACUAUUUCAGUAAGAUUCACUCUUCCGAAGUAUUAUUGCAUUAGAGGCAUGGGCUAUGCAAAAAUAGAUAUUUCGAGGAAAUAAAAAGGAGCAAGUGCUCGACAACCUCGCAGAAAAAAAUGGACAAGUGUCCGGCAGUAGAAUUAGGGGUACCUCGGUAUCCACUUAAAAAAAAUAUGAUAGCCCAUGGUCCCUCUAAUAAGCAAUAUGCCAGCAAGAGUUGACAAAGUUUUUAAAGUCUUUGAUCUAAGAGUAUGACAUUCCCCUCCUCGGAUCCCAUUUUGAUCAGGCAAUAAAUGCAAAGUGAGUAUGCUUAAGAAUUUUUGCAAAAUAAAACAACCUCAGUGAGAUAUAUAUACAAAAGAUAAUGAGUGAUCUGAGAGAACCUAUGAGGAUAAAAAGGUAUGCUAACUUUCUUUUAAAAAUAUACAAAAACUCCAAGUGACAGGAUUGAGAAGAAAGGAUCUUUACUCUUAAUCAUAUACUUCCCUGACUAUGGUACACAGUGGAAAUUUUAACACCCUGCAAAUAUAAAAUGCUUUAAAAUGUUUUACCCCAGAUAUUUUUCUUAACCAUCCUUUUCUCGAGGACGAGUAAAAGCCUAAGUAUGGGGGUAUUUGUUGACGGUUCUUAAGUAUCAAUUUUAAUUAUCAAAUAAACAAGAGAAAGGACCAAUAUGCAACCAGCACAUAGAAUUAGGGUUUGAUCUGACAGAAUUCCACGAGUUUUGUUGUUUAUCUAUUUCUGCAGGGGGUUAUCAGGAAAUAAGGAAGAAAGGCCCACAUGUCAGGAUUACAUAGAGAUAUCAACGCACCGCGCAAUUUUACAUCAUCUAGAAGACUCCAGAAGCCACGAGACCGAAGCGGAGGCGAAGCUGGGCCAGGCCCAGGGCGCCCGCCCUGGAAGCCUGGGCGCCCGCCCCCCUUCUGGAGCCAAUUUAGGACUCCUUCGCUCGGGAUAUUCCACCGACCCCCUGGAAGACAUGAAGAAAUUAUCAUAGAGACUGAGGGGUGCCCUCGAAGGAAAACCUCUUCUCUAAUUAAUAUUUCUUUUUAGGCUUAGCAAUCAAUGUAAGGUAGAAAUAGAUCUUCUAGUUUCUACUAGAUUGAGAGAGAUAGAGUGGAGGUGUAGAGUGGAGGAAGCCCGGCCUGUCGGUGUCUACUCCAAGCUUGUACCUGCGGGAUCAAGUUAUCCUAACCCGAAGCUUGCUCCUAGGAUUCUUCAGUAAUUCGACUUCUAAAUUCUAGUAAGUUCUUGUUUUAUUGUUCUUAUCGUUUAUGAGUUUACUUUAAUCUCUUCGCGUAGAGUUUAGAGUAAUCAUUGCUGGCGUAAACGUGGUGUUUAGGCUGGGGUACUCAUAGAUAUUCCCUGACUAGCUGGACCGUGGUAGUAGUGAGGAACGUGACAUUUCCGAGCUACCUUUGUAGAUCACAUCUCAUUAGCAGGAAGGAUAGGGUUUAUAGGUGCGGGUCGAACAUCCUUUGUGGUGUCUAGAUUCCGUUAGCCUCCCCAUUAGAACAGUAGAUCAUCCUUACCAAGGUUAGAAGGAGACUACGGUUGCAGUCUUCUCUAUUUAUCACUCACAUCGAAAGACAUUCUUUGUGCCUAAAGGUUAGUAGUAAUAGACCGGUUAGUCAGAUGCACUCUUUCUCCUAGUGGUAAAAAAAUAAAUAUGAUACUCUGGAUAAUUUCCCAGGUGAAAUGCUCACCGAUAUCCGUGCGCUUGCGGAUCAAUUCCUUAUUGCGUUCCCAAAUAUCAACAGUGAGCUCAAAUUUUAGAUAGGUUAGUGUGGAACCAUGUCAAGUGAGAUCAUUUUACCAAAUUGGUCCAAUCUAGAUUACUUGCCUAAGAUAUUUAACUCGGUUUGAUCCAAGGACUAGCUUCUUCACACCUCCAAAUAAGGGUUAUCUUGUACCAUGUUGAGUUAAACACUUAUAGCUCAUAUUCUAGAUCAAACACUAGGAUUGCAAGCCCAAAAACAAUGUCAUAUGCUACCACUAGAUCAAGUCAAGCAUAGAAGCAAUAGUGGUACAAGCAUCAAAUGUAUUUGAUUUUCAUGAAUGAGCCUAAGACAUGUAAGGAGUGACUAGAUGCACUAAACAAGUCCGUAGCAAAGAUGGAUGACAUGUCAAACAAUUUCACCUUGCUUUGCUCGAAGGAGAGGCAUGUCAUAAUGUGGGGGUGCAUCAACACAUAUUUGAGAAGUCAAGUAUGUUCAAUUCAUUCCUUAGCUUGCAAAACCUCUUCUCAUCAAGUGGCUUGGUGAAUAUAUGGGCAAGUUGAUCAUCGGUGCCUAUACUCUCAAUGCAAAUGUCCCCUUUUUGUUGGUGAUCUCUUAUAAAGUGAUGGCGGACAUCUAUGUGCUUUGUUCUUGAGUGUUGAACUGGAUUGUUGGUGAGCUUCACGGCACAUUCAUUGUCACAUAGUAAUGGUACUUGUUUGAAGUUGAUUCCAAAGUCCUUCAAAGUUGCCUUCAUCCAUAGAAUUUGUGCACAAGAACUACCAGCCGCAAUGUACUCCGCUUCGGCGGUUGAUAGUGCAACACUAUUUUGUUUCUUGGAUGACCAUGAGACAAGUGAUCUUCCCAAUAGUUGACAUGUGCCCGAUGUGCUUCUUCUUUCAACUUUGCAUCCCGCAUAGUCCGAGUCGGAAUAUCCAACAAGUUCAAACUUUGCACCUUUGGGAUACCACAAACCAACAUUUUGUGUAUGCUUCAAGUACCUCAAUAUUCUCUUUGUUGCCUUCAAAUGACUUUCUCUUGGUGAGGCUUGAAAUCUUGCACACAUGCAUACACUAAACAUAACAUCCAGUCUUGAUGCGGUUACAUAGAGUAGGCUUCCAAUCAUAGACCGAUACAACUUUUGAUCCACCAUAUUUCCACUUGUGUUACUAUCUAAGCUUCCAUUUGUUCCCAUUGGAGUGCUAAGUGAUUUUGCAUCAUCCAUACCAAACUUCUUGAGCAUGUCUUUUAUGUACUUGCCUUGACUCACAAAUGUACCAUUCUUUCAUUGCUUGAUUUGAAGACCAAGGAAAUAACUAAGCUCUCCAAUCAUUGACAUCUCAAACUCAUUAGCCAUCAAGUUUCCAAACUCCUCACAAAAUUCUUGGUUGGUUGAUGCAAAUAUGAUAUCAUCAACAUAUAUUUGCAACACAAACAAGUCCUUGACAAUCUUCUUGGUGAAGAGAGUGGUGUCAACCUUGCCCAUCUUGAAACCUUUAGAGAGCAAGAAAUCUCUCAAUCUCUCAUACCAUGCUCUUGGUGCUUGCUUCAAACCAUACAAUGCCUUUCUUAGCUUGUAAACAUGGUUGGGUUUCUUGUCAUCUUCAAAACUGGGAGGUUGCUCAACAUAGACUUCUUCAUUGAUAUAGCCAUUGAGAAAUGCACUCUUCACAUCCAUUUGGUAGAGCUUGAUGUUAUGAGCACAAGCAUAGGCUAACAAGAUCCUAAUUGCUUCCAAUCUUGCAACCGGGGCAUAUGUUUUACCAAAGUCAAGACCUUCAACUUGAGUAUAGCCUUGUGCUACCAAUCUUGCUUUGUUCCUUACAACUAUCCCAUCUUGAUCUUGCUUGUUGCGAAAGACCCAUCUAGUACCAAUAACAUUGUGAUCACUAGGCCUCUCAACUAAUUCCCAUACUUGAUUUCUCUUGAAAUUGUUAAGCUCUUCAUGCAUAGCAUUGACCCAAUCAACAUCUCUCAAUGCUUCAUCAAUCUUCUUUGGCUCAAUGUGAGACACAAAGGAGAAAUGCUCACAAAAUGAUGCUAGUCUUGAUCUAGUUUGCACUCCUCUUUGAAUAUCACCUAUGAUAUGAUCCAAUGGAUGAUCUCUUGCAAUAUUUGUUGGUUGGAGUAUUUGCACUUGAUUGCUUGCACUUGGUUGAUCAUGAGAUGAUGUACUAGCUUGUUAAUCAUGCACUUGUGUACCACUUGUACUAGCUUGUUGAUCUUGCACUUGAGUACCACUUGUACUAGCUUGAUUUUGAUCAUGAGAACCACUAGCUUGCACAUUAGAGGUAGGAAGCACUUGAUCUUUGUCAUCUUCAACAUCAAUCACUUCUCUAGGCCUUAAAUCACCAAUAUCCAUAUUCUUCAUUGCAUCGGCCAAUUGAGUGCCUCUCACAUCAUCUAGAUUCUCUUCUUCUUCUUGAGAGCCAUUGGUUUCAUCAAACUCAACAUCAUGCACCUCCUCAAGAGUACAACUAGCCAAAUUCCACACUCUAUAAGCUUUGCUAGUAGUGGAGUAACCAAGCAAGAAUCCUUCAUCACAUUUCUUUUCAAAUUUACUCAAUCUAGUGCCUUUCUUCAAUAUGUAGCAUUUGCAACCAAAUACCCAAAAGUAUGCAAUGUUGGGCUUUCUUCCAUUCAAGAGCUCAUAUGGAGUCUUCUCCAUCAUUGGGUGACAAUAAAGUCAGUUGCUAUAGUAGCAAGCCGUGUUGAUUGCUUCGGCCCAAAAAGAAUGACUAACAUUGUAUUCACUCAACAUUGAUGUUGCCAUGUCAAUCAAGGUUCUAUUCUUCCUCUCAACAAGACCAUUUGAUUGUGGAGUGUACUUGGCUGAGAAUUGAUGCCUAAUGCCAAAUUCAUCACAAAGCUCAUCAACUCUUGUAUUCUUGAAUUCACUUCCAUUGUCACUUCUCACUUUCUUGAUGGUUGUUUCAAACUCAUUGUGUAUUCUCUUGACAAAUGAUUUGAAGGUUACAAAAGCAUCACUCUUGUCACUAAGAAAGAAUACUGUUGACGGUCCUUAAGUAUCAAAUUUAAUUAUCAAAUAAAUAAAGAAAAGGAUCCAAAUAAAAUCAACAUCUAGACUUAGGGUUUUAUCUGACAGAAUUCCACAAGUUUUGGUGUUUGUCUAUUUCUGCAGGGGGUUAUCAGGAAAUACGGAAGAAAGGCCCACACGUCGGGAUUACGUAAAGAUAUUAACGUGCUGCGCAAUUAUCUUACAUCUAGAAGACUCCAGAAGCCACGAGACCGAAGCGGAGGCGAAACGGGGCCAGAGGCAGGGCGCCCGCCCUGUUCCCCUGGGCGCCCGCCCUCUCCAGGAGUCCAAUUAGGACUCUGCUUUGCGGGAGAUCUCCACCGACCUAAAGGAUGAAUCUAAACCAUACAAUCUAUGUCGGUUUGAUCCAACGGCCCAUAUUCACUUGAAGGGACUAUAAAACCAGACCCCCUGGCCCCUGGAGGAGAGAGCCUCUCAACCCUAAUUCAUUGUUCCAUCAAGGGAGAAGAAGCCUCUGAUCAAGAUUAGAGCCACCACAUCAAUUACAUAUCUAGAUUAGCAUAGCUACAUAGGAUUAGAACUAGAAGGAGUCAAUCUUCGAUUGGUUUCCGGAUCUGUCAGGAGGAUUCUUGGUAAUUCUCUAAUUGUGCUUCUAAUUGCUUUCUAAUUAUCUUUGUUCUUCAAUAUUAUGAAUAUGACUUUGUUCUUCUUCAAUAUAUUGCUUAUGACUUUUCUCUACUUGCUUAUAUUCAAGAUUAUAUUGUUCUUAGUUUGUCAUAGUUAUGUACUUGGCUUAGUUAGAUUGGAUCUAUAUACAUGCUUAGGAUCAUAUAGCGUUUAUCCAUCGGAUCCAUGGGUAAAUGAUAGAUAUUGUGUAGGCGUUGUGCUUAUACCGUAUUUAUCUGCGAUUGUACCCAAUAUGCCAGAUCGUGGGGUGGUUCGUGAUAGUGACAGCUUCAUGGAUUCUUAUAUAGUACCCCUCUCGUGUAUUGGGCUAGCAGAGCAACAUUAUUACAGGGGAGUGAUUGCUAUGUUUCUCAUAUUCCUUGCUAAUAUCACUAUGCAUGGGCGUAGUCUUGUCUCACAAUGAUUGCUAAGUAUGCUUGCACUAACUAUGAUAAUGACUAGACUAUAUAGUUGAGAAUAACUUAGGGAAUAUUGUUGUAGUUCGUUCUAAUACCAUGCUAAUGACUUUCUAGAGUAUCUAAUUGAGGUGCUUAUCAUAUUUAUUAUGUGGCUAGAUCAGAUUAGUUAUCCUUGUCACUAUUAUUAUUUCAUAUAUCUUUUAUCUGACACUUAUCCCUGUAUGAAGAGUUAGAUAUAAUGUUCUCAAUUAUACAUGCAAUGAUAGAUGCUCAAUCUCAUAUUCUAUUCUGUAAUCAAUGUUGAUGAUUGCUAAUCCCUUCCCAGUGGUAAAAAUAUAAAUAACGAUACCUGGAAUACUUCCCGGUUAAAAUGCUACAUCGGUAUUAAUCUGUGAGCUUGCAGAUCCCAUUCAUUAUUUAUUUAGAAGAGCAAUUGCAUAUUUCAAUACCGCGUCUCUUAUAUCAUGCUGGGGAUGACAACUUGGCUUAAGUGAUAUGAGGGAUAGGUUUGGCAUUUUUGGCACCGUUACUAGAUUUAGAGAACUUAGUCUACUUUUGGUAAUGUUGUUAAGAAUACCCAACAAGCAUUUUUGGCGCCGUUGCCGGGGAAGGUUGAUUACUAAUCAGGAAUGGAAUAAAAGAUUUUGAGUUAUCAUUCGCAUCACUAAUAUGAUUGAGCUUAUCUAUUCUCUCAUACAGUUUUACCCUGAUAUUUUUCUAUUUCAUCUUAUGCAGGGGAAUGUAUGAAUAGAAGACAUCUUCCAGGAAAUUUUGUUGACAAUCCUGAAGCAUUAUUCAAGAAGACGAGAGCCAAGCUAAAGAAAUCAUCAACACUUCAGCAAGAAGCUUCAUCUAAUCAAGAAGAUCACCGGAACUUGUCUUCAGAGUUCGAGGCCAUGGCGAACAAAUCAAUCCGCGAGUUCUUAGCUCCCACUACGGACAACAUCCGCACUGGACCUACUACAGAGAUCGACGGCAACUUUGUGCUCAAGCCUGGACUUAUUAACAUGGUGCAAUCCAACCAGUUCUGUGGGAAGGCACACGAAGACGCUAGUGCUCAUUUACAACACUUCCUGGAGAUUUGCAACACAUUCACCAUAUCAGGAGUUUCUAAAGAUGCUAUACUACUUCGCCUCUUCCCAUUUUCACUGUUAGGAAGAGCGAAGCAGUGGUUUUACGCUACAAAGGAGAAGAAUACUACGUGGGCACUCUGCUCAACAAACUUCCUGGCAAAGUUCUUUCCCAUGGGCAAGACCAAUGCUCUCCGUGGGAAGAUUACAAGUUUUCAGCAACAAAAUGAUGAAUCUGUUCCAGAAGCAUGGGAGCGCUUUCAAGACUACAUCCUAGAAUGUCCCCAUCAUAGAAUGGAGAGUUGGCCAUUGAUGCAGACAUUUUAUCAUGGGCUCGGCAACAGUGCCCGAGAAACCAUGGAUGCUGCAGCUGGAGGAGCAUUUUUAUCACUUACUAUACCACAAGCCACAGCUCUUGUGGAGAAGAUGGCGUCCAAUCAAAGCUGGAAUGAAGAGAGGACCCAGACACGCAAGAGAGGUGGAGGUAUGCAUCAGCUGAAAGAGGUAGACAUGCUGUCUGCAAAGCUAGACCUGCUCAUGAAGAAGCUCGACGAUAGAGCUGGAGAUAAGAAAGAAGUUAUGCACAUCUACGACUCUCACAUGACUUGUGAGGAGUGUGGAGACACUAGACACUCAGGCAACCACUGCCCUGAGAUACUUGAGGAUGUAAACUACAUCAACAACUACUAUAACCGUCCUCAACAAAAUCAAGGUUGGAAUCAACAGAGGCCUAACUACUCAGGUAAUUAUCAAGGUAACAAUUCUUACAACAAUAAUAAUAAUUUUCCACCUUUGAGAGAGUUAGUGUCUAAUCAAGGAAAGCUAAUGGAUAACCUAUCUAAGAAAUUGGCGUCUAAUGAUAAAAUGCUAGAAAAUAUAAAUAAUAGAAUGGAUAAUUUCUCUACUGCCAUCAAGAAUCAAAUUAGCUUUAAUAAAAUGAUUGAAUCUCAGUUAAAUCAAAUAGCUGCUGCUUUUCCUACUACUAACCCCGGUAUACCAUCACAAACGGAAGGAUUAGAAUCUGCAAAUCUUGUGGACAUGUUUGAUGCAGGUAAUUGGAGUAACCCCGUCAAUGAAUUCUCUACUGACCUUCUGCCGGUCAAGAGAGGCGAUCCAGGAUGCCCCGUCAUCCCGAUCUCCAUCGGCAUGGUGGACGUUCCCGAAGCACUCUGCGACUCUGGCUCCAGUGUCAACAUUAUACCCAGGGUACUCUAUGAAAAAUUCUUUACAUAUCCUUUAUUAGAGACAACCAUGUGUUUGCAGUUUGCAGAUCAGACGAUAACUUUUCCAAAAGGAAUAUUGAAGAACCUUUGUGUCCGAGUUGGUACCUUAUAUGCUCUAGCAGACUUCGUAGUGGUAGAGACCGGAAAUGAUGAGAGAGCACCCAUCAUCUUAGGGAGGCCAUUCUUGAACACCAUGGGAGCUAUCAUCUAUGCCAGUGCUGCCAAGAUCAGUUUCUACGUCGAAGGGAGGAAGGAGACAUUUUUAUUCAAGAACAAGACUACACAAAUUCCAGAUUAAUCCAGACGUGAAUCGAGGAAGAGGACCAAUAGGAGGAACAGGAAUAAGCAAGUGUGGACCGAAUCAGCUAAGAUGGUCACUGUAGUUCAUGGAGGCCAAGAUCACCAACUUAAGUCACCGCUUUUGACUAAGAAGGACGACCCAGGAAUGCCAAGCAUUUACUGCUCCAUAAAUGGAUACAACUUCUACAAGGCAACUUGUGACACCGGAUCGGGCGUCAACAUAAUGGCCGCAGUCACCUAUCGGCUCUUGUUCGGAACCAUGCCCCUAAGACCAACAUACAUUCAGCUCCAGAUGGCAGAUCAGACAUUUCGAGAAGUUAAAGGAAUAGUAACUGAUGUCCCAGUCAAAAUAGACGAUCACUUUGUCUACACAGACUUUCAGGUUAUUGACAGGGGAGAAGAUGAGUACGAUCCACCCAUCAUCCUUGGAAGACCGUUCCUCAGCACCGUCAAAGCAAUUAUCUACAUUGGAACCGGAGAAGUCCAUAUGCACUUCCCCUCAGAGAAGGUAUGCCGUUACUUUACUGACCCUAACUAUAUCGUUGAAAAAUCUAAGCAGGUAAGGAAACGACGCAACCGCAACCAGAGGAGGCAGAUCAUCAAGGACGGAUGGGCAGACUAUGAAGGAGAAGUUGUAAGGUCAGAAGACGUAGAGUUCAAACAGAAUUAUCCAGAGGAGACUGAAGCACCAAGUCAGGUGUGGAAAAUGAAGAUAACUAUACACGAAGAGGAGGCGCUGCCGGAAGUACCGACUACGCCACCCAACGAACCUCAGGACGAUUGAAAAAAUGGAGAGUCCCAUUCGGAGGACUUAAAAACACCGAAUGCCUUGCCAAGAGGUAAACUUGGUAGUUAUUCUUUCUCUUUCAAUUAUUUCAAAUAGUUUAUUUAGUUAAUCAUGUUCAUGCUAUCCUAAAAAGAAAAUAAAAAUAUGAAAAAAAUAGUAAGCCCCAUGUGAGUAGAUGAGUGGCAUAAAACCCAUAAGUACAUUCACUGUGGCGGCAUAAAAAACAAAAUAAAUAUUUAUUUUCUACUUUAUAAAAUGAAAAUAUAAAAACAGGGAGUAAUAAUUAAGGAGUCUCAACAUGAUAAAGGCUAGAUAUUUAUGCUAACACUUAAUCAGUUCCACAAGCUUUGUUGUCUAUUUGAGCUCCACAGAAUUUAGGAAGACUAGCAGACGGUGGACAUUCUAAUCGCUGUCAAAAUGCUGCUAACUUUCAAAUACACCUCUGCCACCUGUUAGCUACAUCAAGGGAAAUUACAUCAAAAUUCAGCUUGGGGGAGAGCACCCCCAUUUAUCUCGAUAAGUAUUUCUAUCUAUAUAUCUUUAUACUUAUAUUAUUUUAGAAUAUAAAUAUACAUAACUAUGAAAAAAUCAAAUAAAGAUUUCGUACUUAUAUAUUUGUCUUUUGCUUAGUGUGUUUAAUAAAUAAAUAAAGUGGCUAUGCUAAUCUGUAUCUAAAUAAAACUUAAGCAUGGAUAUGAUGAAUAGUUGCUCUGCCUAAUUUGCACAUUUUAAGUUCUCUCUUAAGUUUAGAUAUAACUGUUAUAAUUUAAAGCUUGCUCUAGACCUAAACUUGUGGCAUGAAAACUUGAUCUGAAGUCUAAGUUGUUAACGGAUACGAUAUGCUGCUAUUUAUCUGUUCCUAGAGAAGCUAGAAUUCUAGAGAAUUUUAUCUUUGAAAAUCUUUAAAAUGUUGCAUGAUGAGUUCCUGUAUGAUGAGAGUUUAAAUUCCUACCAAAGCCAUAUAUACAUGCUUGCUAGACUUUGAGCCACACAUUUACUAUUUACUGCUUAUGAGCAUUGAGUGUGGUCAAGCUGUGUAGACCCUUAGGAGCUUGUCCUGUGGUUAAAUCAAGAUUUCACUUGCACGUUCACUCAUAUAUGCUACUUCUACUCUGGAAGUACCAUCCACAUAUAUCCACCCAUUCCAUCUCCAGAAUCACCCAAAAAUAUUCUACUCCUAAUCCGGGAGAGAAUAACCAAAAAUAUUUUUGUUUUCCUUAUGAAAUAAAUGCUCAAGUUAUCUUGUUACUACCACUUGCUACAUUAUCUCAAGAGAUGAGUGCUCUAAAAAAAGAAGAAAAUAUAGUACGAGGAAAUAAAAAGGAGCAAGUGCUCGGAACCUCGAAAGAAAAGAAAAAGUGAGAUGAGAGGUAAAAAUGGACAAGUGUCCGACAGUAGAAUUAGGGGUGCAAGAUACCCACCUGAGAGAAAAGAAAAAAAAUAAUAUAGAGCAUCUCAUUCUCCUCACUAUUCAAAAAGCAAGGAAGGUAUGUAUCCCCUCAAAAGAGCAAAGUAGAAUUAGACUUCCACCAUUGUUAUCACCAUCAUCACCAUACACCAUUCAUUCGCCACACAUGCACAUCUUGAUUUGGCUUAUUGAUUUGUUUCUUUGGAUCCAUGGUUUGACUAUACAAUACAUGUCUUGUAAGUAUGUAUACUUUAUCUCCCACCUAUGAGCUCCAGAUAUUAAAGCCUUAUUAGAGUGGGGUGAGAAGAAAAGGCAAUGUCACUCUGCUUUGUACCAUAAAUACUACAUAUCUUGAGAGAAGGCAUAUACCAUCACUGCCUUGGUAAGGAUCCAAAAAUACCACAAAAGAGAGAUCUGAGAGAGUCAUACAAGGAAUCUCUGAGUUUUAUUUGAAAAUCUACAAAAACCCCAGAGCUAUAGCUGAUCAAGAAUAAGAGACAUGGCACUUGGCUGGACUGUUCUAUCUUUUAACCACUCAAGACAGAAGUGACAGUUACAAGUCCCAUGGUGAAGGUAAAGUAAGUAAGCUUUAAGUCUUGACAGUUUACUCUAACUCAGAGAUGAGAUCUUAUUUAAAAGCAUGUGUACAUCAAUUUUUAAAAAUAUUGCAACAACUUAUGAUCCAUAGCUGAGUCUAUCCUUGCUUAGGGACGAGCAAGAGGUAAGCUUGGGGGAGUUUGUUGACGGUCCUUAAGUAUCAAAUUUAAUUAUCAAAUAAAUAAAGAAAAGGAUCCAAAUGAAAUCAACAUCUAGAUUUAGUGUUUUAUCUGACAUAAUUCCAUGAGUUUUGGUGUUUGUCUAUUUCUGCAGGGGGUUAUCAGGAAAUACGGAAGAAAGGCCCACACGUCGGGAUUACGUAAAGAUAUUAACGUGCUGCGCAAUUAUCUUACAUCUAGAAGACUCCAGAAGCCACGAGACCGAAGUGGAGGCAAAACAGGGCCAGAGGCAGGGCGCCCGCCCUCUCCAGGAGUCCAAUCAGGACUCUGCUUUGCGGGAGAUCUCCACCGACCUAAAGGAUGAAUCUAAACCAUACAAUCUAUGUCCGUUUGAUCCAACGGCCCAUAUUCACUUGAAGGGACUAUAAAACCAGACCCCCUGGCCCCUGGAGGAGAGAGCCUCUCAACCCUAAUUCAUUGUUCCAUCAAGGGAGAAGAAGCCUCUGAUCAAGAUUAGAGCCAACACAUCAAUUAGAUAUCUAGAUUAGCAUAGCUACAGAGGAAUAGAACUAGAAGGAGUCAAUCUUCGAUUGGUUUCCAGAUCUGUCAGGAGGAUUCUUGGUAAUUCUCUAAUUGUGCUUCUAAUUGCUUUCUAAUUAUCUUUGUUCUUCAAUAUUAUGAAUAUGACUUUGUUCUACUUCAAUAUAUUGCUUAUGACUUUGCUCUACUUGCUUAUAUUCAAGAUUAUAUUGUUCUUAGUUUGUCAUAGUUAUGUACUUGGCUUAGUUAGAUUGGAUCUAUAUACAUGCUUAGGAUCGUAUAGCGUUUAUCCAUCGAAUCCAUGGGUAAAUGAUAGAUAUUGUGUAGGCGUGGUGCUUAUACCGUAUUUAUCUACGAUUGUACCCAAUAUGCCAGAUCGUGGGGUGGUUCGUGAUAGUGACAGCUUCAUUGAUUCUUAUAUAGUCCCCCUCUCGUGUAUUGGGCUGGCAGAGCAACAUUAUUACAGGGGAGUGAUUGCUAUGUUUCUCAUAUUCCUUGCUAAUAUCACUAUGCAUGGGCGUAGUCUUGUCUCACAAUGAUUGCUAAGUAUGCUUGCACUAACUAUGAUAAUGACUAGACUAUGUAGUUGAGAAUAACUUAGGGAAUAUUCUUGUAGUUCAUUCUAAUACCAUGCUAAUGACUUUCUAGAGUAUCUAAUUGAGGUGCUUAUCAUAUUUAUUUUGUGGCU
rnacentral:lncRNA from 1 species